UGACUUGUUCUAAAACCAUGCGAUGAUCGGAACUUUCACAUAUAUUAUUAAACACCACUUUUUGGCAAGUGUAGUUACCUUGUUCAGUUUGUUUUUGCAUGAUGCUUUUUUAACUGAAAUGUGCCAUACUGCCAUCAAAAUUAACAAUUAAUAUUUUAGACAUCAUGUUUCGCCUGAUUUACAUAGCAGAAAUUUUUCAUACGAAAAUGCCAAUUUGGAGACCAUAUUAAUAUUAAGGUAAUUUACCUGAUUUUACUUGACUGAAAUGAUGUUACUAAUUCAUGGUUUGGACAUUUGCUUUCUGUGCUUGGAUCAAUCUGUAUUGGCAUAUGGGGCAACAAAAAUUAGCUCUUCCUUUUUUUUCUUGGCUGACCUAAACUUUAUUUCGCUGCCCGAUCAGGCUUUGAUUCAACUACAUUUACAUGCUGGUAGACUGCCCAGUUUAUUUUCCUUUCCUUUUUGUUUUUUAGAUAAGAGAUACUAGUGUUCUGGUGCGGUUAAGACCUGCAUGGGACGACCUUCGGAGCUACUUAAUUGCAAGAGGUCGCAAACGUUUUGAGAUUUAUGUGUGCACAAUGGCUGAGAGGGACUAUGCUUUGGAAAUGUGGAGGUUGCUUGAUCCAGAUUCAAAAUUGAUAAACUCUGUUCAACUUCUUGACAGACUUGUAUGUGUCAAAUCUGGUAUGUUUCGAAUCCUUCUUUCAAACAGUACGGUAUAAAAGGAGCAUCAUGUCAUUUUGUGUUCGUACAUUGCUAAGUUUGUUGAUAGGGUCAUUCUCUUCUGUGAACUUCCAUGUGCAUGGACAUAACUGCUUUUGAUCUUUCCAUCCUUUUGAGUCAAUGCUAAAUCUAUCCAUCUAGGCUCAAGAAAGUCUUUGCUAAAUGUAUUCCAUGAUGGGUCUUGUCACCCCGGAAUGGCCCUUGUCAUUGACGACCGUUUGAAAGUUUGGGAUGAGUGGGACCAACGUAGAGUUCACGUUGUUCCUGCAUUUGCUCCAUAUUACGCUCCCCAGGCAGAGGUAAAGGUUUUUUUUUUCUGUACUUUACUAUACAAACAUAAGGCUGUUUUACUUUAUGAGCUACUGAGGGUAGUAUCACCUUGUCUUUAACUUUCAGGCAAACUUUCCUAUUCCAGUUCUAUGCGUCGCACGGAAUGUUGCUUGCAAUGUUAGGGCUGGUUUCUUCAAGUAAGAGUAUAUUUUCCUGUAUGACCUUCUAAGUAAUCAGUUGUCAUGGCAUUGUCCUGGCUAAACUGAAUACACACUGCUGCCAUGUAUACUAGUGUUCCUGUAACCUACACCAUUUAACAAGCUUGGACCAUUUGUCCUUAGCCAAAGUUUUGUGGUUUAUUUUAUUGACAGAGAAUUUGAUGAGGGCAUCAUUCCAAGGAUUACAGAGGUUUGUUAUGAGGACGAACUGGAUGACAUUGCUUCUGCUCCUGAUGUUUGCAAUUAUUUUGUUUCAGAGGUAAACUUUAUAAAGGCAAAUACUUGAGAUUAAACCCAGUUUUAUUUUGGAGCUAGGGUUUCACACCUAAUUUCUACCAAGCAACAUUAAAUUUCUCUUUGUUAGGACGAGAAUGCUGCUGUUUCAAAUGUAAACAAAAAUCCACUAGCUUUUGAUGGUAUGGCAGAUGCAGAGGUUGAGAAGAGAAUGAAGGUUUGCACUUUUAGUGCCUUGUUAUGAAUUCUUGGUUGAAUAUAUAAAUUUCAAAAUAAUGUAGAUGUAGAUUCAGGAAAUGUGGUGCUGUUGUGUGAAUCAAAUCAAAUGCUCUGUGAAAUGAAGUAUUGUGUAGAGUAUAUCUUAUGCUAUUUAUGCCCAUUGGACAUGUUUUUAGGGUUGAAUUGUACAUUUUCGAAUCUCAAGAUAUAACUGUUUAAUCCUUCAUGAGAUAUUUCAUAAUUUAAGUCGUGUUAUGCCUGAAAUGCAGAAUCAAAAUACAAACUCUUUUCAAAGAAACAAUUUUAUGGCGUAAAUGCAUAGCUUGGUACACAAGUUCUUUAGAAAGAUACAUUGCAAUCUCUGAUAUAAAAUAUAUUACGAAUAUUUUUGCAGACUUGACCUAUAUAAUAUCCAACCAAUACCUCAAAAUGAUUUGCCAUUCUGUAUGGCAGUAUUCCAUUUUUAUCAUCUUUAUCUGCUUACAACAAAACGGAAAUGAUAAAAACUUCAUAUUUCUUAGCAACUGCUGCAUAUAUGGUUUCAUUCCAACUUGCUGUGAGAAGGCUUAACAAAAGUGUGAAUAUAAUCCACAAACUAACUACUGAUGCUGUUUUUUUAUCACUUUAAGUCACAUCUGACUCUUUUUUGCAUCUGAAAAAUUUUCAGGAAGCUUCUUCCAGCUUUCAAUCUGCGAAUCCAAUAACAACUAAUGUUGAUGUGAUGUCAGUAGCCGCUAACCAACACUUUGGUACACCUAUAUCCUCAUCUACUCCAGUAGCACCACCACUGGGUAUGCUUUUGAAUAAUGAUCAGGAUCCUCAGCCACCUUCACUCAGAUGGCCUGUUGCUCAAUCUGGCCAUGUGGACUCUUCCCAAGGUUCUCCGGCUAGAGAAGAGGGUGAAGUUCCUGAGUCUGAAUUGGAUCCUGACACUCGGAGAAGGCUUCUCAUAUUACAACAUGGUCAAGACACAAGAGAUCCUGCAGCGCCGUUUCCUGCUGGAUCUCCUGCACAAGUCUCAGUACCACCUGUGCAAUCUCAUGAAAAUUGGUUUUGCUUAGAGGAUGAGAUGAACCCUAGAAACCUGAACAAGGUUUCAACAGAAUUUCAUUUAGAAUCUGAUUCUGUACAUUAUGAUAAGAAGCAAUUGCAGCAUACAUCAUACAUUCCUAUUGGGGAUAAUCCUAUGUCUUAUGAUAGAUACGAUUAUCAGAAUCAGAGAUAUCCUUCUCAGGUUAGUGAUCAUUUAUUUUGAUCAGAAUUUUAAUUAGUCUUCUUUAAAGUAAUUGGUAUUUAUUAGUGAGGUUUCUAUGUAUGAUUUGCUUGAUGUUUUAUUUACUCAGCCACCUCACAGUGAAGGUCAUCAUAGAUUUCAUAACCAUGCGCCUACAGCUUAUCGAUCCUUUUCUGGUAUGUUUUGUUUACCCUUGAUGGUUCUGUUGCUUCUCUUGUGGUGUGUUUCCAUCUUUCUGGAUGCAAGCUUUAUGCAACCUUUCAGAGCCACCAUUACUUUAGUAGGUUGCAAUUUAUUGGUUUGUUUACUUACUGGCGUCUGGUUUUCAUUUCAAAACCAGAUGACAAGGGGUUGUAUUUGGCUGGAAGAUUAGAUUGAGCCUAGCUCGGUUGAGGUGUGGAUGUAUGCCCAGACCAUCCCAGAAGUCACGUAGUUCCACCUGGUUGAGCCUAGCAAAGUUGGGUGCGUAGUCCUAUUACCAUAUUGAAUUGCAUGCACCAACCAGUUUCCAAAAGCUUAAGUUGAUGGGGAAGGCUUGGCAAUUCACUUUAACAAUACUGUUGUGUUGAUUUGGUCUUGUUGUCAAUCAUGUUUUAGCUGAAAUCCCUGUUGUUGCUAGCUAAGUCAUGUACUCCUGUAACAAACUCCUUUUCUUGGACUGUUGUGGGUGUGUACUUAGUUUAGAGUAUUUAAAUUGUCUGCGAUGUGAAGGUGAGGACAUGGCAACUUGGUAUGCUCCUUCAGGGCAAAGAAGCAGCCAUAUGGAAUCAGGACGACAUUUUGCACGAUAUGGAGGAAUUCCAGGUGUAUUAGAGGAAAUUGCAUUGAAGUGUGGAUUUAAGGUAGUUUGAAUGAUGAAAAUGCAGAUAGCUCUUUUAUUCUUUAUCUGAUAUCUUAUCCUGUUGUAUUUGUUCACCUAGGUGGAGUACCGAUCAACUUUAUGUGAUACGACAGAGUUGCAAUUCUCCACUGAGGUACAUUAAAUUUUAUGUUGGAUCAUGUUAAUGGAGGUACAUUACAAGUUUUUGUUCUUGAAAGCAGACAUUCCACUGAGAAUGAUCAUUGCAUUGGGCAUAUAUAGCUAAAAGCCUGUGUUAUUUUUGGACAAACUAUUUUUGACUUUGCAACUGAUUGCAAAUCACUGUCUCAUAAUUCUCGUUCCUAUUUUAUUUUUACCUUUCAGGUUUUAAUUUUUGGAGAAAAGGUAGGUGAAGGAGUUGGGAAAACAAGGAAAGAAGCACAGUGGCAAGCUGCUGAUACAUCCUUAAGAAAUCUGGCAGGUGAAUUAAUGUCAGACUCCCCAUUUUGUUCGUUUCUAGUUGGCUUAGCAAAUAUGUAAGCUACAUGGGGUUGAUUUUGGAUACUUACCAUUUAUUUUAUUUUCAGUAGUGGACUAAAUAGUUUAUAUUGUAAUCUCAAAAUUGUGACAAAGUUUGUCAUUCUGGUUGUUCAAUCACGUUUCAGUGCGUGUCAGCGUGGUUGCUGAAUGUUUAGGCCUGUGUGUUUGUUCAACUUGCAAUUCGUGCAGAAUGCCUUCAUAAAGUGUGGAAAAAUGUAGAACACAUCAAUGAUCUUGUAAAUCUUGUACAUAUUUUGAUGUGAACUUUAUUUGCAGACAAGUUUCUAUCAUGGGACCCAGAUAAGGUGACAGUUCUAAAGGAGAAUGACUUUAAUAGGCAUCCAAAGUCACACAGAUAUCCAGGAAGUAAUAUAUAUGACACAUUACCAGUUGCAAGCACUUCAGAUGAGUCUAGAUAUAUGAAUGACAGAAUUGAUACUUUAAGAAAACCUGGUGCUUCUGUUGCUGCUCUUAAGGAGCUUGUAAGUUGCUGCCUAAAUUACCUGCUUUAGAACAAUUAUAAUAAUUUAUGUAAAGUAUGUUGUGGUACAUUGCAGUGUGCGGUUGAAGGGUAUAAUUUGGAUUUCCAUGCUCAGCCAUCUGCGGAUGGUUCAGUAGGUAAAGAAAUUCGUGCUCAGGUCAGUACUUCGUCUGGAUGAAUGUAUUCAUCUUACAUCUAUCUGUCUGGUACAUCAUAUAAAUCUAGAUACUGUAACCGCACUUAGUGAAGAACUAAAACUUGCCUCUGUUACCCUUGUGUAUAGUACAUAAUUUGUUCUAUGUUGCUGUCAUUGCCAAGUAGCUUUUCUCCUUUUAGAAUCAAUUUUAGAUGAUGGCUUGAACAGAGAACUUCUUUUGCAUUCAUGUUCACUGCAGUUUACUAUUGUGAAAUUACAUUUGUUUUUUCAGGUAGAAAUAGGAGGAAAAGUCCUGGGUAAAGGAGUUGGAGUAACAUGGGAGGAAGCUAAGCUGCAGGUUGUAAGCAGAUACAAGAAAUGAUUUUCUUUUAUUGAUUUUAUACGUUGUUCUCCUUGGGGUUUUGAUAUGAACAAAUAAAUCCAGUAGGUCUUUCUUGCAUCCACAAAAAGGAGUGCUUUACUCUCUGCUACAAUAUUGGCAACUAGUUUUCCUGUUGCAAUCAACAGUUUAUUUGUGCAUUUAACAACCUUCACUGCUAGCCUGUUUGGAAGUAAACUACCUACUGAAGUCUUGCUUUUUAAGACUGAAAAAAAAUUAAUUCUUCAUUUCUGAACUGUUCACUCAAACAAUAUCCUUUUAUAGGCUGCUUAUGAGGCAUAUGGAACGUUGAAAUCCAUGCUCGGUCAAUUUGUUCCGAGGCAAUCUGCAUCUCCAAGGUGAUGGUUGGGUAGUGUCUCUGUUUUUCUCUUUGACCAUGAUUGCUGAAGUUAGCUAAGGUUUAGUUUAUCAGUGGAAACCAUAAUUUCCUGGCACUCGUUAGAGUGGACAUGGUACCUGCGUGCCCUGCCCCAGCCGGCCAGCCCCCAGCAUUACCAAGCUUUGAUCUAUAGUAUUUGAACUUUGCCUCUUUGGACAGGUCAAUGGUGCCAAAUUUUAAUAAGCGCUUCAAUCCAGAUUUCUCCGAGGCACUACAAAGGAUUCCUUCAGGCAGAUAUUCUAGAAAUGACAGUCGUUUUCCUUGAUAUUAUAAUUCUGGAUCCUGCUCUUCUAGUAUUCUUCAUCUCACGGGAAAUGACUCGGAAAAUCAUGGCAGCACGUUGCUCCAGGACAAAUCGACUACUUCGGUAACUGCAACUGCAACUAUAGGCUGGGUGGCGCUGUGUACUGUGUUUUCAGCUGUGUGUACAGGUAAUUGCACAUUUCCAGCCGACAUUAUCCGUGAUCUGUGAAAAGUAACUGCUGGAGCUUGCACAUUGUUUGUUGUGACCUAAUCUCUGUGAGCCCUUAAGAUAUCGUCUAACUUACCUCAAAUCUGUCAUUUGUGAUGCUGGAGCUGAGGGGUUACAGUAGGGUGGCUGCUGGUGUAGGUAACCAUUUCUUGUGUACAUCGAUCAAAUUAGACUUCAGUGUUUAUUGGUGCUGGGUUGUUGAGCUCGAGUUGACUGCCAAUUAUGUUCAGGCGGCGACAGACAGAACUGUGUUAACAAAUCUUAUGACACGUAUGUUUCAUUUUUCAUUUUGGUCAUAUGUUUCAGAUUCGGGAUGUAAUUUGAUUUAACAACUUUGCAUCGUGGUAUUGUUUGAUCUAGUCAUUUGUACAACAUGUUUCCCUAUUUACCUCUUAACGCUGAUUGCUCUUAACAGGUGUUUGCAGGUGCGCUAACGCUAAGCGUUGGCUAUCAUUUCCUUCCCUUACAAGCAUUUUCAUUAUUUAAAAUAAAAAUAGGUAUUCCCUCAAUCCAUAGCCCAAAAGAUUAUAAUUCUAGGUUUAGGAUGAGUCAAACUUUUUUAAGUUUAACCAAGUUUAUAAAAAAUAGUAUUAAUAUAUUUUAUAACUAAUCUGAUGAUAUUGAUAUCAUAAAUAUUAGUAAUUUUUUGUAUAGAUUUGAUCAGACCUGAAACCGUUUUACCUUCUGGGAAGUGAGACUUGCAUUUGUUUUUUUUUUUGGAAGGAGAGUACGCAAAAUAAGACUUCCCACCCCAAUCAGCUGAGAGACUCACUCUCCACAUAAAAUAUUUUGUGGUUCUUAUUUUUUAUUUGUAUAAUAUUUCUCUCGUCGGAUUAGCUGAUGCUAUCUGGUUUAGCUUUUUCACCCCCAUCCAGCCAUGCACGAGACUAAGAGCAUCAUUGUUUCUUGAUAUGCAAAAUGCAAAAGAUUUACGUAUCACUAAAAGAUUUACAUAUUAUUAUAUUAGGGUAAGAGAGUUUAACGAGAUAAAUGACGACAUGACACACGUCUCUAACGAGUGCUCUAGGAGAUCGACAAACGGCCUGAGGCUAAGAGCAUCAUCACUUCAUCACUGACCAGUCAACUCAUGAGAAAAAAAUAGGACGGGAAGAUUGUUUGGUUACUCUUUGGUCAAGACUCCCUCCCGAUCUCCCUAUCUAUUGCUCUUUCAAGGUUAUCUAGGCUUGCGUUACGUACCAAAAAAAAUGCCGUUGUCCUGUUUAAUAAACGUAAUAACUCGCCUAGAUAAGUUUUUUCUUUGAGACGAAAGAAAAAUUUUAUUAGAUAAAAACUGGAUACAUCAACACAUUACAAGUACUAAUAACUGAUUUUCAUCAAGAUUAUACACACUAUGAAUAGCUCCAGAUCUCAAACCUAAAGCCGUAUGACGCUUGAUACAGAUGACUGCACAAGCAAAUACUCGACAAAUGAUCCCUCUUCUUCCCGCCACCAAAGAACAAGGAAGACUGAUCUGAAACUUAUUCUCCUCAGUCCUUCGUUAUGGUCAGAUCUAACCACAACAAAACGAAGAAGAGACCGGAGAAAAUUAUUUCAUGGCGGCGACGUCAUCUCCACCUUGAUGUCACCGUCCAGAAAGAAAAGUCUCCAUGUCAUCGUGUCGAUGAAGUUGUUUGACGCUGAAGUUGUCAGUCUCAUCUUCAUUAGCACCACCAUUUAGAAAACGAUUCCACCGUACCUCCACGCCAUUGCUGGGGAGGAGGAGGAAGAAGAGGAGGAGGAGAUAAAUCUCUAGUACCAAGAAACUUGGCAUGGAGAGACUCUAACCAUAAGCACUCGACCUACUGUAAACUUAUUAAAAACGAUAGAUCUCUACUCCCUCAGUCUCCGAUGAGAUGCUAAAGGAGAAGGGAGGGAGACUAGUGGUGGUGGAAGACAGAGGACGACGAACGACGACAGAGACGGUGCUCGGCAAGUCGUGAGGCCUAGGGGCAAGUCGAGUAUUAUUGAAUGAGAAAAGGGUGCUUUUCUCCGCUGUACUCUCCCACAUACUUUUCUCAGCAAUAACCUCCACGAAUCUGUAAAAAAUUAGAGUCAAACCCUUCUCCCUUUGGAUGAUUCAAUUGCUCUAGUGGUUCGAUUCAUCGAGGUCCAGGUAGGAAGAUGAUUCCUUUUUUUUUCUCUCCACUCGAGAUGGCCAAAGAGCUUGUGCAUCCGUUACUUUGAUUUAUGUGCUAAAGAUAGCAUCACUCUUUCUUAGCAAUUUCUACUCUCAUCCCUUAGCACCCCUUGGUAGGUCUAAGGUGAUUUAAAACACUUAAUUUUGUUAAAAACAAUCUCACCACGGGAAGUAAAUCUUAGCACUGGUAUUAGAUGUUAUAGUUUUAGCACCAGUAUUUACAUCCCUAGGCCAGAUACAUUCCUACAUUAAUUUCAAUAGCCUUAAAGGCUAUCUCAUGCCAUAUAUGAUUUUUUAUGACAUGGAGAGAGAGAGAGAGAGAGAGAGAGAGAGAGAGAGAGAGAGAGACGAAUGUGAGAAAUUGGUUGUUUCGUGCAACAACUAGUCAACGACCUCAUGAGCAAAACUUUAGGAUUUAUGAGACAACUAUUUCACCAUUGAUAUUGUUAUGCAACUCAUAAACUUUCAUUUGUUGAUUGCUCAAAUUAAGGAUAAUUAAAUCAUUAUACAACAACUGAAAAGACAAUCAAUUGUAUACGUUGGUUGUUCAAUCGUUUCAUGAUUACUAAAAGAUACCUCACAUGUUGUUACUAGAAGAUACCCCACACGUUUCAUUGUGAAGGUCCAAUGUACUUUAUUGUAUCUCGGUUGUGUUGGCUUUGUCUCUAGGAAGUCUAGAACGUUUGAGGUCUUCAUGACCUAAUUGUAGAGGCUUGGUGACCUUUCAAGGUUGUGACCCUCUGUUCUUUGUGUGGAGCGAUGGCGUGUUAGUGUGUGGGUACGUAGAGACCCCCUACCUUGUGUGGAUAAAACUCCAUAGUGGACACGGUGUCAAGGUGACCACGAUUGGAUGGAGGUGGUGACUUGCCUUUGGUUUAUAUUUGACAUUGUUUUCAAAUCGUAUGAUAGUAGUGACAACUAUGAGACUUGGUGACUCAUGACACUGUCUUUGGUUAGGAGAGGCCUUGUGCAUUUGGGUCCAACACUGUCGUAGUGAUUGUGUGGCAUAGGAGACUUUAUGACUCCAUUGCCUUUGGUCAAGCAAACAACGCUACCGAAAUAGACUUGGUAACUAAUUUUUUGCUAAAAAAACUAGGAGCGUACCUUGGCGGAGCUUCAACGAGCAUGGGCAGAGGCAACAUGAUUCUUGGGUACAAUAUUCCUAGGAAUACACAACUUAUUUUGCAAAUAUUGUGUAUAUGUAAAAUAUAUGCAUUUAUGUGUAGUUUCGUACUCGACCAAAUUGAUUUUUGAAUUCCUAAACACCCUAUCUAACACUAGCUACUUCUUUCCUCUAGCCCCACACUCUUGCAUUAACAUAUUGGCCAUCCUCUUGAGUAUGAGAUAACCCAUUUCAACCACUUUGGUAUAAUAUAAUGUAACUCACUCUGUGUGUGUUUAGAACCUAUCAUCCACUUGGUCGCUCUAUGUGUUUAGAACUUGAGUGGAGCUGGCUCUAAGUGGAGUUAGAGCUGUAGAGGGUGUUUGGCUAGAAGGGUACUUUAGCUUCAGAAUGGUGUUUUAUCAAUUUGGAUUGCACAAUUUUCUCUUAAUUUACAUGAGUGUACUUCAAUGAUACGUCCAGCAGCAAAACAAGCACGAAUUAAAUUAAAGUACCAACAUAUUACAAGAUAAUCUACCAACGUAGUGCUUGCACCAAAUAUGUUGCAAGGUCGCGCACAGUUGCUGGUAUGGCGGACCACCGUUUCUUCCCCAAACAACAAUUUCCUUGCUUGAUGUGUACUCCCCCAUUCCAAAUUGUAUUUUGUUCGGUUUAAGUUAAACUUUCUAGUUUUAAUAACAAAGUUAGAGAAAAAUACAUCAAAUUCUAUAACAUGGAAUUAGUGCCACUAGAUACACUACGAAAUAUAUCUUAAUAGUGCUUUUAUUUGGUUAUGUUAAAUAUAUUUUUCUAUAAAUUUGGUUAGAAUAAAAAAGAUGAGCGUGUCAAGUUUGGGACAUUCCCAUCUAGUUCCUCGAACUAAAAAAAUGACUAAAUCCCUAAUCUAGUGUCCCCACGUGCCAAAGGUCCAAAAUCUAUUGCGUCAGCGCUAACAAGCCAUGCUACAGUAUUGUGGAACGAUCACUUCAGCUAUACACCAUGGUCGUGCCAACUUUUCCACGGAGUACAGCUACCAGUGUGGCACGGCCACAUCACCUAUUGUUGUUGGGAUGGUGGGUUUGGGCCUUUGAUGCGCGAUGGUAAUAGAUUAGAGACCUAGAUCAAUAUUCGUUCUUUUGUUCGACAGAAGAAAAUGUCUCUCAAAAAUUUGAGGAUUCAGCGUGCAUUUUAUUACUUUAAAAAAUUGAUUUAGGACACAACUAAAACAAAGUACAUUAUAGAACUUUAUAAAUGACAGAUUAUUUAACUACGACGUGUUUUACACGUACUUUCCUGCAGGGAGAAUUUCCCAAGACCACAUGGAACUCGAGCAUAAUCAAAUCGAGGCAUAGCAGAUGGUCUCUUCGUGCAGCAUGCCGCAUGGAAUGCCAUGGGCCAUGGCUACCACCAUAUAUGGCGUAAGUAUCGCUCAAAGCAACGUAUUAUAUGUAUGUUGUACGUUAAUUAUAGUGAUGCGUAAGCGACCCGAUGCUAAUAAGGUUCAUGAAUCGCGCGCCAUCGCUCAUUGUUCUCUUCUCCUUAUUGUUUAUUAUGGAUGGUCGCUAAUAAGAUCCAACUUGUGGUCGUGAACAUGUGCCCACGUUAACAUAACGGGGAUCGAUGACCUUACGUCUGAACCUGCAUGACGCAUAGAUAGGACUAAAAAAACGCUCAUUAAAUUAAGCUUCUUGAUAGUGCUAAUAAAAUACUUCGUUCAUCCCUAAAUAAAUUAAUUUCUAGAAUCCGUACAAGUCAAACUAUAUUAAGCUUGAUUAACUUUAUUAUAGAAAAAAUAACAACAUCUAUGAUAUAAAAUAAGUAUAUUACCAAAAUAUAUUUUAUGAUUGAUUUAAUGAUACUAAUUUGAUGUCAUAAAUCUUAAUUAUUUUUUCUAGAAAUUCGAUCAAAGUUUAAAAAUUUGACUUAGGACAAUUCUACAAAUUUAUUUAUUUACGAACAAAGAGAAUAAUUAUAUACAUACAUAUAGGAUUCAAGAUAAAAGGAUAAUUGGAGUAUUAUAUUAUCCUUUUAAAUUCUACAUUAAUGGGAGAGGACACAAGCUAGGAUAUACUACUUUUUUUUCGAAAGGACGGCAAAAGCUUUACCACGAUUUCUAUUAGACGAAGAAAGAAAGAAGGCAAGCGCCCCAUCCAGUUUUUUGAAGUAGAAACCGGGCAAAAACCACAUAUACAAAUAAGGAGGAUACCCUACUCCAACCGCACGCCUAGGUACCAAGUCAACUCAACUCGCGCCAAGAGCGCCAACUCAACUCCACUCAGUUCCACGCUUGGUCGGACUCACACAAACCUCUAAACACUACAAACUCGGUCGGAUUGGGUCGUCGACACGAGCCUCCACUCUAAACUACUAGGAGCUCCACAACUGAGGUAGCAAGAACCAAAAGACUAACAAAAACAACUAAAAGCUAGGCAACUAAAAACAAACUGUCUACUCCACCAAAGACACCAACCACGAACGCGCUGCCAAGAACGACGAGCUAGCACUGCCCAAGAAAACCCAACCGAGUCGAAAUCCACAACGACGCCUUCAAGAAGGUUACGACGCCCAAGCGCCGCCGUCGUCCGUCCAUAGAAGGACUAGGUUCUUACCCAUGGAAAGUGGUGGGGACGCGACGCCCUCAGCAGGGGAAUGACACCCACGAGUGUCACCGUCGCCAGGCUUUCGCCCAAAGAGAACCCCAGCACAUACACCGAUCGAGAUCGCAUGGCCCCACCAGACACCAGGACGUCGCUGCCGACCAUCCAGAGAAAACCUCACCGGGGUCGACGCGCCGGCCACACAAGCAGCCGCAAAGUUGCGUCAGCACCCCGCGAGAUCACCUGCCGAAGACCAGCCUCCCGCCACCGAGUACGUCCACCAACCGCCCGCCGAAGUCGUAGUCGCCGCCGACUACCACCACCGGCCGAGCACGCGUCGCAGGCCCCGCCACCCCCUAAAGGUACCGAAUCUGGAGCACAGCCCCGGACCAGCACCCCCAUGGGCGCCAAGGCCUCCGUCUUCAUGACGACAACCCCACGCCGGUCGAAGGAGGCAUGGGGGAGGGACUGCGUAGACGAAGACCGCCCCCCAACGCCAGCACACCCCCAACCACCGCCGCGACACGGCCACCAUCAAGAGGAGACGGAAGGCGAGCAGGGGGGAGGGAGCCCCAUCGCCGGCCCCACACCCAAAAGGGCAGCCACCCCACGACGCCCUGCCGACGGACCCGCCAUAGAGGAGCCGCCACCAACAGGUCCUGCACAGACGGCAGCGCCGCCGCGGCACCACAGACCUGCCAAAACCAGAGUCGGCCACGCCACCACGCCGCCGUCGAAGAGCCGCUCCUCCUCCACCGAGCACCCCCACCCCAGAAACCGGCAACUGCCAGACAGCCGUGGCCGGCCAGCAGCGACCAGCGCCCACCCAACAACGGCCAGGUAGCACCGGGGGGUGGGGGGGCCAAUCGUCGGCCACCCACGAGCCAUCACCACCGGAUCCGGCCACCACCAUGCCAGACCCGCGCGGAUCGAGUCCCCGGUAGCCGGAAUCCGUCUGCAGCGCCGUCCACCCACCACUAAUAGGCUCGCGCGAAGCGGCCGGGCAACGGGACAGGCAAAGGGCGCGAACGCACCACCUCCGCCGCGCCGCCGCCGAACCACCACAUGCCGCCCCUCGCCACCAACGCCGCCAUGGUCGUAGAGCUCCAUCCUGCUCGAGGAGCUCGCACAGCCGGACAGGGAGCCAAGAGGCCUCGCCACCACCAUCCUAGGAUGCCGCGCGGACAACCCAGCGGCCUCCUCCGGCGGCGGUGAGGGGGGAGGGGGGAGGAGGGAGAGAUGGCAGCGGCGGGGGUUCCGCCUCCUGGGGAAGCUUUCCUUAGUUUCCACACCACACAAUUAAUCUUCAGAGUCACCUAAGAUAAUUUUGCUUGUGUCUUCCAGAAUUUCCACCCAUUCAUUGUUGACUUCUUCAGUUAGCCAUCUAGUAAAAGUGAUCUGGAUAGUUCCCACCACCACUUGGUGAACAUAACUAUCUUUCUGUUCACAUAAUUUGAACAGAAUAGGCCGGGAACAUAGUCUCUAGUGAUUUGUUAUAAAGCCAAAGAAAAGGGUGGAUUUCCAUUGUUCAGAUUCAUGGUUUUCCCUGCAAGUAGAUGUACCUUUUUUUAGAAUUACACAGUACAACACAGACACUCACAACGCACGCAUACUCACCCCUAUAAACACACGUACGCAAACCUACUCCUAUGAGCACAUCUGAAGGACUGAGCCGGCAGAUCACAAGAUUCACGAAGUCACCACAUACGUCUCACUAUCGACGGGAACGUCGCCUACCACUGAAAGCAUAGUGCCAAAAAAUUCUAGAAUAAAUCCAAAAAAUACGAACACCUGUGCCAAGUCGAAGACUUAAACCCAGGUGAGCAAGUUCCGCCACAAGAAAUCUAACCAGCUGAUCUACAAAUUUUUAGCAGGUCAGUCCCACAGGAGAGUCAGUUCCUAAUGAUAAGUAAACUAUCAUAUCCGAGAACGGAUCUAGUGCAAACUCAUCUUCUGUGCAAACUAUGCAAACUCUAGUAUGGACCAUAGGAUGUUGAUCCAUGAUAAUGACAACACAUAGCAUACUACCCCCCCCCCCCCACCCCCCCAACACACACACACGCACACAGCAUACAGUGGGCAGUGCCCGUGGACUCUGAAUUAAACACAAACCCUAAAGCUAGGCAGCUAGCAAGUGGCAAGCAGCAACUCUACUUAAUUUUAACCUGUCAGCAAGAGCAUCUGUUCAUGCGGAUGGCGCCUCUUGCCUUCCCCUGCUACAAUGCGAAGACCAGAUCGAUCGAAAUGGCUCCUCACGUACACAAAGCAGGCCACGUACGUGUACUGUGUGCACAUGGCAGUAGCACCCAGGGUGCAGCAAGCCAAGAACAAAAUGGUCACUCCUGCAUCUCCGACGACGAUGCCGGCGGCCCGGAAGCCGUUGCCCUUGCUCCUCCUCUCCCUCUCGCUCCCCGCCCUCCUGCUGGUGCUCUCCCUCGUCUUCCUCCUCUCGCACACCACUUUUAGCCUCCUCAUCUGCCCUCUCCUCCCGAGGCUGUCUUCGACGCGCAAUGCGACGAGCGCCAGUCGUCGUACUGGUGGUACCAGCCUCGGUGUCUCCAUGGACGAGAACUUGCAAGCCUUCCAUGCCUCGAUGCCGACGAUACCUUCAAGGCGCAAUGCGACGAGCUCCAAUAGUAGUACCAGCAUUGCUGUCUCAGUGGACAAGACCUUGCAAGAAGCAUUCCAUGCCUUCGCGGUGGCGCCACCGCCGCCGCUGCCGGCGGCGUCAUGGCCGCCGGCUGCUCCUGCUGUUAAGAGCAGCAGCAGGAAGAAGGCGUCCGCGAAGAGAAACAGGAGUCUCCUCAAGCUCCUGCUCAGGAAGACACCGCAGACGCGGCGGUUCGCGGCGCGCGCGGACGAGCUCUUCGCGGCGCCGUGCACCGACCGCUUCUUCAUGACGUGGCUCUCGCCGCUCGCGCAGUUCGGUCGCCGCGAGCUCCUCGUCCUGGAGAGCCUCUUCAGGUGGCACCGCGGCGGCUGCCUCCUCGUCGCCUCCGAUACCAUGGACUCCGCGGGCGGCAGGGACAAGCUGAGGCCGUUCCUCGAGCGCGGCUUCCGCUUAGCCGUCGCCUCGCCGGACUUUGCCUACCUCCUGAACGGUACGCCCGCCGAGGCGUGGCUCGGCGCUGUCCAGCGCGGCGGCGUCAGCCUCGGGAGCGUCCCACUCGGGCAGAACCUCUCCAACCUCCUCCGCCUCGCGCUGCUCUACAGGUACGGCGGCAUCUACCUCGACGCCGACGUCGUCGUCCUCAGGCCGCUCUCCGACCUCCGCAACGCCAUUGGAGCGCAGGCCGUGGACGAGGCCACGGGCGACUGGAUGCGACUGAACAACGCCGUGAUGGUGUUCGACAGGGCACACCCGCUGCUGCACGAGUUCAUCGCCGAGUUCGCCGCCGCGUUCGACGGGAGCAAGUGGGGCCACAACGGGCCGUACCUUGUGUCCCGGGUGGCGGCGAGGCUACGCCACCGGAGCCCGGGGCCCGCCUUCACGGUGCUGCCGCCGCGGGCCUUCUACCCCGUGCACUGGAGCAAGAUCGGUGGGCUGUUUGUUGCACCAAAGGACAGGAAAGACAAGAGGUGGGUGAAGGCCAAGGUGGAGAACAUCAAAGGCGAGAGCUUUGGCAUCCAUCUUUGGAACAGGGAGAGCAGUAGGCUGGAAAUGGAGGAGGGGAGUGUUAUUGGGACGUUAAUUUCAGACAGUUGCCUGUUCUGCAAUUCUUCCAUGUUUGUAAAGCAAGGAUAGGAUAGCAGGGGAUUCUGCACAUUUGCAGCUGAUGAAGUGAGAUAUUGGUAUUUUGUGAGAUGAAGCAUGCAUGUACUCCGUACAUCUUACUUGAAGGAAUUGGAAAGACAUAUAGUACAGAAUUUUUGAACCUUUAAGUAUCAGAAACUAUCUUACUGAUUGACAGGCUACUUCAGCGGAGUGCCAGCUAUAAUAAUUGUAGGUGUUCUGAUUGAACUAUCCCAACGGGAACUGUGGGAAUACGUAUAUGAUCAUCAAGUAGCCACUUCGAUAGGUAGUGCAAAGUUAUCAGAAAAUGGUAUGACAACCAGAAGAUCUGACAAGACUCAAGAGUACAUAUUUUCUUUACAUUCAUCAAACAUUGUUGUUUUUCGUCCUCGAGAGGGGAAAAAAGAAUCUUAUAAUAUCUGUCUUAGCGAAAAAAAUAUAUGUAAAUAUCAGAAACUAGUAGAACAGAGCCUGAAAAGCCAAUGAAGAACAUAUGUAAUUCUGAAGGAUAUCCUAACAUGUCAUGGUUUUGAAUGGGUUGGAGCAUCAGAUACCAUGCAAACAAUAUUCUGCAAAUAACAACUAACACUCAUUUUUGUGUUAUAAAAAUGUACUUUGUAGAAGAACUUUUUUUGCGAGUACAUUCUUUCCGUGGGAGAUACAACAGAUGUAAGAUCAUACAUGACUGACCGCCUCCCAGAAAAAUCAUUGACAUUUUAGACUAACAUCACAAUUAAUCUUCUAUGUUGCACUUAUGCCUAUCAAGCUUCUCUGUUUUCAUUUCGGUCGUGGCUCGGUGUGACCAGAUCAUUUUUUAAAUCAAAGUUCAGAAUUCAGCUGGUCAGGUUGGCUCGUCAUUGAAACAUGGAGCUAAUAAGAAGUUUAUGGUUACUACAAAUAUCAACCAAGAGGCACAGACUUCUUGUUACUCGGUAUUAAAUGCUGUGUAUCCUCAAGCUCAAUUUCACCUCCUCCCCAUUCGUCCCCACUUUCAAACAUCAUUUCGAUCUGCUCCAGUGUUUUCCCUUUUGUUUCUGGCACACAAAAGUACACAAACAGCACAGAGAUAGUGGAUAUUGCAGCAAAGACAAAGAACAUUCCUGCCACUGAUAUAGCACGGGCCAUAGAAAGGAAUGACAUGGAAACCAAACCACUGCUCACUCUACCACCUACUUGACCAAGUGCUGACCCUUGAGCUCGUAAUCUUAAAGGAAAUACCUCUGAAGACAAGACCCAACAUAUUGGUCCCAUGCCAAUUGAAAAGAAUGCCACAUUGCCACAAACUGCAAAAAUUGCUAGGUCGAUACCGAUACGUGGAGACAUAAGCCCCACAGCAUGCUUUUGAAGUGUAAGUGCAACCCCCAAGAGAAAUAAGCAGAUAGUCAUGCCGAUGGUGCUCACAUAAAGAAGUGGCUUCCGUCCAACUCUAUCAAUUAGGAAAAUUGCAACCAAGAUAAACACUGUCUUAGUGAAACCCACCGCAACAGUUGCAGCAAGAAGCUCCUGAUCAGACUUGAUCCCAGCAUCUUUGAAAAUUGUUGGGCUGUAAUAGACAGUAGCGUCAAUUCCUGUGAUCUGUUGGAACAACUGAAUACCGCAGCCAGCAUACAGCAUCCUACGAACAGCGGGAGAAGGGUUCAAAAGUUCUCUCCACACUUCUUUGUCCUCAGAUUUCAUUGAUUUCAUAAGACCUGCGGCUUCCUCGAUCUCAGCCAGCCGUUCUUCAGCUUCAGCUUCAGACUCGCUAAUCUGCAGCAGCACUGCCCUUGCUUCUGAAACUCUCUUCUCCAUCAUCAACCACCUAGGGGACUCUGGGAUCACGAAAAGCGCAAAGCCAAUGAAGACUGACGGGAGGAUGCCAACACCAAGCAUAAUCCUCCAAUUGAUGUGCUCAGAAAGGCCUGAGAAGGCAUAAUUGGAUACAUAGCCAAGGAGGAUCCCAAAAUUGAUGCAAAUCUCAGGAAGUGAUGUGAGAGUCCCACGGGCACCUGCAGGGGAGAUCUCAGCAAUGUACACUCCAGAUACCAUGGCACCAAAGCCAAUGCCAACUCCAGCAAGGAGCCUCCCGAUCAUAAGCACAGUGAAUGAUGGAGCAAACGUCAUGAUGGCUGCGCCUAUCUGGAACACAAUUGCACCGAGGCCCAUUGUCCAUUUUCUGCCAAUUGCAUCAGAUGUUCGUCCCCCUGAUAGGCUUCCCAAGAGUGAGACCACGCUCAGACAGCCUACUAGAAUUUCUUGCUGAAACUCGGUUAUGUGGAGAUCUUUCUGCAUGUAGAUGAUCGCGCCACUCAUUACGCCAACAUCUGCAGAUGAAAACACAAAUCUCAGAUCACCGAAACUGCAAAACGUUAAGCAGCAAGAAUAAUUGAUUUCUGAGCAUAGUGAUUGUCAGCAGACUUGGAAAACUCAGUCAGCCUGGUUUCAGAUGCUGGUUUGCACAACCAGAACAAAGAGAAGCCAAGAUCCUCUAGUACUUGUGAAACAUAGAGAAAAGGACAAACUAAGAGGAUCUCGAACUUGGCUCAUGUGAAAGGUUGUUGCUUGCAAUCACCAAAAGCCCCCCUAUAGUUGCUAGUAGCGUAAGAACGAAUCUAGCUGUUGUCUCGUGGAAGGCAUGAAAAGCGUUUCCAUCAGACCAGGCUGCAAAUUGCUAUCGCUGUCGGAAUCACGUUACGGUUCCAUGAUGGACCGGAUGAACAUAAAUUGCCAACAAAAAAAAAGAUGCCAAUUUCAUCCGUAAGCUUGGAUCCCUGUUGGCGCGCCGCCAACUCACCGUAGCCGAGGAGGAUGGCGUUGAGCGAGGCGAAGACCGCGCAGGCAUACACGAACCGCUCCCUUCUCCUCCUCUCGCUCUCGGGUGCCGCCGGCCUCCUCCGCCCCUCCGUCCCCGCGUUCGGCUCCCGCUCCUCGCUCCGAUCAAGAACCGCGUACUUGUUCCUGCCGCCAUUGGCCGCGUCGCCGGCGUCCGCCAUCGUCUUGCUCCGCGCGCUCCCGGCAGCUACCCGGUGGAGUUUCCUCGCCGCGGAUUUGUGCUCGCUCCGGAGAUCAUCAGUGGCCCGCGCCCCCGAGCCCCCAAAAUCCAAUGAAGCGUGCGCGAGGAAGGUGGGAGAGGAUGUCGAUGUGGUGUUGGUGUUCUUGCUCCGUUUCGCUCUCUCCCGUUUUGCCAGUUUCUUUAGGGGUAGGUGCGAUUUGUUUCCAUUUCUUUUCUUUUAUAUAUAUUUUUUGAAAGGUCAUUGUUUCCAUUUCUUCUCGAAGAAAUCCUCAGGACUACAAAUCCUUUUCAAGAAUGCAGGCGUGCAGCAGAGUAGUAGGGACCAAACUGGAAUUUGGAGACCUUUCGAGGUUAACCUUGGUAUUCGAUGAUUUUGUCCGAGUCAUACUCGGUUUUGACAUAGAAAAAUGUUGGAAGGACGACUUGGACGAGAUGCCGUGUUUACCACCUCUCCCGUCCUUCACGGAAGGUGUGUCACUGUGGCAUUGGCGCUACUUGUUAAGGGCUAAAUGAUGAUGACUGAUUGUGGAAAAUGAGAUGGUUUAUCGGCUUAAGGAUCUACCGGGUGGCAACGCAAGAUAGACAGAUUCACAGAUAGAAGUAUAGAACGUAGUAACUGCUACUAAUAUCUUUUCAGUUGUCUCCUGAGGAUGUCGCUUUCAUUCGAAGUCUAAGCAAAGGCAUGGCGGUUUGGACUAAUCAAUCCUCGAGUACGAAAGGAAAAAAUAUCACAAAGCUCCCUGGUCCACGUCAUGACAGUGGAUGUCCCCAAGACCCCACCUCAACUCCCCAUUCCAGGUGAUUCCCGAGUCGUUCUCGUCAGAAAUCUCGCCUGAAUUUGCCGAACAAGUACCGGCAGGCAGUACGUGGUGAAGCUGGUAUACCUUCGCUCUUCUUCCUUUUUUGUUUAGUCUUUGUUGAGGAUGGUUUCGCACUAGCGCAAGGUUAUUAGCAGCUGGAGGUUGAGGCAGGAAAAGCAAAGACGACGAACAGUUUCUUGGCAUGGAACGGGUCAAACAGCCGGCAGCUAGCCUGUUUGGACUUUGGAGCUUGAGUUUGGACCUCGCUAUGCGCCCACGCUAAGCUCCUGCGACGAAGACGGGUGUCCAAACUGACUCCUAGAGUUCACCGAUCGUCACACCAGAAUCAGAAAUGGAUGGUUUCAUUUGAAUGGUUGGUUUGCAGCUAAGAAAGCAAGAGGAACAUCCUAUACCAUGAUCUAUUCGUUCAAUCCCAGCGCGCAAAAAAAAAAAAUCGAAUUUCGUCUCUCCCUCCCUCAAUCCCCCAUGGCCAUGGGAGAAACGGAAAGAAAACGAUGGCAAUUUGCAGUCCAUGCAGGUGGAGCAUGUAGAGGGAGCAUGGACUGACCGUAGCCGAGGAGGAUGGCGUUGAGGGACGCGAAGAGCGCGCAGCUGAAGGCGUAGCGCUGGCCCCGCCUGCGCCGCUGCAUCUGCGCCUCGGCACGGUGCGCCCACUCCGCCUCGUCCAGCUCCUCCCCCUCCUCGCCCACCUCCAUCCUCCUGUACUCCCGCUUCGUCGCCAUUGCCGCCCUCAUCUUCACCGACUCCAUGAUCUCCCUCUCCGCCGGCGCCGUGCUUGUACCUAGCUAGCUAGCUAGCCUUCUUGCUUGCUAACACAGCUGCCACUGGCAACUACAACUGCGUUGUGACCUGCAUAUGCAGAUCUGACGCGAGGUCAGGGACUCCAAAUGCGGCUUUAGCGUUCGCUCGCUCCGGUUCAUCGGCUCAUCGCACAAGAAAUGGUUACUCAAGGACCUCUGGAGCUUAUUUUAGAGUCGCCUCCACGUUCACGGCAGGCCGUCAUCUUUUUCUUCCUAAUAAUUCUAUGUUGCAAGUGGCACGGGUACAGCGACUUGCGAACAGAUAGUCUCUCACAAGUUUAGAUCUGUUUGGUUCCGCUUCCCGAGGACGGUUUAGACUAAUAGCUAGUGCCGCCAAAGCUUUGGAGCUCAGGAUGGCCCUCACUUUCAACCAAAGUACAGGAUGGCAUUGCAGAGUUUAUAAGGUCCUACAGCCUACAUGGCCCUAAUAAGCCUAACUUGUUUCAGCAGUCUUUACACGAAUCUCGGUGCCUUAGUUUGCCAUAAUGCAUAUAUAAAAAUACUCGUACCACACAAGAAAGGGUUAGAGAGAAACAACAAGACCAACAAACCAAUAUAACAGUGUGAUUCUAUCAAGCAAGGGGCCGCUAUCCACUUAUCCAGUACAAGAACUAAGCAAAAGUUUGGAGGGGUCAACUGACUGACUUGCCUCACUGUACACUGAAGCCAUCGAAGAACAAAAUGGCAGAUAAAUUAAAGGUUUUUUAUUCAGAUUUCCUUGUCCUUGUGCUGAUACGCUAAAUGCUGAGGACGCUCUGCGUUGACUGGCCGGAAUUUGAGGAUCUUUUGAACGCUUGCAAGAUGAUUCACCUCCUUUGACAGAGCUUCCUUACUGCAGCUGGUUGGUUUAUCUGUAUUUUCUUCAGAAGGCCGCGUCUCAUUACUAGCAGGUUUUGGUUGAGCUUCUGACAAGAGAAGAGGAGAAACAGUGAAUGGAUCUACUCAUAUAUAAAAGAAAAACUGCAUCAGGUCAAACAAUGGAGGUUUCCAGCCUCUGCAGAAGCGAGGUUCCCCAAAAAAGAAUGAGUUGACAUUGAUUAUAGCAUGACUGACAAAGUCAGUACAAUCACAAGAAAAUUAUAUUCACUGCUUCGAUCCUAUGCUUGUGAAUGGAUUCAAUAAUAGAAUGGGUGUUCUACAUCUCAUAUGAAAUGAAAUGAACAUCUGAAAUUUUCGGGAAACAGCAUCACCAUAAUCGCACAGCAACAAAUUCACUUCAGGAAAUUUAACAGGCCGUGAAGAAAUAUCUGCAGAACAUAAGAUGUGGGGAGGGAGGGGACUUUUCAAUGUUGCUUACCACUUUCAGAGAAUAGAUAACAUGUGCCAACAGUUUCUUCAUAUUCUCCAAUCUGUCAUUAAACAAGGCAUUAACACUAGCACGAGCAAACUUUGUAAGCAGGUUAGAGCCUGUAAAAUCAAAGGUACUAAUUGGGAAGUUUCAAGUUUUUUUCACAUUUUACAAAGAAUAAAAUUGUCAGCAUAAGUGAACAGAUACAAAUGCAGUGCAACAAAAUAGCUAAUCAGCACUUAAUGCAUGUUCGGUACUAAAUGAACUAUAAGCACUUAUGGGUUUCCAUCUUGUCCAAUUAAAGUUUUCAAAGGCGCAAGGACAGUUAAGAAUCUUUGACGGAUAUGUACUCGAUAGUCACCAACAAUUGAACUCAAACACUAUUCAUUUGAUCUUGAAGAGUGGCAAUGAAAGUAGACUGGUGGUAUGUAAAAAAAAAGACUUGAUCUAAAAUUUGGAGCUUAGAAAAUCAGAUUUUGUGUUCAUGAAAAUGAAAAAAAAAAAGAAACAGUCUUUUGCAGCUAGUGAAAAGCACUGUUACAACCCACAGGGCACAACCCAAAAGACACAGUACAGAGUACAGAAACAUUACCAGAACAUGACUUACCAUCUUCAGACCAUUGCCUACUAUCAAGGUAGGCGUUAGUGUAUCCAAUCCCUGAAAAACAUGAUUCUCACAACUUAAUAACCUAACAUAAAUGCGAUGAAAAAAAAAUCCGGACAUAGCUGCGAGUCAUGAUAUUCAAUGAUCGUAUGACAAACAUAACAAGUUAAUUGCAGAGAUGUAGAUCCAGAUAAGAACCAACUUACAGAGAGUACAAACGGAGCACCUGGUGAUAAGUCUGAGUAAAGACAAUCGCCCAACUCCAGCAAUACAUACUCUUCCUCUUCCACUUCCUCUUCCUCCUGACCAAGUUUCUUGUCUUUCUCAAGUGUUUCUGACAUCUCCAAUUGCAAGACCAAGAAGACUCUUCAGUUCUAUUCUGCACGCAGGAGACCAGACCAGACGCCUAUGUUAUUAUAUGCAAACGUCAGCACAGUGCAGAAAACACUUGUAACCAGUAAUGCGUUCUAAUAUCAGUAUCAACAAUUCAGCAUUCAGCAACUAUGUAGUGACCUUCAAUAUUCAGUUGUUCACAGAUCAAUGUGCAAACAAAAUAUCAUAUUAUCAUUUGCGUUCCAGUGGCAGAUAUAGAGAGAUAGGGUGUACUGUUUCCUAAUUUAGACAAAUAAAAAUUGCGGCUAAUUUUAACUUGCAAUCGAACUGAAUCAGACCAAACACAAAUUGCAACCAAACAAUGUAUGCACCUGCCACCUAGCAAGGAACUUGGUAGCCAGCAGCGAGCCAUACCAUAGAAACCUCACAAUUUUGAUUCUUGAGCAUCAUAUAAAUCUGAAUUUAACCAUUUAAUGAGGGGGGAAAAGCAAUGUGAAUGCAUACCUAGCAAGGGGCUCGGCAAGGAGGCAGCACACCGGGGUCACGACUAUCGUACGGCAAGCGGAAGCACAGCAACGUAAGGAACGGCCGUAGACCCCGAUAGGGUGAUGAUAGCGACUGCCAGUGGGUCUCUCCUAGCUGCGGGCUGCGGCAGCGACCGGCGGGAGGGACCAGCCGACGGGCGGCGGUAGACCAACAGGGUGUGAGGGUGAUGAUCAGCGGCGGCCGGUGGGUCUCCCCUAGUUGCGGUAGCGACCGGCGGGAGGGACCAGCCAACGGAGGGCCGCGGUUGCGCGGCAAGGCGGCGGGGAGAACAGGAGAAGGAAGGGAGGAGGCUGCGCGCCUGCGCCCGUGUGGGCUUCGGCCAGCUGCGGCUAGGCGCUCGUGGGCCGAGACUGGCGAGCGCGCGGUGUGGGGUCUGCGAGCGGUAGCCCAUAGGCCGUAGCCAGCAAGAAGAGAUGGAGGAAUUUCCAUAUUUCAUACUGUAUUUGACAUCUGAAUCCACCAGCCCAGACAAAAGUCUGCUAAAAAAGUCUGAAUCCACCCUAAUUUUGGCCUCACUAAUUGACCACUAGACUAUUAAUAUAGUUUGACUUACACUCUAAAACCAAUUAGUGAGAUAAAUCAGACGGUUUUAAAGUUGGGGUAUACAAAUAUGUUUUUUAUUGAGGGAGAUAAAUUAAACUUCCUCCAUCGUAGGAACAUAAGGAUUCGAAGCGUACCGUAGAUUUGAAGGAUAUCAAAGAUUCAAAAAAUCUGGUUUUUUCUAGGGUAAUAACUUUCAAGUUUAAUGUUAAGUGAAGAGGUUUAUUUUUCCAAAAUAAUAGAUUCAUAGUUUAAGAAAAAGGAAUAUCUUAUCUUAUUUAUAUAUAUAGCACUUAUAUAUAUAAUGGAAGCUCUUUUUUCAUAUAUAUAUAUAUAUAUAUAUAUAUAUAUAUAUAUAUAUAUAUAUAUAUAUAUAUAUAUAUAUAUAUAUAUAUAUAUAUAUAUAUAUAUAUGUGGAGUAAAAAGGAAAUAUCCUAUAUAUCUAUAUAUGAAAAAAGAGCUUCCAUUCCUAAAUUUUGUUCAAAAUGUCGACCACUUAGCAUAGGCCAAUUAUAGUUAUUUCUUCUAAUCCAAAGCACAACUUGUUCACUUGGUUGAAACGUUGUUCCUUGAUUUGUUGUAAGAGAAAAAUAUUACACUUACUGUGGUCUAAAGUUUAACCAAUAAUUUUUAGGCUAUUUUUACUCUUGAGGUUUGAAGCAAGAGGUCUAAAGUUUAGAUUAUCUCACAAAAAUUUAGACCACACAAGCAAGCUAAAGUGGUCUAAAGUUUUAAAGUUUUAGUCCUCAGCUUUAGUCAACUAAAUUGUAGACCUAAGAGUCCAAACGGACCCUAAGUAGUGUCUUAGGGGUGCAAAGCUAGGAUACGAGAAAAUCAUGACAAAGAAGUGAAAGAUCAUUUCAGCUUCUUUUGUCUAGCCUAGCAUCCUCUUUUUAGUUUUUCUCGCUCCACAACCGAGUGUUUUUUUAAUCAGUGACGUUCUAGUUAUAUCCUAAGUCAACAGUUUAGCAUGUGGCCAAGUUUCUUAUAAGAAAUGCAUCCACAAUAAUAAAUAAAAAGCACAAUUGAUACAUUUUAUGAUGUAUUCCAUGAAAUUAAUUGGAUACUAUAGAUGCAGGCUUAUAUAUUUUCUAUAUAGAUCUUGUGAUGCUAUUUAUAACAAAACUAAAGCAACAUGUAUUUCAAAGUGGAGGGAGAAGUAAGCAUGUCCGCUUCUCGACCAUCCAGUCAUUCACGUGGCGAUGCACACCCCGUGAGGCCGUGACAGGAAACAGGAUACUUUAGGCAUUGUUUAGUUCACCCCGAAAACCAAAAAGUUUACAAGAUUUAUCGUCAUAUCGAAUCUUUCGGCACAUGUAUGAAGCAUUAAAUAUAAACGAAAAUAAAAUCUAAUUCCACAGUUUACAUGUAAAUCGCGAGACGAAUCUUUUAAUUCUAGUUAGUUCAUAAUUAGAUAAUAUUUACCACAAACAAAUGAAAGUGAUACAGUAGCGAAAUCCAAAAUCUUUUCGCAGCUAAACAAGGUCUUAGAUUGGUUUCACUCCUAGAGCUGCGUGUAGAACCUGAAGAAGUCGGAGACAACACUGUGGAACUAUGGCGAAUCGCAUGAUCUCCCGCGCUCCACUGCCACUCGACCAGCCCAGGCCUUGUUUAGUUCCGAAAAGAUUUCGGAUUUCGAUACUGUAGCACUUUCGUUUGUUUGUGACAAAUAUUAUCCAAUUAUGGACCAACUAAGAUCAAAAGAUUCAUCUCGCGAUUUCCAGCUGAACUGUGUAAUUAGUUUUUACUUUCGUCUAUAUUUAAUGGUUCAUGCAUGUGCCGCAAGAUUCGAUGUGACGGGGAAUCUUGAAAACUUUUUGCUUUUUAGGGUGAACUAAACAAGGCCCCAGUAGCCCACGAGGCCACAACCACUCAGCGUCACCGUGAUCCCCUCCAGUCGUCCAGUAUCGCUGUCGCCCACCAGUUCACCACCACGUGACAGGGUAUCUGGGUUGGUAACUCACAUGGCUUUCCGUUAGGGUUGACAGGUCCAUAGCGGUAAAUCUUGCCACUGUGCAUGCAACGGCAACGGUCAAGCGAAGCGAGGUGGGCACUGGGCAGACCGCCGCCACCACGGCAGACGCGCACGUCAACGGUCUUCCGCCAGCCCCGAGGGGCGCUUCCGUGGUGUCGCAUCCCCAGUUCCCCCACUUUCACAGUUUCACUACCUCCCUGCGCGUCCGCGGCACAGCACCAGCAUGCACAUGGGGUGAGGGCCCGGAGAGCGGCAAAAGGUCACUCCUGCACAUUGUAGCUUUUAGCCCAAGUGUUUAACCAUGCCAUGCGUAUUAUUAAGGUCUUGUUUAGUUCACUCAAAAUCUAAUUUUUUUAAAGAUUUUUCUAUUACAUUGAAUUCUACGGUGCAUAAAAUAUUAAAUAUAGAUAAAAAAUAACUAAUUAUAUAAUUAUCUGUAAUUUGCAAAAUGAAUUUUUUAAACCUAGUUAACAUAUAGAUGGACAAUGAUUAUCAAAUACAAAAAAAAUACUAUAAUGUCAAAAUCUAAAAAGAAUUUUUAAUCUAAACAAGGCGUAGACAAACAAAGCCAAGAACAGACAUCUCCGUAGUUGCAGCGUGCCGUUGCAACAUAACAACAGCCCGUUCCGGUUACGGCCAACUGUCACAAACAAAGCGACACUCGUGGCUCCAGUUCCACUAGCCGUGGGACUCACACACCGGUCACUUGGACCGUGGACCCUGCCGCACACUGCAUUCCUGAUUGCUGUAUUUCUUUCCCCAGUAUACCUUUUCCGCUAUAAAACCUGCCCAUCUUGUACAGACUACAGAGCAGCUACCACCCAGGCGCCCAGGCCAGCCAGCCGAGAGCACCUCUGCCUCUGACUGAGAGCAUUGGGGCUUGGGAUUUCUCGAAGCCAUAAAAGAGCGAGCCCCAAAAAGAAGCCUACCAAGUACCACCAUUCCAGUCAAGUCCAGUCCAGCGAGGGGAAGAAGAAGAAGAAGAAGAAGAAGAAGAAGAAGAAGAAGAAGGGGAGGAGGGGGCGAGGAGCCAGAGCCAACCCAAACCUCUGAACACCCCCGCAAAUGGGUUCCUCGCGCGCCCUCGCUCUCUUCCUCCUCUGCGCUCUGCUGCCCGCGCCCCCCAUCUCAGUCUCAGCCGCAUUGCUGUUCGGCGGCGGCAAGUCGGCCAAGGCGGCGGGAGCCGACAUGGAGUGGCGGCCGGCGACCGCGACGUGGUACGGCGAGGCCGAGGGCGACGGCAGCGACGGUGAGCACUCUCCUCCUGGGCUCCUCAACUCCGUAUCGCACUGGUCUUAUCCUAGCGUUUACUGGGGGGCAUAGUAGAUACGGAGUAGUUGUAGUAUAGGAUACGAGCAAAAUACUUGCAGUGUACAGCCAUACUGUCAUUCUUAAUUCACUCGGUGAGUUGAUUAUUACCGCAGGAUUCUUCAGCUGUUACUCUAUCUAUCUACUGCUAUCGCAGUGUACAAUUUUCUUUACCGCGUAUAGAAGAAAAUGGUUUUGUGGUGGCUGGUAGUGGUAGCAGUAAAAAAAAUAGGAGAGGAAUAAAUAAUUCCACCCGUUGCGACAAUUUUUUUUGGCGGGACCUCCCUGCGCAUCCCAUGAAUCGCGGAGCGAAUUUCGGUGGGCCCGGGCUGGGCCCCAGUACGCGUGUCAAGCGCCUAGGUGCCCCGUUGCUUUAGGAUUCGUGCUGCCGCCAGCCCGUUCUCUCAGCCCCGGCGACCUUCCAACAUGCAACAGGUCCAUGCAGUCCCCAGUCUUCGGUACCGUUUGCUGAAAUCUUGACGAAUUAAUGCAGCAUUGCACUCUCUGCCCCGUCGUCCACCGACACUGCGGGUAAUCUCCAUGCUAUCAAAUCAGUAGAAGUUACAGUAAUCCCUGCUCGGUUUUUAACUGCUGCCAUUUACGCCGUCCUGAGCAGUACAGUACAUACGUCGUGCACUGCAUGACCUUCAGGUUUGUCGUCCUAUUGACGCGUCUCGCAACUGAACAGUACCCACGUAUGAGCCCGUGACUUUUGUCCAUCACAAUUGGGCCUUGUUUAGUUCCAAAAUUUUUUGCAAAACAGGUACUGUAGCACUUUCGUUUGUUUGUGACAAAUAUUGUCCAAUCAUGGACUAACUGGGCUCAAAAGAUUCAUCUCAUCAAUUCCGACCAAACUAUGCAAUUAGUUUUUAUUUUCGUUUAUAUUUAAUACUUCAUGCAUGCGUCUAAAGAUUCGAUGUGACGGGGAAUCUGAAAAAUUUUGCAAAAUUUUUUGGGAAGUAAACAAGGCCUUGACACACACAGCCCACAGGCUCUGUUCACGUCAACCUGCAUUUUCCAUGCCCUGUACGUCUCGGCUGUUCCCUUCCUAAUUUCUCUUCUUGUGAAAAAAUUUUGAAUUUCGUUACUGUAGCAUUUUUAUUUAGGAUAAAUAUUAUCCAAUUAUAGACUAACUAGGGUUAAAAAAAAAUCGUAUUGUAAUUUACAGUCAAACAAUGUGAUUAGUUUUUAUUUUCGUUUAUAUUUAAUGCUUAAUGUAUGUACCGCAAGAUUCGAUUUUUUUGGUUUUCGGUGUGAAGUAAACAACGCCUUGUUUUUCUUUCAGGCGGCGCGUGCGGGUACGGGACGCUGGUGGACGUGGUGCCGAUGAAGGCGCGGGUCGGGUCGGUGAGCCCCGUGCUGUUCAAGGACGGCGAGGGCUGCGGCGCCUGCUACAAGGUCAAGUGCCUGGACCGCGGCAUCUGCUCCCGCCGGGCCGUCACGGUGAUCGUCACGGACGAGUGCCCCGGCGGGCUCUGCGCCUUCGGCCGCACCCACUUCGACCUCAGCGGCGCCGCCUACAGCAGGAUGGCAGUCGCGGGCGCCGGCGGCCGCCUGCGUGACCGGGGCCAGCUGAACGUCGUGUACCGGAGGUGAGCACCACACCACGCACAACCCCCUCUCUAGGCCUGAUUUAGUUCUAAAAUAUUUUGCAAAAUGGACACGGUAGCUUUUUCGUUUGUAUUUGACAAAUAUUAUCUAAUCAUGGACUAACUAGGCUUAAAAGAUUUGUCUCGUCAAUUCCGACCAAACUGUACAAUUAGUUUUUAUUUUUAUCUAUAUUUAGUACUUCAUGCAUGUGUCUAAAGAUUCGAUGUGACGAGAAAUCUGAUUUUUUUUUUUAUUUUUUUGAAACUAAACAAGGGCAGUCUUGCUCUGAAUGCUUCGUCAGUUCAGAAUCAACUGCUGCAGGUGUCUCGUAAAUCGUGAUGCUGUGCUGAAAAAUGGCCACUUGGCGUCUGAAAAUAUCGCUGGUGCUAUGAUUUACCCCUGUAGGAGUAGUAGUACUUAAUGUACUACGAUCCUGAUUCCUGCGGGGGUAGUGAAUUCAAUUGUCCAGGGUUAAAUGGGAGGGAAUGCAGCCCAGCUGUCCGUCAGUCUGAGAACUGCUGCUGGUGUUAACCCUGGGUUAAACAUGCUGCUGCCUGAAAUAACUCAGUCAGAGUCGCAUCUGAUCACUUGUAAAUACCUCCUGAUCAAUCUCUGCAGGGAAGGGGGUUACUAGAGAUUGCAGCAGAUGUCACUACUAGGGCCUUGUUUAGUUCCGAAAAAUUUUGGAAAAUCGACACUGUAGCACUUUCGUUUGUAUUUGACAAAUAUUAUCCAAUUAUAGACUAACUAGGCUCAAAAGAUUCGUCUCGUCAAUUUCGACCAAACUGUGCAAUUAAUUUUUAUUUUCAUCUAUAUUUAAUACUUCAUGCAUGCGUCUAAAGAUUCGAUGUGACGGGGAAUGUGAAAAAUUUUGCAAAAUUUUCUAGGAACUAAACAAGGCCUAGAAAAAAAACGAUUAGUUCAGUUACUGGCUUUGGCAGUUAGAUUCCCUGUUUCGUUUUCUUUCUGAAACUGACCGGUGCAGUGUCGUUUGCCUGUAUGCAUAAACGGAUACCAGGACGGCCUGCAAGUACGGCGGGAAGAACAUAGCGUUCCGUGUGAACGAGGGCUCGACUAACUUCUGGCUCUCGCUCCUCGUCGAGUUCGAGGACGGCGAAGGCGACAUCGGAUCCAUGCAGAUGAAGCAGGUAAAGGACGAUUCUUUCUGUGAAUAAUUAUUUUAAAUUACGGUAGUCAGGGAUUUGAGCUCGAGACAUAUAAUUCUAAAAUCAUAUUAAAUUACACACACCGACUAAUUUAACUUACAAGCUUAAUUCCAUUGAGAAGACGGAGAAUUCAUUUUAUAUUUUAGGAGUAAGAUACAUAUUUCACCCUCCAAGCACCAACUGGCUAAAUCGGUGGUUUUACGUUCUAGUAUAAAUAAUAAUAAUAAUAAUAAUAAUAAUAAUAAUAAUAAUAAUAAUAAUAAUAAUAAUAAUAAUAAUAAUAAUAAUAAUAAUAAUAAUAAUAAUAAUAAUAAUAAUAAUAAUAAUAAUAAUAAUAAUAAUAAUAAUAAUAAUAAUAAUAAUAAUAAUAAUAAUAAUAAUAAUAAUAAUAAUAAUAAUAAUAAUAAUAAUAAUAAUAAUAAUAAUAAUAAUAAUAAUAAUAAUAAUAAUAAUAAUAAUAAUAAUAAUAAUAAUAAUAAUAAUAAUAAUAAUAUGUUUGACCUCAAGAAACUCAUAAUUAAAAUGUUAUCUACAUGUAAAGCAUCAACACUUAAAUAACAUUUUUAGAAUAAAGUUGGUACUAGUUUCGUGUUUUCUAAUUUAUCAAAAGAAAUUAUUUAUGAAUUCUAAAAACUAAACCAGAUUUUUAUUAUUUUUUAGAAACCAAACAUAGGGACAAAUUGACUAGUUUCAACAGUUGGAGGGUGUCUGUCAUCCCAUUUCAGCGCUCAAAAUUGCAGUGAUAUACAACCUAGGUUUGGAAAAAUAUACUUUACCCUAUGUAUAUUUUUACACAUCGUAGAGUAGUGGCACACAGCAAAGCCAUCGGGAGGAAAAAUAGACUAUCCCCUCUCCAUGGGCCAUGUAUAGGUCUCGAGAUGCACCGAACAAAAAAAGCCACAGCCCAUAGCUUAACCCCAGAGCAUGUUGAAGACAUCAGACGUGUGCGUGCUCCAGUGUUGCCGCUGUCGUUUGGCCAAUGCUAUCCUGCCCUGUCUGGUAGAUCGAAUCGAUGUCUGUCGAUAUGAAGAGGCGAGAGGCCGGCCAAAAGAUCUGGCAGCUAAAAAUCUCUUGACGUUCUUUACCCAUUCUUAAGGUCACACAAGGUCACAAGGAAAGGAAGGCAGCACCUUAUCUGGAACAGGGAAAAUCCAGCACCGCAUGGAACAGACCACAGAGGCGUGCGGUGCAGCGUGCUAGUGCUGCUACUUUCUCGCGCUGCGCUGUCUACCACACAAGCCCCUAGUCAAAGCUUUGCAUAAACCUAAAUAGUUUAAGACAUGCAUGAUCUUCUUUGCCGAAUGAUUCCCGUUCUGAAUGUGUUGGAAAAGCAGCACGUGAGCCCCCUGGCUGCUCAUGCUGCUGUCUGUUGCUCCAUCGAGGACACUCAUCUCGAUCAGUCGCCUUUACGCCCCCUGUACUGUAACUGUAAUGAACUGCUCUGUGCCGGCCGCCCAUGAUGUUGUUGUUUCUUCAUCAGCUUCGGUCUGAGUCUAAAGACGGCCAUGAAGCUGGAAGAGUAAAGAAACCCAUGCCUGCUUUGCUUUUGCGUUGCACUAGUGAGUGCUUUCACGGUGGCCGUUGAAUCCGAGACAGCCAUGCCCGUGCCGUGUGCCCGGUGGCAUGCACGCUAGCUUGUGGCCGAUCGAGUCGUCGUCGUCCUGGCCUUUCCUUUGUUGGGCUAGGGAAUCCAAAGAUGCCAAGGAAUCCCAUGCGACUUCUUGGUCCCUUGGAGACGUGCUGUGCUGCUGCCUUUGUUUUGUUGCCUUUGUAAAAAGUUUCAGACGCCGCUGCGCUUUGCCUAGCCCUAGUGGUAGUGGCCUGGGGUUUUAACUAGCAGUAACAACAGCUGUUCCCUGCUAUUGCUUUACAUUCAUUCACCUUUGUGUUUGCUUGCCAAACCAUUUGUCAUGCAAUCGCUGCUCUGCUAUGCUGUGUAUGUUGCAGGCCAACUCGGUGGAGUGGCUGGACAUGAGGCACGUGUGGGGGGCCACGUGGUGCCUGGUGCGGGGCCCGCUCGUGGGCCCCUUCUCCGUGAGGCUCACCACGCUGUCCGCCCGGAAGACGCUCACGGCCCGCGACGUCAUCCCCAGGAAUUGGACGCCCAAGGCCACCUACACCUCGCGCCUCAACUUCCAGCCGUCUCUCUAGGGAGGAGCCCCGCCGGAGACUGCCGGAGGGGAGAGGGGGCGCGGCGACCGGGGGCCCACGUUUUAUCGGCCCCGGACUCUGCCUUGUGGGCCCGCAAAGGCUGGUGGCCCACUUGGCAGGCAGCCAGGCAGGAGGAAUCCAGACUGUUUUUUUUUUUUUUUUUUUUGCUGUAGUGCAAGCAGCUUGGUUUUAUAUGAUUUUAUUUUAUCCUCGUAGCGUAGCUAGCUAGUGUGAGGUGAUUCAUGAUCAUCAUAGCAGGCAUCGGAGGACAUGCAUGCGUGAUGGCUGAUGAGUUGAGUCCGUUAGGGGGCCCAGAGUGUCAGGUACAGGCAGCCGCCCUCUCCAAAGGAGAGAGCUAGCGCUCGCUGCUUGCUCUCGGGCUCCAGCUCAAGCCCUUGGAGGCUCGGAAUCCGAUGUGGAAGCUGGUUGCGCCGUGAGGGUUUUGGAUCCCUCGUGGUGUCUGCUUCUGCUUCGCUCGUGUGUGGUGUGGCUGUGUUUUUGGCGUCGAUGUGUUUCCUGUCUUGUGUUUGCCCUGUUGAUGAAUGCAGGGUUCGUGACAAAAGUUGUUUAUCUGUCCACAAUGAGGAAUGCGCGUCUGAUGCUGCUCAGAAAAGGAAAGAAAAAAAGAGAUGAACAUUCGUGGCAUAUAUAUGUAGUGAAGAUAGAAACUCAUCCCAAAAACAUACUUUGAACCCUUGAAAAACUAAGCAUAUAUACAAUAUCCAUAAUGUGUUAAGAGAUGACCUUUUUUUAAGCAAAAGUUGAGAUGCAAAGUCGUUGAUGAUUUUUAUUUAUUAAAAAAAACGAUUUUGCUUCCUAACUUUUGCACAAGCAGCGGCGUAUAUGGAAAAACUAAGGAUGUGUUUGAGUUCUCGAUAGACUGAACUGAUUUUUUUUCAUGAGAAAACUAGGCUCUAUUUUUUUUUAUUACAACAAAUAGGUAUGUCUUCGUUCAAAAACAAAUAGGUAUGCCAUGAGCUGUUUUAUAUCCGUAAUAACAUACAUGCACUCAACUAGUAAAAAAUAAAAAAAAAUAAAAUCAUCUUCAAAACUAUUUAUAAUAGGGCUAGAGAGGUAAGAUAGAUGAUUUUAAAAAUUAAGAAGAUGUUUUGUUCGAUUUUGAAAUUUAAGGAGGAAAAAAGACUUUUACCAAAGUUGAGAGAGAUAAUGUUAAUUUUUUUCCGUUCCUCCUUGCUAAAGACCGAAUAGUAUUUCGGUCUCCAUGCUCUCCGGUACCAAAGCAUCGAAGGUCCAACGCAUCGAGCCCAUGAACCAGCCCAUUACUCCGUCUCCAGCGCAGGUCCGCGUCCUCCCUCGCAACCACGCGGCCCUCCCCUCCCCGCGGUCCGCGGAGGUCGCGGCCCACAGGCGCUCGGCCCUCCCCGCCGGAGGUUGCCGCCCCGCAGCUACGCCGUCCUCUUCACGCCGCAUUUUCCCCGCACCCGCAGCCAAACCCCACCGUAUCGUCGGUUCCCCUGAGCCUAGGGUUUAACCAGCAAACGCCGCGCUUCUCGAAGCAUGUCACCGCCGUCGUCGCUCAAGCACCUGCCCCCGGCAACCGCCGCCGCGGCCUCUCCGCGCGCGGUCGCCACCCCGAGAGCCACCGGGAUUCGCGGCCUCUGUGCACUCCCGACUUGGCGCCUCCGGUGCUCAGCCUCCGCCGCCGUGGCCGCCACCGAGGUGAUGGUGCACGCCUCCUCCACGUGGAAUUUCCCGGAAUCCUGCUAGUGAGGUAUUGGUUGCUUUGUGACUUACGGGCUGUGCGGUGUUGUUCAGAUGGUUGGUGCUCCGCUGGACUGGGCGGGGAGGUCGCUGGAGGAGUUGCGCAGCUUGCCGGACCACGACACGUUCUGCCUGAUGGCGCUCUCGCCGCUGGACGGGCGAUACGAUCGCUUCGUCAAGGAGCUGAUGCCCUUCUUCAGCGAGUUCGGCCUAAUCAGAUACCGUGUUCUCAUCGAGGUAUCUGACAUUUGGGACAGUUUAAGCUCCUUGCAAACUCUGCAUCUGCCUACAAUUUUGAUUGGAGAUUGGACGCUUGAGAGCCUGUUUCUGGUGUUAUUGUCAAUGCUGCUUAGCUGACGCACCUUUCUUGCUCUUCAGAUCAAGUGGCUACUGAAACUUUCUCAAAUUCCUGAGAUCACUGAGGUGCCUCAGUUCAGCAAGGAAGCCCAGGCUUUCUUGAAUGCUAUUAUUGAGGAUUUUUGCAUUGACGAUGCAAAAGAAGUAAAGAAAAUUGAGAAAGUAACCAACCAUGAUGUGAAAGCUGUCGAAUACUUUCUGAAGCAAAGGUGCAGCUCAAAUCCAGAGAUUGCAAAGGUUGCAAGUAGGAUCUUGUUGUGUAUAGGAUUAAUUAUUUGUGGUUAGACUUUAAGCUGAGUGGCAUCUUGAACCUGUUUUCAGGUGUCGGAGUUCUUCCAUUUUGGUUGUACCUCUGAAGAUAUCAACAAUUUGUCACAUGCAUUGGCUCUGAAAGAGGGGGUAAAUAGAGUUAUGUUCCCUGCCAUGAUCGACAUAUGCAGAGCAUUGUGUUCCUUGGCAACACAAAAUUCAGGCUAUCCUAUGUUGGCUCGAACUCAUGGGCAGGUAUGACUUAUGAAGCCACCUUCACCAUAAUAUUUUAUUGCUGUUAUACAGCAAGAACAAGAAGUUUUUUGUACCCUUUGUUUGAAACAUAGCUUAUCCAUAGUCACCUCUCGAAGGACUUCUAUGUGAGAUAUAUGAUAUAAAAUAAUUACUUAUCGGGGCUUAAUGUUUUGUAAGUUUGCCUGGUUGAUGCAGCAAGGUGAUUUUGAGUGAUAGUAAAUUGAUAAGUUCAUAAUGAAAAGAAUGGAAUUGAAUGACUUAUCAACUCAUUCAGCUUUUUCCAAGGCAACAUGGGUGGAGGAAAUACAAACCUGCACUAUUUAUCAACAUAGUCUAGGAGAUUUAAUAAAAAGAUUAUUGUACUGUUCUGGCAGAUAAUCUUCAACCUUUCCAUUUGUACAGGAAAACGGAAAAAUAUUUCUAUAUGUAAAAAAAUUGUUCUUCAGCAGUGUUGCUUUGUGGAGUUCAGCUCUGUAGCUCUUUUGAUACAAUAGUUAUUAGUUAACAUAAUUGUCUUGCUCAAUUGCUUGUAUGUUAGUGGAAUGCGCUUGCUUUGCCAAGAAAGACAUGAUUUGGAACCCUGUCUUAAAUUGUUUCCAAUUCCUGCUUGUAGCCAGCAUCACCAACAACCGUGGGAAAGGAGAUGGCAAACUUUGCGGCCAGAUUAUCUGAUAUAGGAAAGAGUUUCUCAGAGGUGAAGAUACUAGGGAAAUUUGCUGGCGCUGUUGGCAAUUACAAUGCUGAUGUGGUUGCAUAUCCUGAAGUUGACUGGCCUAAGGUGGCAGAAGAAUUUGUUAGAUCCUUGGGUUUGCAGUUUAAUCCCUACGUUACUCAGGUGAUCUAUAUUCUUUGUUUUGACAUUUAGUUUCUUCUCUGGUCUUCUAUGUUCUUGCACAACUAGGGAGUCUUCUCAAAUUCCAGGGUGAUCAUAACCAUCAACGUAGUUGGUUCUGAUGCAGUUUUAUCCCUUUUACAGAUUGAGCCUCAUGACUACAUAUCAAAGCUCUUCAAUCUAUUCACCCAGUUCAACAAUGUGUUGACUGAUUUUGAUAGAGACAUGUGGUCCUAUAUAUCAUUAGGCUACUUCAAGCAGGUAAACUAAAAUGGCUUGACACUACAGUGUGGGAGGAUUAAACUUGUACUGCAAGGGAACAAAUUGAUGGUAUUGAUUUUUAUCUUCCAUAUUAACUUGCAACAUCUUCCAAAACUCUUUUUUCAGAUACCAAAGGCUGGUGAAGUUGGUUCUUCCACUAUGCCUCAUAAAAUCAACCCCAUUGAUUUUGAAAACAGUGAUGGCAAUUUAUGUCAGGCGAAUUCUAUAUUAUCUGGUAUAAGCAUGAAACUGCCAAUAUCCCGGAUGCAGGUAUUGUCACUAAUCCAAUUUUAUGCCUCAAUUUCAGUUUUUCUAACAUGAGGUGUCAGGAUGAAAAUCUGGUGCCUGUAUUCAUGGCACCUAUGCGAGAUUGGAUCUUAAAUUACAUUUACCAUAUCAUUAGUAUAUACACACACUAAUGAACCACCAUGUUGUAUCAUUGACAGCGUGACCUGACAGACUCAACUGUUUUGAGAAACUUGGGUAUGGGAUUAGGUCAUUCUCUAUUGGCUUACAAAGCUACCAUACGUGGAAUCAGCAAAGUUCAGGUAGGUGGCCCAGAGCUCGUCCUUUGUCUAGCUUGUCUUUUUUCUCGUUACAGAUGAUAUAGUUGUAGCUUCAACUUCAAUAUAGUUGAUGCAUGUUUAAUUUUAAGUUUAUGAUUAUUAUAAGUACUUGCAGAAUGCUUGAUGAUCAAGCAGAUAGACCUACCUCACCACUUGCUCUUUUCAUAAGUUUUGGCUUGACGGGGGAAGAUACACUAUAAAUUAGUGGUGACUGCUAGUGUAGGUGUUUACCCAACUAAAGUCCACACCACUCAAACCAGAUGAGGAUAGCUGGCUUAGUAGGAUAAAGAUCUUCCUUUUAUGCAGUGCUCAACUGCACGCACUUCUUGCACCAAUACAUGGGAAUAUCAGAUGUUUACUUUUCUUUACUAUUGAACUGAGAUAACUAGGUUAAAUUUUUGCAUGCAUUUUUAGUAAUUAUGAUCAGGCUAGAAAUUUGUGCUGAAUCGGUGCCUAUACAGGUGAAUGAAUCACGUUUAGCUGAAGACUUGGAGCAAACUUGGGAGGUCCUUGCUGAGCCAAUACAGACAGUAAGCCAUCUGAUUUUUCAUUUUCUGUCCAUUUCCCCUUAAUUCUGUUCUGGUUGCUGCCACAAAGUGCUUGUUGUGUGCACAUCAGGCAUGUAUCAUGUUACUGUAAUACUGUUAUUACUCUUUGUAGGUGAUGCGAAGAUAUGGAAUACCUGAACCUUAUGAGAAGCUGAAGGAACUGACGAGAGGUCAAGCUGUGACCAAGGACAGCAUGCAGCAAUUCAUUGAUGGUCUAGACAUACCAGAGGAGGUUCGAUCAAAGCUUUCGAAGCUAACCCCCCAUUCUUAUACUGGGCUAGCGGAGGAUUUGGCCAGAGACAUCGAGAAGUGGGUUGAUCUGGAAUCUGGAUUUCAAAUCAAGUGAGCUUCCAUUUAAAAAUGGAUAAUCCUCCCCACUUUUUUCCUCUUUGACAAUGACAAAAAAAAUAACAGACGGGAGCCCUAGAAAACGAAAAUUUUAAUGGGUUGUGGCCUCUGAAUUGUCGACCAAGAUAAUUUACGUGGUUCUCAUUUAUGAUAAUUUUUGGCACAUGUAAAAUGCGCCUCAAGGAACUUAUGCUAGCUGUAUCUUGGUGAAAAAUUAUCGAGCUAAAAAAGUUGCUUGCUCGAUUUCUUAUAAGUACGGAGUUGUUUUGCAACGCCUGGUGCGGUAAGCUAAAAUGCUUAUAUUAUGCUAUUUCUUUUUAGUUACUGCAUACAAUACUUUCUGUUCGGUUGCUUUGUUGAGGGUCUUGUCUUGUGGGAUGUAAAGCCUCCAUUCAGCACGUCAUAUACAAAUAAAGGUUACCUAUUCUACGUACCGGCUAAAACUGCAAUCACGUUGGGCUCAAAAUGACUUGUAGAAUAGAAAGUCGAAACGAAGAUGGAAGGAGGGAGAGCUAGCGAGAAUAAAUAAGAAUGGCAGUGUGUGCACCCAUAAAAGACGGAGUGGCAGGUAAUCUGGCAGGUGAGAUUUUAAUUUUAAUUAGACAGUCACACACACAGACACUCGACGCACUGCAGUGAUAUUUUCGAUUUUUGGAAUGAUGCUAAAGCGACUUUGGUUAUCGGAAGCACUGAAUGAUGCAAAAGCAGACUUGGGUCAUCGUUGGAUGCUCACAUUGGUUCCACACGCAUUGAUUCAUAUACAAAGCAAUUGGUUCCAUACGCAUUGAUUCGUACGAAAAGCAAAUAAUGCUCGAUAGCGACGGAAAAGGAGGUUUACGAACUUUACCAGCCAGGCAGCCGGGUAGGGCAGCCACCCGUUCGGAAUUGACACCAGAGGUUGUGCAGUUGUGCCCCUGAAACGGUGUUUCAUCGUUAUCCGGGUCCUUAUCCGGAGCUAACCAGCUCCCGAUAGUUUUUUUUUUCUGCAACGGCACGGAAGACGGCGGGGGUGAAUCCUUCCGGUUUUUUGCUGCUUCAGAUUCGCAAAAAAUAGAUGGAGCAUGAUUGAUGCUAGCAGGCAGCUGACAUUGUUGCUUUGCUAAUGCUGUUACUACUAAGGCCAGUAUCAGUGGAAGUUUUAUGUGAGUUUCGUUUGUAUUAAAUUAGUUGUCACAUAGGUUUUUUUUAUGACAUGGCGGUGUAUUUAAGAAAAGAGAAACUCUCUUAGCACGAUUAUCAACCCUCUAUGAGGUUUGUAAUUAAAUGUCUAUGAAACUAUGAAAUGAAACUCUACAUUGAAAGUGGGUGUUUUAUUCAAGUUUUAUUCCAUUUCACAUGACAUGGCAGUCUUGGAAACGACGUCAUGAAAACCCCCCACUGAGACUGGCCUAACGCGAGUCUGUUUGCUGGUCCGAAAAGCUAGCCUGUUCGUUUGAGCUUAUCGGCCGAAUCUGCUAGCCAUUUAGCAGCGUUUUUCUCUCACAACAAAUCAGCCAACAAUACUUUCUUUCAUGGCUUAUCAACCAAACGAAUAAGGCGCUGAAAGUAUUCAUUGAUAGUAUUGUUCACUGAUUUUGUCGGGUACCGUAAGCCAGGGUACCCUAACUAAUAACAUAAAAAGCCAGAAGCUGCUUUUUCAAGACAAAGGUCAAGGUCCAAAACUCCUAAAAGGCACUCCCAGGUUAGGCUGAAAUCGCUCUUUUUCAGCCCAGGACAGGCCUCGAGCAACAGGGACUCCUCCUUGACUCACCCGAGGCUAAGACCAAGCCUCGGGCGAUUUCACCACCUCGCCCGAGACCCGGCUCACAUCCUCUGUUCCCACACUUCCUGCCCAUGGUGAUCGAACCGCGGAUGGGACGUGAGGCAUGCUCCCACCCAUGCCACGACAAGGAAUGGCGCUCGCUGUGCUACCUGCUCUCGUCGCUUCGACACCUGACUCCUAUCACUGUGCAUACGAAUUGAGUCAGGAAGAAUAAGCAACGUUAGAUCCCGAACGCUGUCACAACGGGGCCCGCCAACAUUUCUCUACACAGGUUAGGGGGAGAGGCCUUGGGGACUAGCCUCGGCAUGGCAAGAAUAGAGCUCGAGAUAGCGACAACAGGGCCAGGCGUCAUAUCUACAACGUCAAGGAUGGCUCGACACGAUCAAUGGAAGCAACCACCCCACGAUCACAAUCACAGAAUCACUACAGCUCUAGGGAUGAAGCACCUCACUGUUACCGCGCGAACACCAUGCCUCGGCCCGUGCUCUGGGUCGGGUCCGUAGCAUCACUGCACCAACACAUGUACUCCUUCCCUCCUCUUGAACUAUAAAAGGGGGGAAGGGCCUCAUCUGAGGGGGGUUCACUCACACAACACAUCCAUACAAUCACGCUCUAAGACGAGACUUGGGACAUAUUCCCUCUCUCAUGACUCGCUUGUAACUCCUACAACGAGCAUCCUGGUGCAGGACAAUACAAGCUCUUUCCUCAUACUGGACAUAGGGCAUACUUAGUCUGAAUCAGUAUAAAUCCUUGUGUUCUUUCUGUAUCACCAUCCGGGUUUGAGGGGCACGCAGACUCAUAUUACUCGUUAGUGCCUGGACCACGAGUCCAGACACCGAUAAAUUUAUUAUGAGAGAAAAACAUUGCUAACUAGUAGAAAAAGUACGACUUACAAGCAAACAGAGCCUCACCCAUUGAUUUUGGUAGAAAUUAAGUUAUACAUGAUCGAACGAGUAUGAAAUUUUCACUAUAGUUCAAGCAUACAAUAAUUAGAUUACCAUAAAAUUUUUAUCACAAUUAAACUAUAAAAACUGCAGCUAUUAAUUAGUUAUAAAAAACUACAACAAAAAAUAUGUAUGUAUAGACCUACUCAUGUGAACUCUAAUAAAAUUAUAUAUUUUUUUGUAAUUUUUCUAUGAUUUACUAUAUUUUUUCGAGAUUUAGCCAAAAUAAAUAAAAAUAUAAAAAUAUAAAACUCUCUUUGAAAACUGUUUAUAACCAGAGAUAAAACGAAUGGUUUUAAAAAAUCAGGAAAUAGUUUAUCUGGAUCUACAAUUUUUUUUUAGAAAAAAAUCAAACUUUAGCCAGGAGGUAUCCAAACAUGGCCCAAAUGUCGAUCCGAUCCGACCAACCUGCGUCCAGGCCCAAAUAUGUCUGACCCAUUUCAAUGACAUGUUGACCCCACAGUGCCAGCUCGGCAUCACGUUCUCCCCCACCCCCAGCGAGGGCACGUUCAUGCAUUCCCCGAAAUAGACAAACUCUCCCAUCCCCUCCGCGCCGCUGCACGCCCACCCAUAGCCUAUAGCCGGUAGAUACUUUCAUCAAACAUAGCACACAGGAUCGCGCCGCCCGCGUGAUAAGGAGCCGACGAAUCCACCUACCUACCCGCAUUCGUGCGCCAGCGCCACCCCGUGCCAUCGCCGCUGCGUCCGCGAGCCACACCGCCAUUCGUGAGGGAGGGAGGGGAGCAAUGGGCGCGGGGAUGGAGGCGGAGGAAGGGGUGAUGGCGACGGACUUCUUCUGGUCGUACACGGACGAGCCGCACGCGUCGCGCCGCCGGGAGAUCCUGUCCAAGUACCCGCAGAUCAAGGAGCUCUUCGGCCCGGAUCCGUGGGCCUUCCUCAAGGUGCCGUGAUCUGCUUCCUUUACGCUCUGCUCUUUGCGUCUGCUUUCUGUCAUGUGUGUCCAAUGGGGAAUCGAGGAUCGAGGAUUGAGCUCGUCAGAAAGUAUAUGAUUCACGCUGUUUCCAGUUACGACGUUUGGCGUUUGCUGAGCAGAUGCAAUUAUGAUUCACGCUGUUCCCUUUUUACGACGUUUGGCGUUUGCUGAACUGAACAGAUGCAAGUCGUUCUGGAUCCAUUAGAUCUUAGUUACUACACAUAUCUGAAUUCAGAGUCGGUUUGCUGUUUGUUACGGUUUUUAGUUUGGCAUUGUGCAGGUUAUGGUGCUUACGUUGCUAUUGCUAGAGAUAUUAUUUGGAACCACUACUAUGCCAAAGUGAUUGCAGAUAUGCUUUUCUUUUUUUUUUUGUCAGGAAGAUUGCAGCCACACUUCAUUGGAAUUUCCCUUUUUCUUCUUUUACUUGCUUGUAUUGUAAUUUUGUUUGUCUUGUCUUCAACUAACUGGUUAGUAUUCCUUAUGUCACUGCAAAUUUGAUGUGCCUGCAAAACUGCUAACUGUUAAGAUUGGGUUUUAUGGUGCAAACAAGAUGAAUUAGUAACCAAAGAAUAUGGUCAAAUCAGGUGCUUCCUCCUUUGAAUUGUUUCCCAUAAUGAGCCUUAUGGCAUAUGGCUAGGUGGCAUAAGCUGCCAACUUUAUUGUGCCCUCCUGAACCUUUCUUGUUGGCCCUGAAUCAGUUCCAGCUGUAACUCUAAGCUUGAAAGGGUGCCUGAAAUGGCAGUUGCUUCUUCUUAUUGGCUACCGGCAUUUCCUUUCAAGAUAUGCAUUAAACCUUUCUGGUUGUUUCAAGAUUAUAACUUUAGGAGCGAUUAGGAAUUGAUAAAGAUUCAUUCUCCUAAGCCCUAACCAGUUACUGCUACUUCCUUGAACGGUAGGCAAAUCCCAGCAACUUUGGCCACGACAGAUCUUGCUUCUGAUCCUACUGCACCCUCAGUUUCAUAUGAAAAAUUUGGGACAGGAAUUUCAAAUCAAUCACAAUAUGCAAACAUACCUUUUGUACCCUCUAUCAUGGUGAGAUUAUGGGAAGAACUAUAAGAAUUAAGAACUGCAUGAAGAAAAAAUGUUCUUUAUUUUCCUAUUGAGAUCAUUAAUGAGGAAUGUAAAUCAACUAAAUCUUUAAGGACACUCACAAUGCAGACUCUAUCAUAGAGUCUAAAGUUAUUUAUUACCUCGAACAAUGUGGACUUGGAGUCUAAAUAAGACUUAGAGUCUUAUUUUUUCUACCUCUUUCUUCAAUAAAUAUGCUGCCACAUCAUCAAAAUACCAUAAAUAAUAUGUAAUUAAGUGUCUUGGACUCUGUGAUAGAGUCUUGCAUUGUGAGUGCCCUAAUGCGAAUAUAUGUGAGAACAUUAUCAAAAGAUGAAUUAUCUGAAGUCUUGAAUACGGCAUGAACCUGUAAGCACAUUAACACAUCCUUACUAAAGUGCUAUGCCCCGCACCAUUUUCUGUGCAAUCAUUUGAAUCAGAGUAUCUUGUUGUCAGUCCUUGCUGAAUUUUGGCUUCAUGUGCAAAGGUGGUGUCAUAUCCCUUUCACCACCAACUUUGGCUAGGCAAGCUGGCAAGGCACAUCUCAUACCCUUGUAAGAAAAAAUCGUAUGGGCUUCUGCCAUCCUGUCCAUAAGCUGAAUUUUCUUUUUGGAGCAAUAAGUUGUACUCCUAGUUGCAUUGGUAUGUUCUGUUGUAUUUGCUGAAGUUGUCUGUGCAUACCUGUAUGACAUGGUCGGUAUGGUCUGAAUUCCCAAUUUACGCAUAGAAACUUCUUCUGCCAAUUUCAUUAUUAAGAUAUUACGGGCAUAAACCAUCACUUAUCAUAUCAAGUUUUAGUUGCGACAUGCUUUAACGGUUAUUUCAACUGUUUUUUGCAGAUUGCUUUGGUUGUGUCGCUUCAGCUAUGGACUGCUACAUUCCUCCACGAUGCUAGCUGGGUGAAGCUACUGACGGUGGCCUACUUCUUCGGCUCCUUUCUAAACCACAACCUGUUCCUCGCCAUCCAUGAGCUGAGCCACAACCUCGCCUUCACAACCCCAUCCCUCAAUCGCUGGCUGGGCAUCUUUGCAAACCUCCCCAUCGGCGUCCCCAUGUCUGUCACGUUCCAAAAGUACCACCUGGAGCACCACCGAUUCCAGGGCGUGGACGGCAUCGACAUGGACAUCCCCAGCCAAGCAGAGGCGCACGCCGUGAGGAACGCCAUCAGCAAGUCCGUGUGGGUGGUGCUCCAGCUCUUCUUCUACGCGCUGCGCCCGCUCUUCCUGAAGCCGAAGCCCCCGGGCCUGUGGGAGUUCACCAACCUUGCGGUCCAGGUCGGCCUCGACGCCAGCCUCGUCUGCCUAUGCGGCUGGAGGUCCCUGGCAUACCUGAUCCUCUCCACGUUCGUUGGCGGCGGCUUGCACCCCAUGGCGGGCCACUUCAUCUCGGAGCACUACCUGUUCAGCCCGGAGCAGGAGACGUACUCGUACUACGGGCCCCUGAACCUGAUGGCGUGGCACGUCGGGUACCACAACGAGCACCACGACUUCCCCAGGAUCCCAGGCACCAGGCUGCACAGGGUGAAGGAGAUCGCGCCGGAGUACUACGACAACCUCAAGUCGUACAGGUCCUGGAGCCAGGUCAUAUACAUGUACAUCAUGGACCAGACGGUCGGCCCUUUCAGCCGGAUCAAGAGGAAGGCGCCCAAGAAAGACUCGUAGUUGUAGCGUCGUCGUAGGCUCAAUUUUGUUUGUCACGUAUCAUAUGAACUCCUGGAGAUGUCUAUGUUUGGUGUACGCAUUUCGAUUCGUUGGAACACCCUGUUACUGAUAUCAAUAUAUUAACUCAUUUCGCGACUGAUUUUUUCAUGUGCCAGACGUAUCCAUCAAGUUGUUUCCGUUUGGUAACGUUGCAAUCUAUUCGUGCCGACAUCCAAUUUGAUGGUGAGAGCUCUGCACCAUUCAAAGAUGAUAGGGAAGGACAGCCAUAGCAUAGAUCAUACACCUAAACACAAGAAAAGAAGUGCAAAUAAGAAAAUCAUUAAGAAUAGGGAAUUUCAUGGACCCCUAGAGAAGUUCACAUUUAAGUCAACUCCACCUAAUACUUUAGAGUUCUACAUAUGGCUUUACAUAAAGAAACGACGAGCAUGUUCGCUUGUGACUGUUGUAGCAACUUUUAUGAUUGCUACUAGCAUUCACCCAGUGAGUAAUUGUUGCCCCAUCCUUUACAACCCAAGCAGACACCCCACACUUUACAACCCAAGCAGACACAAUUAUGGGCCGGCCCAUCUACACCCAAUACCCCCACCAACCUCAUGACUUUUCCUCUUAAAAAAGGUGUAUCUAGUGACCGUAGGAUCAAGAUCAAACGGGCUCAUCCUUGUGUUGUUAUCUAUAUAUACGACCCUCCCCUUUCGUCGUCUCUACCUUAACCCUAACCACUCUUCCGCCGCCUCCACCCUACCCACAUGUUAUCUACCUAAAAUUCCCCCAAUACAAGCAGGAUUGAUCGAUCAACCAUCGUCUGCUACACCUAUGGCCAUCUAAGAGAUAGAUGAUGGUGUCACUCGUCAUCGUCUCCCACGAUGAGUAUCGUCUUCUUUCACUUGCUGUGGUGAGUCUUGCACCUCCAGAAUCAAUAACUUUUUUUGAAAAGCAUCACUUGGUGUGGCCUUCAUAGGAGGCUAGGUGCGGGACGGGGGAUUGAACCCCCACCAGCCAACUCCUCCCUUGGAGCCUUCACCGCUGGUCCAAGCACAUGUAGAUCCGAUCUCUUGUUUUCUCACAAUUCUUUAAUUUUUGCGUGCUCCAGCAGAUCAAAACUAGAAACACCGUAUCUUCCUUAUUUGGGAAAACAAAUCUUGUGGUAGAGAGAAAUAGGAACAUCUUAAAUUCAAUAAAUUGUGUAUGCUAACAAAUUUCUCUUUCCAUCUGAUAUAUGCAGGGGGAUUUGUGCAUGUAGAAAAGUUUAAAACAUGUGGAAGACAAAGAAGUUGCUAGAUAUAAAGUUAUUGGAGCUACAUACGUUGCAAGAGGUAUCUUUCAAGUAUUUAGAACCUGACUCAACUUAUGAAUGGAUGCCAGACAAGGUAUUUUAGGUGGGGUGCAUGUGUGUAAAUUUUGAGAAAAAAAUGAAGGAAGUUAGGUUCAAAGAUAGAAAUGGGACUACAUACCUUGUCUACGAAAGGUAUCCUUUCGUAAGGGGAGUCAGGUUCAAAAUACUUGAAGAACAACCCCCCUUGCUUUAAACUCCAAUAGUGGACAUGUGUGAUGGUGCUUGAUAUCCAUGAGUGUCCAUCACCAUACUGGUUAUUCUGAUUGAAUCUUCCAUCAUAUAACAUGCUACAACCAUUAUGCCAUAAAUGAUCAUGUAAGCAACACUAAUACUCUAAUCUUUCCUUUUAUUUUUUCAAUUAUGUAUAAAAGUUUUAUACAUAUACUAGUACAUGUAUACCCGUUCAUACCUUUGUGAAGUAGGAACAUCUGUGAUGUUGGUGUACAAUUGAAUUGUCGAAAGAUAUGGCACGAAGUAUUGGACCAUUGUCUCACCCGGAGCGAUGCACACUGAAGUACCAACACCAGAGGCGCUUCACUCAUAGAACCUAUUCCAAAGAUCUCCAAGGUAGAAACUUUUGACUCAAUCUGCGAUCUUUUCAUAAUAGUCGUUUGACUGCAAUUACAAAUAAGAGUUUGAUUUUUUUAGCUAUCAUGUGUCUAUAUUUUUUCCAAAGAAAGAUGCAUGCCUACGUGCAUUGUGUCCCUCAUAAAAAAGAAAAAUCAUUGGAUUUCGUACCUCUAGUGAAUCAUUGUAGAUGAGACUGUGUGAACACAAGGUAAGCAAAUGCCCUUGCUAACGGAGUGUUUUUAAUUUUUGUGUGUCCAUGAUAGUUUGAGAAUGUGUGUGUUGUGGGGGUGGGGGUGAAUUAAUUCUAGUCAAUCUCUAUUUUGGAAGUUUAUAUUAAUAUGUAAGCAAUAAUCAUGUUUUUUUAUUUAUUGGGUUGGUGCUUCUUUUUUUCUUUUUUGAGGUGGGUGGGGUAGGUGGAAAGUGGUGGUUGAAAGGUCCAAAUGGCUAGAGGGGGGGUGAAUAGCCUAUUUAAAUUUUCUACAAACUUCAACUAGACAAGUUGAUUAGUAAAAUAAAAGGCGAAGCUAUUCUAGCACUAGCACAACUAAACUACACAAGCUAAACUAACUGUUGGGUAUUCUUAACAUCAUUACCAAAAGUAGACUAAGUUCUCUAAAUCUAGUAACGGUGCCAAAAAUGCCAAACCUAUCCCUUACACCACUUAAGCCAAGUUGUCAUCCCCAGCAUGAUAUAAGAGACGCGGUAUUGAAAUAUGCAAUUGCUCUUCUAAAUAAAUAAUGAAUGGGAUCUGCAAGCGCACAGAUUAAUACCGAUGCAGCAUUUUAACCGGGAAGUAUUCCAGGUAUCGUUAUUUAUAUUUUUACCACUGGGAAGGGAUUAGCAAUCAUCAAUAUUGAUUACAUAAUACAAUAUGAGAUAGAGCAUCUAUCAUUGCAUGUAUAAUUGAGAACAUUAUAUCUAACUCUUCACACAGGGAUAAGUGUCACAUAAAAGAUAUAUGAAAUAAUAAUAGUGACAAAGAUAAUUAGUCUGAUCUAGCCACAUAAUAAAUAUGAUAAGCACCUCAAUUAGAUACUCUAGAAAGUCAUUAGCAUGGUAUUAGAACGAACUACAAGAAUAUUCCCUAAGUUAUUCUCAACUAUAUAGUCUAGCAUUAUCAUAGUUAGUGCAAGCAUACUUAGCAAUCAUUGUGAGACAAGACUACGCCCAUGCAUAGUGAUAUUAGCAAGGAAUAUGAGAAACAUAGCAAUCACACCCCUGUAAUAAUGUUGCUCUGCCAGCCCAAUACACGAGAGGGGGACUAUAUAAGAAUCAAUGAAGCUGUCUGUGGGGGUAUAAACCCCUAUACCCUUACGGCUAGACUCGGGCCAGGAGGCUUGGCCCAUUACGAGAUAAGCUCAAGGCUUGAUCCGACAGCCUGGAGUUUCGCGCAAGGAAACAAUACGUGGAGAUCAAGCAGGAUUCUAGUCGGUUAGAAUAGGAAUUGAUAUCGAACUAUCUAUGGCAAUUGUAACCGACUAGGAUUAGUUUCCACAUCUGUAACCCUGCCCUCCAGACUAUAUAAGGAGGGGCAAGGGACCCCCCUAGGACACAUCAUAUUCUCUCAACACAAAUCAAUACAACCAGACGCAGGACGUAGGUAUUACGCCAACUCGGCGGCCGAACCUGGAUAAAAAGCUUGUCCGUGUCUUGCGUCACCAUCGAGUUCGUAGUUUGCGCACCGUCAACCGAUAAACUACUACCGUGGGUAUACCCCAAGGUAGACUGCCGACUAGCUUUCGUCGACACUGUCACUAUCACGAACCACCCCACGAUCUGGCAUAUUGGGUACAAUCGCAGAUAAAUACGGUAUAAGCACCACGCCUACACAAUAUCUAUCAUUUACCCAUGGAUCCGAUGGAUAAACGCUAUACGAUCCUAAGCAUGUAUAUAGAUCCAAUCUAACUAAGCCAAGUACAUAACCAUGAUAAACUAAGAACAAUAUAAUCUUGAAUAUAAGCAAGUAGAGCAAAGUCAUAAGCAAUAUAUUGAAGUAGAACAAAGUCAUAUUCAUAAUAUUGAAGAACAAAGAUAAUUAGAAAGCAAUUAGAAGCACAAUUAGAGAAUUACCAAGAAUCCUCCUGACAGAUCCGGAAACCAAUCGAAGAUUGACUCUUUCUAGUUCUAAUCCUAUGUAGCUAUGCUAAUCUAGAUAUCUAAUUGAUGUGGUGGCUCCAAUCUUGAUCAGAGGCUUCUUCUCCCUUGAGGAACAAUGAAUUAGGGUUGAGAGGCUCUCUCCUCCAGGGGCCAGGGGGUCUGGUUUUAUAGUCCCUUCAAGUGAAUACAGGCCGUUGGAUCAAACUGACAUAGAUUGUAUGGUUUAGAUUCAUCCUUUAGGUCGGUGGAGAUCUCCCGCGAAGCAGAGUCCUGAUUGGACUCAGGGAGGGGGCGGGUGCCCAGUAGGACAGGGCGGGCGCCCUGCCUCUGGCCCCGUUUCGUCUCCGCUUCGGUCUCGUGGCUUCUGGAGUCUUCUAGAUGUAAGAUAAUUGCGCAGCACGUUAAUAUCUUUACGUAAUCCCGACGUGUGGGCCUUUCUUCCAUAUUUCCUGAUAACCCCCUGCAGAAAUAGACAAACACCAAAACUCGUGGAAUUCUGUCAGAUAAAACCCUAAGUCUAGAUGUUGAUUUCAUUUGGAUCCUUUUCUUUAUUUAUUUGAUAAUUAAAUUUGAUACUUAAGGACCGUCAACAAAUUCCCCCAAGCGUACCUCUUGCUCGUCCCUGAGCAAGGAUAGACUUCGCUAUGGAUCAGAAGUUGUUGCAAUAUCUUUAAAAUUUGACGGUACACAUGCUUUUAAAUAAGAUCUCAUCUCUGAGUUAGAGUAAACUGUCAAGACUUAAAACUUACUUACUUUACCUUUACCAUGGGACUUGUAACCGUCACUUCUGUCUUGAGUGGUUAAAAGAUAGAACAGUCUAGUCAAGUGCCAUGUCUCUUAUUCUUGAUCAGCUAUAGCUCUGGGGUUUUUGCAGAUUUUCAAAUAAAACUCAGAGAUUCCUUGUAUGACUCUUUAAAUCUCUCUUUUGUGGUAUUUCUGGAUCCUUACCAAGGCAGUGAUGGUAUAUGCCUUCUCUCAAGAUAUGUAGUAUUUGUGGUAUAAAGCAUAGUGACAUUGCCUUCUCUCUCACCCUACUCUAAUAAGACUUUAAUAUCUGGAGCUCAUAGGUGGGAGAUAAAGUAUACAUACUUACAAGACAUUUAUUGCAUAGUCAAACCAUGGAUCCAAAGAAACAAAUCAAUAAGUCAAAUCAAGAUGUGCAUGUGUGGCGAAUGAAUGAUGUAUGGUGGUAAUGGUGAUAACAAUGGUGAAAACAAUGGCGGUGGAAGUCUAAUUCUACUUUGCUCUUUUGAGGGAAUACAUACCUUCCUUGCUUUUUGAAACUUUAUGAGGAGAAUGAGAUGCUCUUCUUUUUUCUUUUCUCUCAGGUGGGUAUCUUGCACCCCUAAUUCUACUGUCGGACACUUAUCCAUUUUUACCUCUCAUCUCACUUUUUCUUUUCUUUCGAGGUUCCGAGCACUUGCUCCUUUUUAUUUCCUCGUUUUAUUUUUUUUUAUUUUUUUUUUUUCAGAGCAUUCAUCUCUUGAGAUAAUAUAGCAAGUGGUAGUAACAAGAUAACUUGAGCAUUUAUUUCAUAAGGGAAAACAGAAAUGUUUUUGGUUAUUCUCUCCCGGAUUAGGAGUAGAAUAUUUUUGAGUGGUUCUGGAGAUGGAAAUGGGUGGAUAUAUGUGGAUGGUACUUCCGGAGUAGAAGUAGCAUAUAUGAGUGAACGUGCAAGUGAAAUCUUGAUUUAACCACAUGACAAGCUCCUAAGGGUCUACACAGCUUGACUACACUCAAUGCUCACAAGCAGUAAAUAGUAAAUGUGUGGCUCAAAGUCUAGCAAGCAUGUAUAUAUGGCUGUGGUAGGAAUUUAAACUCUCAUCAUACAGGAACUCAUCAUGCAAUAUUUUAAAGAUUUUCAAAGAUAAAAUUCUCCAGAAUUCUAGCAUCUCUAGGAACAGAUAAACAGCAGCUCAACCUUCCCAUAUCAUAUUCGUUAACAACAUAGACUUCAGAUCAAGUUUUCAUCCCACAAGUUUAGGUCUAGGGCAAGCUUUAAAUUAUAACAGUUAUAUCUAAACUUGAGAGAGAACUUAAAAUGUGCAAGUUAGGCAGAGCAACUAUUCAUCAUAUCCAUGCUUAAGUUUUAUUUAGAUACAGAUUAGCAUAGCCACUUUAUUUAUUUAUUAAACACACUAAGCAAAAAAUAUAUAUAUAUAAGCAUAAAAUCUUUAUUUGGUUUUUCAUAGUUUAUGUAUUUUAGUAUUCUAAAAUAGUAUAAGUAUAAAGAUAGAUAGAUAGAAAUACUUAUCGUGAUAAAUGGGGGUGCUCUCCCCCAAGCUGAAUUUUGACGUAAUUUCUCUUGAUGUAGCUAGCAGGUGGCAGAGGUGUAUUUGAAAGUCAGCAGCAUUCUGACAGCGAUUAGAAUGUCCUCCGUCUGCUAGUCUUCUUAAAUUCUGUGGAGCUCAAAUAGACAACAAAGCUUGUGGAACUGAUUAAGUAUUAGCAUAAAUAUCUAGCCUUCAUCAUCUUGAGACUCCUUAAUAAUUGUUACUCCCUGUUUUAUAUUUUUAUUUUAUAAAGCAGAAAAAUAUUUAUUUUAUUUUUAUGCCACUGUGAAUGUACGUAUGGGUUUUAUGCCACUCGCAUACUCACAUGGGGCUUACUAUUUUUCACAUUUUUAUUUUCUUUUUAAGAUAGUGUGAAUAUGAUUAACUAAGUAAACUAUUUGAAAUAAUUGAAAGGGAAAGGAUAACUACCAAGUUUAUCUCUUGGCAAGACGUUCAGUGUUUUUAAGUCCUCCGAACGGGACUCUCCAUUUUCUUUAAUCGUCCUGAGGUUCGUUGGGUGGCGUAGUCGGUACUUCCGGCAGCGCCUCCUCUUCUUGUAUAGUUAUCUUUAUUUUCCAUACCUGACUCGGUGCUUCAAUUUCCUCUGGAUAAUUCUGUUUAAACUCAACGUCUUCUGAUCUUACAACUUCUCCUUCAUAGUCUGCCCAUCCGUCCUUGAUGAUCUGCCUCCUCUGGUUGCGGUUGCGUCUCUUUCUUACCUGCUUAGAUUCUUCAACGAUAUAGUUAGGGUCAGUAAAGUAACGGCGUACCUUCUCUGAGGGGAAGUGCAUAUGGACUUCUCCGGUUCCAAUGUAGAUAAUUGCUUUAACGGUGCUGAGGAACGGUCUUCUAAGGAUGAUGGGUGGAUCAUACUCAUCUUCUCCCAUGUCAACAACUUGAAAGUCUGUGUAGACAAAGUGAUCGUCUAUUUUGACUGGGACAUCAGUUAGUGUUCCUUUAACUUCUCAAAAUGCCUGAUCUGCCAUCUGGAGCUGAAUGUAUGUUGGUCUUAGUGGCAUGGUUCCGAACAAGAGCCGAUAGGUGACUGCGGCCAUUAUGUUGACGCCCGAUCCGGUGUCGCAAAUCGUCUUGUAGAAGCUAUAUCCAUGUAUGGAGCAGUAAAUGCUUGGCAUUCUUGGGUCGUCCUUCUUGGUCAAAAACGGUGACUUAAGUUUGUGAUCUUGACCUCCAUGAACUACAGUGACCAUCUUAGCUGACUCGGUCCAUACUUGCUUGUUCCUAUUCUUCCUGUUGGUCCUCUUCCUUGACUCACGUCUGGAUUGAUUUGGAAUUUGUGUAGUCUUGUUCUUGAAGAAAAAUGUCUCCUUCUUCCCUUUGACGUAGAAACUGAUCUUGGCAGCACUAGCGUAGAUGAUAGCUCCCGUGGUGUUCAAGAAUGGCCUCCCUAAGAUGAUAGGUGCCCUCUCAUCAUUUCCGGUCUCUACUACUACGAAGUCUGCUGGGGCAUAUAAGGUACCAACUCGGACACAAAGGUUCCUCACGAUUCCUUUUGGAAAAGUUAUCGUCUGAUCUGCAAACUGCAAACACAUGGUUGUUUCUAAUAAAGGAUAUGUAAAGAAUUUUUCAUAGAAUACCCUGGGUAUAAUGUUGACACUGGAGCCAAAGUCACAGAGUGCUUCUGGGACAUCCACCAUGCCGAUGGAGAUCGGGAUGACGGGGCGUCCUGGAUCGCCUCUCUUGACCGGCAGAAGGUCAGUAGAGAAUUCAGUGAUGGGGUUACUCCAAUUACCUGCAUCAAACAUGUCUACAAGAUUUGCAGAUUCUAAUCCUUCCGGUUGUGAUGGUAUACCGGGAUUAGUAGUAGGAACAGCAGCAGCUAUUUGAUUUAACUGAGAUUCAAUCAUUUUAUUAAAGCUAAUUUGAUUCUUGAUGGCAGUAGAGAAAUUAUCCAUUCUAUUAUUUAUAUUUUCUAGCAUUUUAUCAUUUGAUGCCAAUUUCUUAGAUAGGUUAUCUAUUAGCUUUCCUUGAUUAGACACUAACUCUCUCAAAGGUGGAAAAUUAUUGUUAUUGUUGUAAGAAUUGUUACCUUGAUAAUUACAUGAGUAGUUAGGCCUCUGUUGAUUCCAACCUUGAUUUUGUUGAGGACGAUUGUAGUAGUAGUAGUAGUUGUUGUUGAUGUAGUUCACAUCCUCAAGUAUCUCAGGGCAGUGGUUGCCUGAGUGUCCAGUGUCUCCACACUCCUCACAAGUCAUGUGAGAGUCGUAGAUGUGCAUAACUUCUUUCUUGUCUCCAGCUCUAUCAUCGAGCUUCUUCAUGAGCAGGUCUAGCUUUGCAGACAGCAUGUCUACCUCCUUGAGCUGAUGCAUACCUCCACCUCUCUUGCGUGUCUGGGUCCUCUCUUCAUUCCAGCUUUGGUUGGACGCCAUCUUCUCCACAAGAGCUGUAGCUUGUGGUAUAGUAAGUGAUAAGAAUGCUCCUCCAGCUGCAGCAUCCAUGGUUUCUCGGGCACUGUUGCCGAGCCCAUGAUAAAAUGUCUGCAUCAGUAGCCAACUCUCCAUUCCAUGAUGGGGACAUUCUAGGAUGUAGUCUUGAAAGCGCUCCCAUGCUUCUGGAACAGAUUCAUCAUUUUGUUGCUGAAAACUUGUAAUCUUCCCACGGAGAGCAUUGGUCUUGCCCAUGGGAAAGAACUUUGCCAGGAAGUUUGUUGAGCAGAGUGCCCACGUAGUAUUCUUCUCCUUUAUAGCGUAGAACCACUACUUCGCUCUUCCUAACAGUGAGAAUGGGAAGAGGCGAAGUAAUAUAGCAUCUUUGAAAACUCCUGAUAUGGUGAAUGUGUUGCAAAUCUCCAGGAAGUGUUGUAAAUGAGCACUAGCAUCUUCGUGUGCCUUCCCACAGAACUGGUUGGAUUGCACCAUGUUGAUAAGUCCAGGCUUGAGCUCAAAGUUGCCAUCGAUCUCUGCAGCAGGUCCAGUGCGGAUGUUGUCCGUAGUGGGAGCUGAGAACUCGCGGAUUGAUUUGUUCGCCAUGGCUUCGAACUCUGAAGACAAGUUCCAGUGAUUUUCUUGAUUGGAUGAAGCUUCUUGCUGAAGUGUUGAUGAUCUCUUGAGCUUGGCUCUCGUCUUCUUGAAUAAUGCUUCGGGAUUGUCAACAAAAUUUCCUGGAAGAUGUCUUCUAUUCAUACAUUCCCCUGCGUAAGAUAAAAUAGGAAAAUAUCGGGGUAAAACUGUAUGAGAGAAUAGAUAAGCUCAAUCAUAUUAGUGAUGCGAAUGAUAACUCAAAAUCUUUUAUUCCAUUCUUGAUUAGUAAUCAACCUCCCGGCAACGGCGCCAAAAAUGCUUGUUGGGUAUUCUUAACAUCAUUACCAAAAGUAGACUAUGUUCUCUAAAUCUAGUAACGGUGCCAAAAAUGCCAAACCUAUCCCUUACACCACUUAAGCCAAGUUGUCAUCCCCAGCAUGAUAUAAGAGACGCGGUAUUGAAAUAUGCAAUUGCUCUUCUAAAUAAAUAAUGAAUGGGAUCUGCAAGCGCACAGAUUAAUACCGAUGCAGCAUUUUAACCGGGAAGUAUUCCAGGUAUCGUUAUUUAUAUUUUUACCACUGGGAAGGGAUUAGCAAUCAUCAAUAUUGAUUACAGAAUAGAAUAUGAGAUAGAGCAUCUAUCAUUGCAUGUAUAAUUGAGAACAUUAUAUCUAACUCUUCACACAGGGAUAAGUGUCACAUAAAAGAUAUAUAAAAUAAUAAUAGUGACAAAGAUAAUUAGUCUGAUCUAGCCACAUAAUAAAUAUGAUAAGCACCUCAAUUAGAUACUCUAGAAAGUCAUUAGCAUGGUAUUAGAACGAACUACAAGAAUAUUCCCUAAGUUAUUCUCAACUAUAUAGUCUAGCAUUAUCAUAGUUAGUGCAAGCAUACUUAGCAAUCAUUGUGAGACAAGACUACGCCCAUGCAUAGUGAUAUUAGCAAGGAAUAUGAGAAACAUAGCAAUCACUCCCCUGUAAUAAUGUUGCUCUGCCAGCCCAAUACACGAGAGGGGGACUAUAUAAGAAUCAAUGAAGCUGUCACUAUCACGAACCACCCCACGAUCUGGCAUAUUGGGUACAAUCGCAGAUAAAUACGGUAUAAGCACCACGCCUACACAAUAUCUAUCAUUUACCCAUGGAUCCGAUGGAUAAACGCUAUACGAUCCUAAGCAUGUAUAUAGAUCCAAUCUAACUAAGCCAAGUACGUAACCAUGAUAAACUAAGAACAAUAUAAUCUUGAAUAUAAGCAAGUAGAGCAAAGUCAUAAGCAAUAUAUUGAAGUAGAACAAAGUCAUAUUCAUAAUAUUGAAGAACAAAGAUAAUUAGAAAGCAAUUAGAAGCACAAUUAGAGAAUUACCAAGAAUCCUCCUGACAGAUCCGGAAACCAAUCGAAGAUUGACUCCUUCUAGUUCUAAUCCUAUGUAGCUAUGCUAAUCUAGAUAUCUAAUUGAUGUGGUGGCUCUAAUCUUGAUCAGAGGCUUCUUCUCCCUUGAGGAACAAUGAAUUAGGGUUGAGAGGCUCUCUCCUCCAGGGGCCAGGGGGUCUGGUUUUAUAGUCCCUUCAAGUGAAUACAGGCCGUUGGAUCAAACCGACAUAGAUUGUAUGGUUUAGAUUCAUCCUUUAGGUCGGUAGAGAUCUCCCGCGAAGCAGAGUCCUGAUUGGACUCAGGGAGGGGGCGGGCGCCCAGUAGGACAGGGCGGGCGCCCUGCCUCUGGCCCCGUUUCGUCUCCGCUUCGGUCUCGUGGCUUCUGGAGUCUUCUAGAUGUAAGAUAAUUGCGCAGCACGUUAAUAUCUUUACGUAAUCCCGACGUGUGGGCCUUUCUUCCAUAUUUCCUGAUAACCCCCUGCAGAAAUAGACAAACACCAAAACUCGUGGAAUUCUGUCAGAUAAAACCCUAAGUCUAGAUGUUGAUUUCAUUUGGAUCCUUUUCUUUAUUUAUUUGAUAAUUAAAUUUGAUACUUAAGGACCGUCAACACUAACAAGGUAGGCAAGUAUGUAAAGAGAAGAGAGUGAUUGUUAUACCGACGUUGUAGAGAUGAGAUAUAUCCAAUCAAUCACGUACACAAUCACAAGAGAGACCUCGGCAAGAGAUGACACAAGAUUUUUUUACCGAGGUUCACUUGCUUCCCGGCAAGCUACUCCUCGUUGUGGCGAUACACCCACUUGAUGGAUCACGAGCUAAUUGGCAAUCCAAAGCCAAACCCUCAGCGGGUGCCGCACAUCCACUCACAAGAUGGGGAUCCUCCAAGUCACGAGCAAUCCACUAGAGUAGCCAAUUGCGAUCUCCCACGGAGAAAGCUCAAGAACCCCUCACAAAUCUCUUGGCGAGGCUCGAAACAAUCUCCAAUCACGAGCUCAACACCACCGCUGCUCCAAGCCGUCUAGGGCGUCGGGAAACACCCAAGAGUAACAAGAAAUCUGCAGCAAACUCAAGAAUCAAGUGCCACUAAAUGCAACUCUCAAAGCAAUGCACUUGAAUCUCACUCAAUCUCACUAGGAUGAGCAAACAAGCAAGGAGAUGAGUGGAGGGAGUGUUCUCUAGCUCAAUGUAUGUCUCAAGUAAUCAAAAGCGCAAGAGAGAACCUCCCAAAGCCGGCCACCAACUAUUUAUAAGCCCCUCAAAGAAACUAGCCGUUGGCUGUUUUCAUUAGGCUGAAAACGGGGGCACCGGACGCUCGACCCCCAACGUCCGGUGCACUGGGGUUAGCCACGUGUCCUUCUUGAAUCUCGCGUGUCAGAUUCUAACGGCUACCUGCAACACACCAGACGGUAUGCAAGUCCACACCGGACGCGUCCGGUGCACACCGGACGCGUCCGGUGCACACCGGACUCAUGCGCAGAGAGUUCCACAAACCGCAGGGUCACCGGACGCUAAGCACCGGUAGCGUCCGGUGCUCACCGGACCCAUGCGCAGAGAGGGUCGCAAAACGCCCGCACACCGGACGCUAACCACCGGACGCUCUCAGAGUGCGUCCGGUGCUCAACCCUAGCAGGGUCAAGCACACCGGACUCUAAGGCCAGCGUCCGGUGCCUCCGCACUCAGCGUCCGGUGAGUGUUUCUCAGUGAGAAAACACUCCCACGACUUCUCUAAAUUUCUCACCGGCGCAAUAGAAAAUAUACACUUAUUUUUUUCAAAAGCGCCGAACCCUAGGAACCCAAACCCCUCUCAACCCUAGGAACUCCACCUCCUUUGCAAAUGUGCUAACACCAACAAGUGUCCACCACCAAAGUGCAUGUGUGUUAGCUUUUCACAAACAUUUUCCCAAAGGAGUUAGGUUAGCACUUUACUAGAUCCUAAUGCAUAUGCUCAAGAUAUGGACCUAGUAGCACUUGAUUCGAGAGAUAACCGUGAUUUCCCCUCUUGAUAGUCGGCUAUCUAUCCUAAACCCGGUCAAUUACUUCUCUACUCAUCUUAGACCGGCAAAAAUAAAACCCUAUGUUUGUACCUUUGCCUUGAUCACUUUGCUCCUCGUCUAUCACCAUGAUCUUUACUUUAUGCUUCAUCCCUUUGUGAUCAUGUGGCCACCUUUCCAUGCCACCAUGCACCUUCAUCACAUGUGUUGCUAUGCCUAACUCAAAUCACUUAAACACGAGGCAUUAGCAACUUGGUGUCAUUAAUUACCAAAACCAAACUUGGGCUUUCAGUGGUUUGAAACACUGAAUUAUACUCUAUACUCAAUCUAGAAGAGAUUCUGAUUAUUACUUAAUGCCACUUUUGUUCCCCUAGUUAAAAAAAGAGGUAGUGAGGGGGUGAGUGUUCGGCUAGGUGCUCAUCGACAACCUCUCCUUUGAUCGCCUCUUCUGGAACAAAGCGCAAAAGGUUAGUGGUAAAGUCUUCGGCAACCAAGUGGUUUAAGCCUCCAAUGACAAGGAAGCUGAACUCUCCUGUAGUGAUGGGGUCCCCAAUGAUGAGACUACUAGUGUCUCCAUUGGUUGUGCGACCAAGGUCAUCGGCACUUGACCUGCAGAGGUCACUGGCACUUGGUCUGCAAAGGUCAUCAUCACUCAGCCCACAAAGGUCAUUGUCAUGCAGCCUCUGGAGUGGAGCUGCUCAUCCAGGCUCUCAUGACCAUGGCAAUUAUGGAACUCAACUUUUUGUCUGGUUGGUUUCUAUUUGAUCGUGUCUAGUUGGUUUCUAUUUGAGACUUUAAUGAACCUGAAACAUUGAUCUUCAUUGCACAAAGUAUAUUUGAGUUCAUGCAUCAUUCACACUUUUUUGAGCAGAAUAGCAUGCUAUGGCACUAGUUGUGCUAUGUGAAACCCACUACCUUUUGCAAUCCAUUGAGGCGCAAUAAUUUGAUAUGCAUGUAUGCUAAUAUGUUGAUCCAUCUAGAAUGGGAAUGCAAUUUCACGUGCCCUAGUGUUGAAGUCUGUCAUGUUAUCUUUGGGCAUGACAUGUCUUACUGCUGAACACACGUUAUCUCUAUAUGUGUUCAUCUUGCGGAGAGAAUUGAUGCCCUCAAGAAAUGCAACUUUCAUGUUCAUUCCACAAGCCAUUUUGAGCAAGUGAAAGAGUAAUUUAAUUUAUGUUCAGCACCAAUUAUGCCAUAUUUUGUACUUAUUCCUUCUGAGUAAUUUAUGUAUUAUGACGUCUGAAUGUAAUAAUACAUAGUCAUUUUACACUUAUUCCUAUAGAGUGAUUAUAUUUUAGUACUAACUUGCUUUUUGUAUGAUUUGGUGAUAUUUAUAAAUUAUACGUGAGUAAAGUAGUUCAUUAAUUUAAUGUUAUCGUUCUCAUUUUUCUAAAAAAUAAACCUUGCAGGUCUGCCACUGGGCCUAGUGUGCUGUUGUAGCCAGCAGGCUUGCAGCAAGCGGACCGCAACGGUGGCUUGCAGGUGUCUGCACACCGGCCCACAUGUUUGCGUCAACCUGUGAUUCAUGGUGAGCUAAUCCAAAAAAAAAAAAAAACGAGUCUCGGUGCGCCGAGCGCAGAACGCGGUGAAGUCACGAGCGCACGAGACCGUUGGUUGCGCCGGCCCACGACGCCGGGAGCCAGAGGUAACGAGAAAACGACGACGCUGUGUGCCGUCGCAGCCGACGGAGUUUUUUCGUGCUGAAUCCACCCAACGUCCCAGCACGAGCGGCGCGUUCACACUUCACACCCAGAGUUCGUUCCAGUUCCAGGUUGUUGUUACUUCUGUGAUGAUCAAACGUAAAAACUAGCAGCACCGGCCAAUAGGAAGGAACCCCCGAGGAAUCUCACCUUGUUUACCCAAUGUUUCGGUUGGGAAAAUGGAUUCUUUGCCCAGGCUUAAACCUAACCUCACGGAUCCGCCGAAAGUCUCACAGGACCAGUGUACGCGCUUCCUUUCAUCUUAAAGAAGAAGAAGCAUCGACCACUGCCUUUUUCGUUUUUCUUCCAGAAAGAAGAGCAAUUUUCUCGUUAAACAGAACCUAGAACUAGAAGGCUAGAAAGGACAACAAUUGGCCUGGGGCAAUUAGCACGGACUGGCAAACGGGCCCCAUAAAGCUCCAGCCAUGCGUCAGACCCACAUGCCAGUCACAUGUACCUCAGCACACACUCAUCACUCGAUGGCUAGAGGCUUGUUUAGUUCACCCUGACAAGCAAAAAGUUUUCAAGAUUCUCCGUCACAUCGAAUCUUGUGGCACAUGCAUGAAACAUUAAAUGUAGACGAAAACAAAAACUAAUUACACAGUUUAACUGUAAAUCACGAGACAAAUCUUUUGAUUCUAGUUAGUCUAUGAAUAUUUGUCACAAACAAACGAAAAUGUUACAGUACCGAAAACUUUUCACUUUUCGGAACUAAACAUGGCCUACGUUAGGCAAUUCCACACAGACUGUUUCGCAUCGCACCCUCCAAUCGCGUGAUUCAAACGUCAACCGCCGCCCCUUGACCGUUCCCUGGAACGCCGACGCGGCCGCUGGCCAGAGUGGCCGCACAACUCAUUUCCAGAGCUUUACAGAUCAGCCCCGAGUUCACCACCACACCGCACCGCGCCGCUACCUUUCGUUUAUAUAGUCCUCCUCGUCGCGAUCCAGACGCGCGACAAGUCAGCAACGCCGCCGCCUCUCAUUUUUCCUUCUCAUCUUUCUCGAGAGCGCGAGUGAGAGGAGGAGGAGGGCAAGGAAGGAGUCGAGGAGAGAUGGGCGGGUUCGAUCAGCAGGUGAAGGAGCGGACCAAGGAGCUGAAGCACCUCAAGACCGCGGCGGUGAAGGGCAUCAAGGCCGCCGGCGAGUCGUGCAAGAAGGCGUGGAGCAAGGUCAGGAGCAGCAUCAAGCGCUAGGCGCCUAGGCGGCGGCGGCGUCGCGAGGACUUCCGUGGCCGUGGUGGAGAUGGAUGGGAUUGCAGCGUGCGUGGUUUCCUGAGUUGUGGUAGAUUUGGGCUUUUUGGUUUAUUUUGUUGGAUCUAUUUAUUUGAGCAACUUGAAAUACAUGAUGUGUGAACAUCGUCUGUAUGUAUGUACGUGAAUGCAUAGUAUUUUUCUGCUCUCGUGUUCGUCGUGAUCCUCUUCAUGCUUUUUCUUCCGGUGGCGGAUUUAGUUGUUAUUUUUGUUAAUUUGUUGUAGCGGAUAGAUCUUUAUUUGGCUGCCAAGUGUGCCAACGAACUCUCGGGUCUGGAUGUUCAUCGCGAAAUUUUUUACAAAAAAUUUCUACGUCUUCGCAAAUGCAACGUAGGGUCGGUCCUUGCUUCCUAACCGGCAACAUUGAAACAAUCUGCGCUAAAAUUUAAUUAUUAUGUUUUCCAAAAAAAAACUUAUACUAAGGAAAAACCGAACAUUGAUGUGUCACGUUCACGAAUGAUCGCACCCACCGGUCUUGCUCCAAAGUCCAAAAUCAUAUCAAGCGAACACAAAAACACGUAAGGGAUCGGCGUCCUAAGUUCGGAUCUCCAAAGUCCAAACUCAUCAAGGGAACACAGAAACACGCAAGGGAUCGGGUGCUUAGGUGUCCUAAGUUCGGGUCAUCACCAUGAUAUUGAAAUUAGGGACACAUGAAAGACAAUGGAACGUUUCGAACGCAAGAAAGCUACAGAAUCAAAUCGCCUCAUCGUAGGGGUGGAGGUAGAAUUCGCGUAUGUGUGUUUACAGAGAUGAGUAUGCAUGCAUGUUGUGAACAGUUUACUGUGUAAUUAAAAAAACCAUGCCAGUCCACAUGGAUCCUGAUUCAUCAUGCUAACACACCUGGUGCCGUUUGUGUAUGGGGCCGUGCACAACGGCAACGCUGGAGACGACAGGUCGGGCAGGUCCAAAAAUAAUGCAACAGCAGAGCACACUGCAUGUGAUGAAUGACGGAAGGCAAUGCAGAGAGUGUGAAUAACUGGAAUUCAAAAUUCUGCCGAUACAAUACAAUAGUAGCAUCUGACACACUAUGUUAAAAACUUUGUAGCAGCUGACAGCAGUUCAACAUGCUAAGGUAUGCUCGUUGUCCUACAGUGUUGAGGAAAGCCAAGGAACAACUGCAGGGAAUUGGGAUAUCCACAAGCCUACUACUGCAAAGGAGCAUCAGGAUCCAAUCUUUUCUGGAUUGCAGCUGCAGCCUGAUACCAGGAAAGGUGUGAUUUAAGUCAGAGUGUGUAUACCUGAAAAUUGCAAGGCUUGCAAAGUUUAGAAAGAGCGAACCUACCUGAAAAUUGCCCAACCUGUAUUGGUAGUUCAUUUCUUCGCGUAGACGGGCCUGCUCCUUCAUGUCUUGAGCCUAAGAAUGAGCAAAACACAGAAGACAGACACAGCUUAGAUGACAGAAAGAAACAAGUUCUGCUUUCAAUUACCAUGCCAUGGCUUAUUCCUUCCGCAAUGUAUACACGAAAAAAAAUACACUGCUAGGGAUACUAUCUAAGAAAAUCUAGAGAUAGAAAAUAAUGCCUAGAACACACAUUAAAAAAACACAAGGACUGAAUAUGAAAAAGGAAAAUAAACUUGUGAUACCAUGGACUCAAAGUAUUCCAACAUAAGGUCCAAAGCACUACUUGCCACUACAUUUAUUUCAGGUAAGGAAUGGACAUAUAUACGAGACUAUGAUACAACAGAAGAUCUUCAAAUGUUACAUUUGUACGAUUGGGCCACCUGUGAAAUCAAAUUCGGUGGCACACAAUUACACAAGUAAUAGAUGUCAACUACGAAGUCUUCAUAUACAUAUUCAAGAAAGGACCGUUAUGUGCUGACCAGUAAAUCUAUCACUUAGAACACAUUGCACAUUCUAUGUCCAUUGCAUACUACUUCCCAUGAUGAAUAGCUAUGCUCUUUGGCCAAAUCUAUGCAUGGCACUAAAAAAACUAUAUAUAGGCUAUAUCCACUUAAUACUGGGCCACUAUCUUAAAACUACUAAUAGAAAAAACUUUCAACAAGGGCAGAAAACAUAAUCCAUGAGCAUUCUAGAAUUUAAAUGAUGACUACAAGAGAAAUCAGAACUGCCAAAAGAAACAGAAAGAUAAUCUAACCAGUCCAGCUUGCAUAGAGCGUUUUAAAGCUUCCACUUCUUCCUCCUUUCGUCGUUCACGCUCCUUCAACAAUUCUAAUCUGCAUGAUUUUUUCAAAAAAAAAAUAAUUAAAGGAACUACUCAACACAGAAAAACUAAAAACCCAAUUAAAAUACAAGGGUUUCAUAAUAUUCCCUUCAUAGACCAUCCAAAAGAUUAGUGUAAAGAUAAUAUUGCACAAACCAUAAUCUGGUAGAUCUAAAAAAGACACUAGCAACUUUAUUGAUGUCCCAUGUUUUAAGAAAAGUAUCUGGACAAUGUGGAAACCAACAAAUGUUUUUCUUUUUCAGAACAGUUUCAUUUUUACGUACCUUCGCUGUUCCUCAUCAUUAAAUACUGUACGUUCUGUCACAGACACCUUUAAACCCUUCUUUUUCUCUUUCUCCAUCGCUUUGCGAUGAUAAGCAUCUAAAUUAUAAUAUCUGAAAGAGAACACAAGGAGAGAAAUCAUAAAUCCUUUUCCUCAACUGUCAUAUAAUAAAAGUUAUACCCAAAAGAUGAGAGCCAUUACUUUUUUGACGGGAAAGUCGCUGUAUUGUGAUCCUCCAUGAAUCUGAGAUACAAACACAAUAUGUUAGACACCUUGGAACAUCAAUGAUACAGUAGCUAUUUCUUUUCUAAGUUCACCACAAGGUCUGUAAUUAUUGAAGCAAUUUCAUGACAGUAGAGUAUCUUACUCCUUGAACAUUUGCUUCUCUUCCCAAUUUGAUAAUGCCUCCAAAUUAACCUGGGUUCACAUUAACAAAAAACUAAAUUGAACAAUGCCAUGGAUCUACAUAGACCUCUGCCUCACUGUGUAUCAACAAUUCAACACAUACAGAAUAACAGAAAGAAGUAUACCUGCUUGACUUCUGAUAGCCAUGCAGUGAACUCUGGUCGCUUGUUCCUACAAAACACAUUGGAAAAUUCAAAGGACUGUAGUAGAAAUAACAUUAGUACUUCAUAUCAUUAAUUAUUUAGAGUCCAAACUCAUCUCAUUCGCAAAAGAUACUACAUGAUGCUGGCUAUAACGUUGGGAUAAGCUAGCAUUGCUUAAAAGUGAAUGGAUGGUGAAACAUAACUACAAUUUUCUAUGUUAUCAUACUAUGAACUUUUAAAGGUGAGCUUGCAGACUUUGCUUCAAAGCUAGUAGAAUAGGAGCAUUAUAAGCUCUUAUCAGAUUAACAUUGCAGUGAUAAGGCUACUGUUUCAUGCAUUCCAAUCCAAUCAAAGUUUUCCGAUUGACUUAUAUUUCAUCUUUGCUUUCAGUAAGCUACAUGAAUUGGAGAUGUCAUUUCCUUAUUUCAGAUUGAACUAUAUCUCCUAGCACAAAAAUAACAAAUCACAACUGAAAUCUCAUGCAAUUCAUGUCUUAUGUCAAACUCUGAAACUAGGAAUGAAGCUACUCACCACAUAUCGACCUCACGGAUGAUGCCAUAUUUCCCCCACGAGUUAGUCACGGCGCCCUUCUUCCCCAAAUUCUUCUUCUCCUCCUUCCUCUUCUUCUUCUCCUUCCUCCUCCUCUCCUUCUCCUUUUCCUUCUCCUUCCUCUUCCUCCUCUCCUUCUCCUUCCUCCUCCGCCUCCUCUCCUCCUCCUCCCUCUCCUUCCUCCUCUUGCGCCGCCGCCGCCGCCUCUCCUCCUCCGAAUCCAACUCCGACUCGCUCUCAGACUCCGCGCUGGACCCCGAGUACGACGACUCCGACUCCGACUCUGACGACGAGCCCGAGCUCUCGCUGCGGCUGCGGCGCCGGCGCCGCCGCUCUUUCUCCUUUCUACGCCGUUUCCGUCGCUCGCCGGAGUCCUCUCCGGAGCUCUCGCUCUCCUCCUCCUCCUCCUCCCGCCGCUUCGACUUGCCGCGGUGGUCCCGGUCCCGGCUCCCCUUUGAGCGGUCGUUACAUUCGGCGUCUAGCGACUUGCUGCCGCUGCGCGCCGCCUCGUCCUCCUCGGCGCCUCGACCAUCACGGGGCGACCCAGAGGCAGCCAUGGCGUCACGAACCUAGGGUUUCGCGCCGCGGAGGCGAGAUGGCUAGUGAGAGACACAGAUCGGCCCGCGACUGUGCCGCAAGUGGUGGCCGCCUGGGACUCACUGGACGCCUGGACGGUGCGACGACGAAGCCACGAACUCUCACCCUGUUUUCCACGGACUCCACUGACAUGCGGGUCUACUUUGUCAAGAUGUGGGUCCCACUGGUCAUAGGCCGCGAUGCCUCGGCACGCUGGACACGUCUGCCCAUCUUGACGACCCAUCUUCCACCUCGCCGCCCGAUCCGACGCGCUGGAUUGCCGGCGACCGGGCGUUGUCGAUCCGAAGUGCAGCAGUCGGCUCUUCCUGCAGAUCCCCUGCGCUUGCGUCCCAUAAUUGCACGACCUGCGCAUCUCGCCAGCUCAAGAGCAUCCGUGGAUCUGACCGGAAGAGGCCGCGGCUGCUGCUGCUGCUGCUCCCUCGGCGAUGUCGAGGGUUCGGGACAGGACGGAGGACUUCAAAGAGGCCGUCCGAGUCGCCGCGCUCUCCCAUGGAUACACGGAGGUGAGUUGCGGCCACGGCCUCUCCAUCCGCACCCCUUCCUCAGCGUAGUGAUGAAGCCUCACGAAUGGUCCUCGAUUAUUCAUGCGCAUUGACUGAUUGUGUUGGUUUGUGUAUUCUAUGAAGGCCCAACUGGCCGCGCUCAUGUCGUCUUUCAUCAUCCGGAAGCCGUCGCCCAAGUCAGCGUUCACUAAUGCCGCGAUCAAGACGGUAGGAGCCUGUGGUGGAUUGUGUUCCUGUUUUCAUGUGGUGAGACAGGUUGGCACUGUAAUUGUUUGAUGGGUUUUGUUGAUGUGUAGCUUGAGAGCAUCAGGGAACUCGAGAGAUUCAUAGUGAAGCAUAGGAGGGAUUAUGUGGACCUGCAUCGCACUACCGAGCAAGAGAGGGAUAACAUUGAGCAUGAAGUAAGUUGCACACUGUGUUGUUGUUUGUUUUGAUUUGCUAUCGCUUUUCGUGUGAUGAUGCAUGCAUGAAAUCUUAAAUGUGUGUGUUACUCAACCUAUGUGCUUAGUGUUCAAAAAAGAAUUGUCUAGUGCGUUGUUUGCCCGUUUGGCUUUGCAUUACAGUUCUCUAGCAUUUUAAUAUGCUUGAAGCCUUCAAUGUUUGAAAGCUUCAAUGCAAGCUUUUAUGCCUGAAGGCCGAAACUCAAUGGCACAAAUGAUACCUAUUGAUGUACCAUUUCAUGUACCGUUUUGUAAAAUCUACUUGGUUUUAAAAAAAAAAAAAAACACAACUGUACAGAUCUAGUCUUGGAGUGCAAUUAUCGAAGACUGUAGCCCUAAAAAGUUUGUUGAAGAGGCUAAAUAUAUGCACAAUCAUAUGUCCUCCUUGAUGCUCAGAUAUUCACUUAAUGUAGGUUGUGCUUCUCUCUGUUCAUACUAUUAAUCUAUGUUUGGAUAUAGUGAUGUGUUGUUCCUCUUGUAUAGACUAUUUAGUUUUGAAAACCUAUAUUCAUACUGGCAUGCCGAACAUUGAUUCAUAUAACCUGCUUUCUAUUCUCAAUUUAUUACUUAUUUUGUAACUACUCAAUGCAUAUUAGAUUGGUGUUUUUGUAAAAGCAUGCAAGGAACAGAUUGAUAUCCUGAAGAAUAGGAUCCAUGAAGAAGAGAAGAAUGGAAGUGGAAAGACAUGGCUUGGCACUAGGGAUGAGAGUUCCCGGUUGGACUUGAUAGCUCAUCAGCAUGGUGUGGUAUGGUUAUUCUCCUUGCCGUUGCUGUUGUAAGUUAAAAAAAAAUCUGCUGGAUUAAUUUGUUUUUUUGAGGUAGUUAGCAGUAGAACUGACCUCAAUGAAUUGCAUUUUGAGGAUGAGGCAAAGUAAUUUCUUAGGUACCUGUUACGGUGCAACGUGUAUUAUGAUCCAAGAUUUCCUUUUAUGAGAGCCAAUUGAAAGGUCAUCCUGUUGAGGAUUGAUUGUUUUCAACAUUUUCUUUCUGAUUUUUUGAGUUGGGUGUAUAUUUCACUAGUUGGUAGUAGGAUACCAGACUUCGAUUGAUUGAUUUCAUUUGGUAGGAUAAAAAAUUGUGUUGUGUGAUUGUAGAAGACAGAUUGCCCAGUCGAAACAGGUGGACUUGAACUUGAAUAAUAUCUACUUUCAUUUUCUUGUUCAGGGCUGCAUCAGGUAAGAGCAUGUACAGGCGAACACAUACCUCUACUUUUCUUUGUCGCCCCUCCCCCGAGUAGCAGUCAAUCAUCAGUUCUGAAGUCUGAACCACCCUGGGAUUUUCUUCAUUUCUUGUGCCCAGCUCCAGUAAACUGUUUGUUUUGUGUUCAACUUUACCAGGUUCUAAUUUUGAGUGAGCGUCUCCACUCGGUAACUGCACAAUUUGACCGUCUUCGGUCCAUGCGUUUUCAAGAUGCUAUUAACAGAGCAAUGCCAAGGAAGAAGAUUCUGAAGAGACCUGAAAUCAAACCUGCUGAACCGUCGAAGUCCAAUCUUGUUCUAAAAUCUGAUGUAUCAAAGAUUGUAGAUCAGGAAGUAUCCCCAGCACCUAUGAGAGUUCAAGAGCAACUUUUGGAUGAUGAAACAAAAGCCCUUCAGGUAAUAUGUGGAUGGAAUAUAAACUAUUCUUUAGUGAAAAAACUUGGCUAUUUUACUUAAACUACCAUGCAUCAUUUGUAUCCUGAAACUCUCCUCAGGUGGAGUUGACAAGUCUUCUUGAUGCUGUCCAAGAAACGGAGACAAAGAUGAUAGAAAUGUCAGCACUUAAUCAUCUUAUGUCAACACAUGUUCUACAACAAGCUCAACAGGUUCAGUAUUUAUAUGACCAGGUAUAGGAUUCGUUUAAUCGUAUUGUACUAGUUUAUAUGUUACUUGUGUUUUCCUACAUGAACAUAAACCUACGGACUGUCAGAGUCAACCUGAAAAUUAUAAUGGUCGCAUGAAGCUUAUGUCCAUGAAAGAGUUUUGUAACACAGUUUAGAAUUAAAUAAUUGCCUCCAUGCUAAGGCUUUAGUUCGCGAAAACUUUUGGGUUCGGCUACCGUAGCAUUUUCGUUUGUAUUUGGCAAUUAUUGUCUAACCAUGAACUAACUAGGCUCAAAAGAUUUGUCUCGCAAAUUACAACUGUAUAAUUAGUUUUUUUAUCUAUAUCUAAUGUUCCAUGCAUACGUCCAAAGAUUCGAUGUGACGAGGAAUCUUGAAAUUUUUUGGGAACUAAACAAAGCCUAAGAUCCCCCUCUUAACUGAAAGAACGCAUGAUUUGGAUAUGCACUACAUGACCUGAUUGUUAUCUGUAUGUCCUCAUAGAACAUCUUCUGCGCAGGCUGUUGAAGCUACAAAUAAUGUGGAGCGUGGGAACAAGGAACUAUCCCAGGCAAUCCAGCGCAACAGCAGCAGUAGAACCUUUCUCCUCCUCUUCUUCUUUGUUCUCACUUUCUCCGUUCUUUUUCUUGACUGGUACAACAACUGAAAUAGUAUACGAAGACGUAUUUGUGGGAAAUGAUCAAAUUAUGAAGGCUGUCUGUCUAUUUAAAGUUCUGACCUUUUAGGUGGUCUGUUACUUCCCAAGCAUACUGUCCAAUGUUAUGUUAUCUGAAAUAUGCUGGGAUUUGUCAUUUCAUUUCUGGCAUGCAAGCUGCAGACGCGAUGGGCACUGUACUAGGGCCAUGUACGGAGCUUUUAGGCACUUGUAGAGACUAGAGAGGACAAACAAGGUUCAACGUCUCUCUGCAGAACCUGGGCCGUCAAUUCCUUACUGAUCAGGUCAUUAGCAGUCUCAAGUCUCAACAGCGUCGUCGUCCAGACUCCAGAGUACCUUAAGCUGUUAAGCUUUGACGCAAUCUUGUAUUGGCUCCGAUCAGCGUCAGAUGCAUGUAUCACAUACAGAAGCAAUCUAUAUUGGCUCCGGUUAGCAUCAGAUGCAUGCAUCGCAUAAAGAAGGAAAAUGUACUUAUGAGCCUGCCGUCCUGGCUACAAAAUUGCAGCGUCAAUUUUAGAACAGGAACAGGGCAGACAUUGGUAGGCAAAACAUCAUUUUCGAUUUAUAUACAAAUCAAACGGCCGUUUGGCAGUGACACCAACCAAUGCACAACAGAUGAUGGUCAACCUAACAUGAAGAUGUCAGGUAGGCAACCUAACAGGCCGACAGUGAUAGACCAGGGAAUUGUUGACGUUACGAGAAGAAUGAAAUAUGCAUUUCACCUCCAUGUCUCAUCAUAUUACAACUCUAUAUCAGCAUGCUUAAGCACAUGCUUGUCGACACAGACCAUUACCCUGUUUACUAUACGCAUCAUCCAUUAGUAUCCCCCUCCCACUUUCAAUAUCUACAAAGAGGUAUAUAGAACAGUCUUGUCUCAGAACAAGAGCAGGCACAGCACCACAAACACAAAGAGGAAGAACCAGAUCUGGUGCAGGGACCUCUCGAGUUCCAUCUGAUGCCGCCUCAGCCUGGGAUUCAUGUUCUGCGUCGCAACAUGGUAUGGGCUCAUGUAGUACAAGCUCGCUGGCAGCUGGCCACGGAACGCCCAAGGAAGCACAACCUCUGCCAUCCCUCCGAGCACCCCUCCAGCAGUUGAGUGGAUCAAGCCACGCCCUACUGGUGCUGGAGGGUAGAUGAAGUCAAGUCCAGUGGGAAUGGGAUAGUGCUGUGCGUGCGGCAACGGCCGAUGCUGAGGGUUGUCUUCCAUGCUCUGGUGGUAGUGCUGAUCAUUGGCGUUGCUCUGUGCAUUCUGUUGCUCAACAGUCUCCCGGUGUACCAUGGGGCGGCGCGGGAUGGCAAUGCUAUUAGGUGACUUCUUUGAGUCCCCUCCACGGCCAUAUAGUGGCACAAGGGUGUCCGUUGAGAGUGUUGCCUUGCAUACAGGACAUUGCCGCCUUGCCGAACUGCUGUUGUCGCUGGCAGUCGACUCCACCCCAGGGCGCAGCCACUCAUAGAUACAAGGCCAGCAGUAUAGAUGGCCACAGAGAGUAACCACUGGUUCUGCUGCAAAAUCAAGGCAGAUGUUGCAGUCAAAGCAUCCGCUUCCUGUUGUCACAGGCAUGUCCCCACUGGCUUUCUUCACUGGCUCAAUAUCAGCCACGAAAGGUUGGCUAUUGGUAGCAGCCAUGCAAGGCUGAUCCACUCUCCCAGCUUCCAUAACAAUCGUGAUGCUUGCUCUCAGAAACUGUUCUAGUUCAGUUAUGACAGCACUGCAAUAGACGGAGAAACGAAAGGAGGUCAGUAGGAAUAUACAUACAAUUGAUAAAGCAACACGCUAGAGGCCCAGAGCUCAUUGCACAAAAUGAUAAGGGAGUCUAAGCAUUGAAAAUGUUCAUGAUAUUCGAACGCCUGCCUAACCGUGUGGACUAAAGAAGUACAAGAAAGGAGACUGGAAGCAACAAAGCAAACCACAAACCACAUUUCUAGUUUUUAAUAUAUGCUGAAUUCUGAGGAAGAGGUGGAGCCAAGUGUACAGACAAUAACAAUUGAACUAAAUAGGGGGGUCCAUGUAAUAAGCAGCAUUUAGGCCCACACCACAUCAUCCUGUCCUGGGGAGUCUAUCCGAAUAAACUGAACAAGUGUGACAACUAAAGAAAAUGUUAGGUAAAUCUCCAAAACGUGUUAAGAGGCAAAUGUCCUUGAGAGUCUAUGCUGGUUGCUUUUAAACCCAAGAAUCCAUCAUCUUUCCUAGUGGCCCAAGUCAGCCGUGAUAGAUUCUCCAAUAUUUUAGUACCUAGCAGUGUGAGUCAGCAGUCAUGGAUUCUCCAAUAAUUUAGUACUGGGGACUACAACUGCUGCGCUUUGUUUCUAUCCCUUUUGUUAGAUAGUUAUCCGCGUGCUACUUUUUGUGCUAUUGAUAAGUUAUCCAAGAAUCUAUAUAUCAGAGAUUAGGAAACUUAUGUCAGCAAGGAAAUGAAACCACUCGCUUAUCUGCAAUGUGCAUGGCAGCAUAAUAUUAACUCCAAGACUCGGCCCCUUGUUGAAGGUAAGAACAAUCAUUGCCAGCUCGAAAUUGCCUCGGGUAUAAAAUAAGAACUAUUCGAGUUUUAAAAAGCUUGCAAACGUGGACUUUGGCAAGGCUGGCAGGUCUGAACAGAUUACCAGAGAUCCUAACAAAUUUUAUAUCCAGACAAACGGAUGGGGAAGACCAAAAGAGCAGAUAUUAUGAAUAAACAAAGGGAAGUAUGAGAUAGGCUAAAGGUGUCUGUCCCUAAUCUCCAAUAUAUGCUUGCGGUGACACGAUGAUAUUUUUGUGGUUGUGGAGCUUCUUCCAAAGGAGCAUCAUUCAAAAACAAUAGGUGGGGGUACUGAUGUGGACUGCAACAAUGGUACAGUAGGCACAACAGUUGGCAUAUUCAAUGGAACCAAACACACUGAAAAGAUCAUCAUUUAUAAACAUUUAGUAAUCAACAAAAACUAGAAUAACCCAGUGAUAAUUGCACCCACUGUACUCUGAUCAGGAAACAUUGAAUAGUUUGUCCGCCAGCUUCGUGGAAAUUUCUAACUCACUCGUCCCAUAUGUGCCACGGCCAUCAUUUUUAUAUACAAGUAAAGCUUCAGCAAGUCUUUUCUAAGUUAUUAAAACGCAUCUUAAUUACAUCAAGUACCCACAAAUGAAGCUCAAAGAGAUCAUUUUCCUACAGUUUUGUUUUGUUUUGUUUUGCGGUUCAUGACUGGCCUAAGCCUAAUAGAUAUUGACAGCAGUAAGAAUUGAUACUGAAGGUGAAGUUGGUGCUUGACAAACAGAAGCCGUGAAACUCCAGAAAUAAACAAGACGCUAGGCUGGACGUGUAUGAGCUAGCAUAGUAUGUUUUCUAAGCACGUUUCCAAAUAAUUUGAUCUAAAUUUAGGCAUGCCAGUGAAUUAGGUUGUCUACAUUAUAUUCCAUAUGUAUCGUGAAUUGAUACUAGUAAUUUCAGAAAAUAACCACAUGGGUAUCAAGCAUACGCACUAUACAAGAGCAAUUUCUUCAGAGCCAGGUAUUAAAUGCUAGCUUCAAACAGAUAUGCAAAUCGAUGCAAUUUGUAUUGUAACCCCAGGAAGAUGGGUCGGAUGAAACAUUUUGGGACACAACUAAACUGAUAGGUGCACACGAAUCCACCACAAGAAGAAGAAUGGACGGGUUGGAGAAUCCGUCUCAGAAAGGGAGGUUCAGAUUUGGCUUAUCAAGUACAACGAACGAGACCGAACAAAACAGACUAAUGGAGCAAUCCGCCCAAUUAACGAACAAGGGAAGAACAAGCCGUGCAAGCCAAGUUAAUAGGGUUCCUUACCAGCAAAGGAAGAAAUCAAUCCGAGCUGGAAUGGAUCUGCGCUCAGCACCACCAGCGAGGAUGAUGACGACGGCGGCGGCAGCGGCUAGGUCGCAGAAAUUUGACACAACGCGCUUCGGUGGAACGAGGCCCCGGGGAUAGGCUCGGCGGCGCGGCAAGGGGAAGAUGGUUUCUGGGCGGUGGCGCGAGGCCGCGGCGGUGCUUCGGGCGACGGGGAGGGAGGAGCAGGACGCUGCGGCACGGCAGCCGGCGAUAAUAUGGCAGGAGGGAGAGAUGAGCAGAGGAGGCGGAUUUCGGUGGGAGGCUCCGUCGAGGGGUAUAUAAUGAGUUGGGGAUUCGGCUCGGCUAAACGAGGGGAAGGUGGGAAAAAAAAAAAAGCUUCGCUUGGCCUGUUUAGAUUGGAGAUAAAAAUUUUUUAGGUGUCACAUCGGAUGUGUCGGAAGGAUGUCGAGAGGGGUUUUUACAAACUAAUAAAAAAACAAAUUACAUAACUCAUCAGGAAACUACAAGACAAAUCUAUUAAACAUAAUUAAUCUAUCAUUAGCACAUAUGAGUUACUGUAGCACUUAAGGCUAAUCAUGGAGUAACUAGGCUUAAAAGAUUCGUCUCACAUUUUUCAAUCAAACUGUGUAAUUAGUUUAUUUUUUUAUGUACAUUUAAUAUUCCAUGCAUGUGUCCAAAGAUUCGAUGGAAUGGACGAAAAAAUUUGAGUGGGAACUAAACAGGGCCUUAAAAAUAAAAUAGUUAUUAAAAUAUUUGUUAUAUCAAUCAAGCGAAUAAACUAAAUGAGAGGCCUCUAUUUUAUCGUUUUAUAUUUAAAUGGUUUCUAAUAAUUUAUUAUAUAGCUUUAUAAAACUCGAAAGUCGGACGGGAGAGGGAAAACCACGCCGCACACAGGUUGCACUAGCCAUUUGGCUAUGGUGAUUAAGGCUUUAAAUCCAUUGGCUUCGUCGUUCUCGAGCCAGCCGUAGCGCACUGGCGCCAGGAACCAUCAGCACGGUCGCGCAUUGUCGGUGGUGCCCGUCAACGGGGGAAGUCCAAGAUUUCGGAACCGAUAAUAUGGGAUAUUGCCGCUCCGUCCGUACUAAUCGGACGAAGAUAAUAAUAGUAUAGUACUCCAGAUAAGGCCUAUCCGCUCCAGCGUGGCGUUCCACCAUUUUGCCAUCUCCCGAGUCACCAGUCACCACCAUUUUGCCGCUUUGGGAGCGCUGAGCGACACGAAACAAAAGUGUUUUAUGCACUUGGUGCUAAAGUGUUCCCCGCUUGGCCACUCCUGCCUAUGCUCACCUUCUUUUGCAACGGGUGUCCCGUCCAUUAUCUCGAACCGAGAUCGCAAGAUUUAGUUUCAAAAGAAACAAUAUGUACGCCUGUUUGGCUCGAUGAAGUUCAGCUGCUGCUAAAAAAUGGUGAGAGAAAAAUACUAUUUAUUUAUUAAAAAGUUGUGCUGAUAAGUUCAAGUAGGGCAAUAUGAUUAGUCAAAUUAUUUCUAGUUUGUUUAAGUUUAUAAACAGUAUCAAUAAUUCCUGACAAUAUGUACUUGGUCACUAAUCUAAUGACAUAUAUUUUAUAUCAUAAACAUUUGUAUUUGUUUUUGGGUAAAGAUAGCAUUUGCAGAAUUUGUUUGCCACUAAUCUAAAAAAGAAUUUGUUUGCCACUAAUCAUUCACGGUACAUACAAUCAUGACUCCUUUUGUUAUCUUCUUGCCCUUUUUUGGCCCUAUAUUAUCAUGAGGGCUGCGACUGCCACGGUACUGUGCAUCCCCGGGCGGGCAGAAGCAGACGAGCAAUCUGUUCGCCGCAUCAUCAUGGCCUUUGUUUAGGCCUUGUUUAAUUCACCUCAAAUACCAAAAACAUUUCAAAAUUCUCUGUUACAUCAAAUCUUGCGGCACAUGUAUAGAGCAUCAAAUAUAGAUAAAAAUAAAAAUUAAUUGUACAGUUUGCCUGUAAAUUGCGAGACAAAUCUUUUAAGUCUAGUUACUCUAUGAUUGGACAAUAUUUGUCAAAUAAAAAUGAAAGUGCUACAGUGUCAAAUCCAAAAGUUUUUUUUUAUCUAAACAAGGCUUUAGGCCUCGUUUAGUUCACCCCAAAAACCAAAAAGUUUUCAAGAUUCUCCGUCACAUCGAAUCUUUUGACAUAUGCAUGAAGCGUUAAAUACAAACGAAAAUAAAAACUAAUUGCACAAUUACCUGUAAAUCGCGAGACGAAUCUUUUGAUUCUAGUUAAUCCAUAAUUGGACAAUAUUUGUCACAAACAAACGAACGUGCUACACUAGCAAAAUCCAAAAUCUUUUCGCAUCUAAACAAGGCCUUAGUUCACCCAAAAACCAAAAACUUUUCAAGAUUUUCCGUCACAUCAAAUUUUGCGGCAUAUACAUGAAACAGUAAAUAUAGAUAUAAAAAAACUAAUUACAUAGUUUCUCUGUAAAUCACGAGACGGAUCUUUUAAGCCUAUUUAAUCCAUAAUUAGAUAAUAUUUGUCAAAUAAAAAUAUUACGGUGUCAAAAUCUAAAAACUUUUCGCAUCUACUCCCUCCGUCCCAAUAUAUCUGUCGUUGGAGGACUUGAUCCAGUAACCAACGCAAGUGGCAAAAGACCCUGCCACCCCUAUCUAUAAAUGAUUUGUGACCUGUACCAUUUGAACAGACAUGCCAUUAAUGCACGAGAAGCACCACCCACUGAAUCUUUUUGUUACAUUAAACAAAUCAGAGUUCACAUCCACUUUCACAGCUAAACAUGCAGUACAGGAUUUUGGCCUUAAACAAAUCAAAGAUGACACCAAAAAGUGCAUUUCACUCGGCGGCAAACUCCACCUGGCGCCAAAACAAAUCUUGUGCUCCAUUUUUACACAGCAAAAGCAAACUGAAAUUUCAAACUAUUGCCCCAGCGCCAUUUCUCUAAACAUGUGGCAUUGAAAGCCUACCAACCGUCUCGUUGCCUUCAUUUGAUUCAUUCACCUCUCAUCCAUUUCCCAUGGCAAUAGACCUAAACACACUACCAGAGGAGGAAGGAGAGAAGGUGCCUGAUCUCAACAAGAGUCCUGCUGAACAUGAAGAGGAUCACAAUCCCUUGGAAGAUGUAGUGGCUGUAGUUGAAGUUGGAGGAGCUGAUCACUUUGGUCUCCAUCCUGUUCAGAAUGAAGAACAAGAACAAAUUCAUCAUCAAGGUAAACACUUUGGUCUCUCUCUCUCUCUCUCCCCUAAAAUUGGAAAGCUAGUUUAUUUCACCCUCCUAAAAUCACAAGCAACAACAAGGAAUUUAGUUACUGCUAGUAUUUUCUCACCUAAAACUCUUGUGUAGCAGAUGUUCUCGUCUGUGUCCUAAAGUAGUAUACAUGCUCCUUUGUAUCCUCUCAAAAUCACAAGCAAUGUUAGUUAAUUUUUGUGUGUAAGGCAUGCAACUCAUUUUUUUGCUUCAAGUUCUAAAUUAAAUUAGAGUGAGAUAGGAGAAUAACUCACAUGUGUGCGAUGACAAUGCAUUCUCAUUAACAUCAGCUUGCUUCUAUACCAGGUCACAAUGCUGCGCAUCCAUUUCAUUCAAAUGAUCCACACGAAGAACAACAAAACCUGCAUGCAGGUGAUUAUUUUCCUGAUGUUCAAGUCAUAAUCGUAGUAUUUAUCUCAACUAAAAUCAGUAUCAACUGUCUUAUAAUUCAACUGGUUUAGUGUCUGUCACAUAAAAUUGCAAGCAACAUUAUUUAUCUAUGUGUGCGUGACAAUGCAUUUUCAUAAUCAUCACCUUGCUUCUGUACCAGGUGAUAGCGCUGGGCAUCCAUUUGAUUUAAAUGAUCCACUAGAAGAUCAAGAAAACCUGCAUGCAGGUGAUUAUUUCCCUCAUGUCCAAGUAAUGUUUGCGACAAUAAUUGUCCAUGUCAAAAGGUUUCAUAAUCAAUUUACUCACAAUCAGCACACUAUCUACAUUUUUUAUUGUAGGAGAUGACUACAUUGGCUUCCAAGAACAACAAGAUACCUUGGAUGAUGUCAUACAUGACUUUGGCGUGUAUACAGAUGCCGUUCACAUCAUAUUUGACGAAGAGGAGUUGUCUGACUCGGAUGACGAAGACUAUCAGCAACCCCUGCAAGAAGAAGCAACAAAUGUGCUCAAGAAUUUGACACAAAGACAAAGGCAAGACAUAUAUAAAGAUUUGCUUCAGAUAAGCACUAAUGGCACAUUACAGCGAAACAGCACAACACUUAUUGCUGCAAAGUACAAUGUUCAUGUGCGUACAGUACAACGGGUAUGGAAAAGAGCAAAAGAUUGUUUGGCACAAGGCAUACCAGUAGAUGUCAAUUCUUUAAGAGCUAAGAAUUGUGGCCGUAAAAAAAUACAAGUAGACCUCAUGAGGGUCGUUGAUAUUCCCUUAAACAGAAGGGGAACCAUAAGGUCACUGGCAUAUGCUCUUGAAAUCAGUAAAAGCACUCUACACAGGUUGUUCAAAGAAGGCUUGCUGCGACGACACUCCAAUGCGCUGAGGCCUUAUUUGAAGGAAGAAAACAAACAUGCAAGGUUGCGGUGGGUUUUCUCUAUGCUAGAUCAAAGUACUCUGCCAAACAAUCCAAAAUUUCGUGAUAUGAAAAAUAUUAUUCACUCCGAUGAGAAGUGGUUCAAUGGGACACAGAAGAAUAUGACCAUGUACAUGCAUCCAGAUGAAGAAGACCCACAUAGAACCGUGCAAAACAAGAAUGCCAUUCACAAAGUCAUGUUUUAUUCUGCGGUGGGAAGGCCUAGGUUUGAUGCUGAAGGAAGAUGCUAUUUUGAUGGGAAGAUAGGCAUAUGGCCUUUUGUGCGUGAGGUACUAGUCAUUCUGUACAUAGUACUUGCAAUCCAUUUUAAGCUAUUUGGCUUAACAAUCUUUAUAAUUGUAGGAACCAGCAAAAAGAAGAAGUGGCAAUAGACCGAGGGGCACACCUAUCACAAAGACCAUGAAGGUUGAUAGACAAACAAUUAGAUCUUAUAUGAUCACAAAACUAAUACCAGCUAUACAAGCUUGUUGGCCUAGAGAAGCAAGGCAUGAGACAAUAUGGAUACAACAGGACAAUGCUCCUUCUCAUGUACGAGCAGAUGAUGCAGAUUUUGCUCUAGCAGUAGCCCAAACAGGCCUUGAUAUACGCCUAACUAACCAGCCUGCUAAUUCACCUGAUAUGAACUGCCUUGACCUUGGUUUUUUUGCUUCUCUUCAGUCGAUAACUGAUAGAACGACAUCUAGAAACAUGGAUGAGCUUAUCCAGAAUGUGUGCACGGAAUAUCAAAACUACAACCCCGUCAUUCUAAAUAGGGUGUUCCUCACACUACAAGGAUGCAUGAUUGAAGUUAUGAAAGAUAGUGGAGGCAAUAGGUACAAGAUUCCUCACAUGAAUAAAGAAAGGCUAGAGGCACUACACAUGCUCCCUGAAGCUCUAAGUUGUGAUAGCCAACUAGUUCGAAGGGCUUUUGAGUUGUUGAACACUUAAUGGUUAUGUUCAUGUAAACAUCGCUUAUGAUGCUUUUGCGUUGUUGAACACUUAAUUGCUGUUGUAUAUAUAAACAAGGUUUAAGUUGCUUUUUUCGUAUUUAACACUCAUGUGGUUGUAUGACCUGCUGCUGCAAUAAUUAAAACUUUAUGUGGCUGUGGCAAACUAAUUCGUUGUUGUAUGUAUUUCACAUUGCAAAUCACAAAUUAAACGAUGCAUACCAUAUAAAUACGUACAAGCACCAUAAAUCAAAAUGAACCAAGCUGGUCAAACAUAAACCAUCAGGCACGCAACCAACAGACCAUCAAUACUGUCAGUACAUAUUCCCUUCUACAGGUUCCUUCCAGCACAACUAACAACAAAAGCAACACUAGGGUAGGGUUACAACGAAAAUAUUGCAGGUUCCUUCGAUCACAGCUAACAACAAAAGCAACACUAGGGUAGAGUUAGAACCAAAAUACUUCAGUUACCUGUUCAUUAAAGUCGUCAUCUUCCACCUGCGAAUGGCCUCGCAAGUCCACACCAUCCUGAACCCAACAUGCCUCAUCAUCGGUUUCAAUAUCAGAGAAGCUAGCCCUAUGGUCCAGCUCCUUGCCAGUAUCCAUCUCCGCCUUGACACUGUCCAUCUCCACCUUGACACUCUCCUUCUCCAACUUCAGAUUGUCCAUCUCCACCUUGGCAGUGUCCUUCUCCAACUUCACAUUGUCCAUUUGCACCUUGGCACACAUCUCCAACUUGUCGCUCUCCAUCUCCACCUUUACACUGUCCAUCUGCACCUUGGCGCUCUCCAUGUCCACCUUGCCACUCUCAUUCUCGACAUCCGAAAUAAGUCGUUUCCACUCGUGAAGCAAAGUACUGCACAUAAUUUGUACACAAAAUGAGUAAGGUACCAGUAUGACAACAAAAUUGCAAGGCAAUGUUAAGAUGGCUAACCCCAAACGCUGACGACCUUGGUUGGCGCACGGCCCAGUAAUUGUGCUCACAAUAACAUCUUGCGGCUCCGUCUCAGGUACGUACUCAUCGUCAUCACCAAGCAAAGAUGAACCCUUAGCAACUCCUUCUUCAUCCGAAUCAGGUAUCAACUCAAAUUCAUCUGCACCCCCUUCCUGUGUAUCUUGAGCAAAGUCCACUCCUUCGAUGGCUAUGCAGUUCCGCUUGCGGUCCCACCAAGUACCACGACGACGAUCCCGGCCGCGCAUCCGCUUUGCGGGCCACAUCUUAUAGCUAUAUGGGAGCCCCAAGGCAUGCUUCAUCCGCAUGUGACGAAUGAACCGGCUACCCCCAUGUGCCCCCUUGCCGCCUGUCAUCAAAGGAUCACCUGCGGCACAAGGAAAAAAAUCUCAAACCUCAUUUUACAAACGUCGGUAGAAUCAGUAAAUCUAGAUAUGCCAAUGGGAAUGGUAAUAAUUAAUAUUUCCUUUCAUACACAGCAAGCCGAAGAGAUAAUCUUUCCUAAAAAAAGGGAGAGAUAAUCUUCAAAGAGCUAGAAAGUUGGAGCUGUGCAGUGAUUGUCAUGUUCUUAUCAACUACUCCUAGCAAACUUGUCAAAAAAAAACUACUCCUAGCAAGCACGUAGUAGUAUAGUAUUAAGCUGCGUCAACUUGAUUUCUCAUUGUCGCAUACUAAAGCUGCAGGCAGAGUAUUCCAAAAGACAUCUAGUAUAGUAUACACAAUGUAAAGUGCAAAUCUGGGGAAAAGACGGACAUGCCUGGUAGUAGUAGAAUCCUAGUAGGUCCUAGAUCUAAGUCUAAAAUCUAAACAAUGCGAGCUGCGUGGUAUACAAAUAGCAAAUACGUACCUGUAUGUUUGCCGAUAGCGUGGGCGGCGAGUUUCUGUGGGUCGGAUCGAACGCCGUGCUUGCCCCUGCGCUUUCAGAUGGUCCUCGGCGGCGGCGGCGGGGGAACAGCCCGUGCUCCCUGGUACCGUGGCCUGGCGCAAGACGAUGUUGGCAGAGGGGAGUCGCCGGAGUGCAGCUGCGACGGCGAGGUUGCGGAUCGGCCGAAGGAAUCCGGAGGUUGCGGGUGAGAGCGGCGAGAUUGGGGAGGGUGGGUUUUUUUUAGAAAAAAAAGUUUCAGUGGUGUGGGAGGCUGCGAGGGGGAGAGGGAAGAGAUAAGCUUGGCCGACAGCGCGUGGUGCGGUGCAGUAUACAGCUACGACUGAGAAUAGGCAGCGACAUUUAUUUUGGGACGUCCCACUGUUGCUACGACGACAGAUAUAUUGGGACGGAGGGAGUAAACAACAUGUUCAUGUCAAAACUUCCGCCCACAAGAUUUGACGCUGGAAACGUUGGGAGAAUGGCUGCGCAGACACGUACUAGUACGGCGGCCAGAUAGGCUCACAGGGUCACAAGUGAGCUGUCGCGGUCAGUGGCGAAGAGUCGCCUGACCAAUCAGCCACCGUCUUCCACAAACCAGUGUGCUACUGCCCACUUGCACCACACGGACGACGGGAAAACCCCAGCAGAACUGCCUAGGCCUUGUUUUCGGUACUGUAGCACUUUCGUUUGUCUGUGACAAAUAUUAUUUAAUCAUAGACUAACUAGGAUCAAAAGAUUCGUCUCGUGAUUUACAGCUAAACUGUGUAAUUAGUUUUUGUUUUCGUCUAUAUUUAAUGUUUCAUGUAAUUACCAUAAGAUUCGAUAUGACGUGGAAUCUUAAAAACUUUUUGGUUUUUAGGUUGAACUAAACAAGGCCCUAGUGAAAACUAGGGGUCUGGGGUCGUCCAACGUCCAAGCAGAACCGAUGGCAUUGGCGCAUUGCCUGUAGCCGCGCGCCUCCGUGCCGUGCCGGCCCCCGCCCGCGUUCCCUGCUCGGACCCGCGAAACCUCAUGUAGUCAUGUGCGCGCGCCUUUGGCAGCGGCCGCCGAUCCGUUCCGUGACUAGUUUCCGUCCGCGUCUUGCGUGGCCGAGCACGCCACGCCAUCGUCCGAAGCAAAAGCUGCAACCGUCGCUUGCUCCAAUGGUCAAACGACCGACCGGGCCGGCAGAUUCGCGUGGCCUUCAGGCUUCAGACUAGCGUCAGACGGGCACCGGCUCCCCGCGCGGACCACCAGGACCAGAUCAGCGCAGCGCGGUGGUUGCCUCGCGGGUCACGGGCUCGCUUCUUCAUGUCUUGUUUAAUCUGCCGCCGUGCCCGCCACCAGGUCUUGUUUAAGCGCGGCGAGGUACGGUGCCUGCCGCGUGCGUCGUUCGUCGACGUCGCCGAGAUAGAUAGGAUCCCCGAUCCCGUCACCGAAUGCGAACAGUGGCCACAUCGGUGCGAGUUGGUGUGGCCCUGUGGCGGUCUCAUCCGGUCGGCCGUCCGUGGCAUGAUAAGAUAUUGGGGGCACGCUGCCGGCUGCCCUGCCCCGCGCACGAGCAAUCAUUCGCCCUGGGUCCGGUCGUUGCGGAGAGAGCCCAGAGGGUGCGUCGCGACCUGCCGCGUUCCGCCACGCCGACGGGCGACGACGGGCGGAGCGCGGAGGCCACCUGCCACUGCUAGGCGACGGUGGAAGGAAGGAAGGCUGGGAGUUCAGUCAUGUGAUCGAAAUCGCCCUGCCGGACGCUUUGCCCUGAUCCUGGCGCCGACGCACGUUUAGCACCCGCCCGGCAGCUCGCGCGGAGGGUGACCUCUUGUUUAAUCGCUCCACAGGUGCGUGCAUUUAUGUGGCCACACUGUUGCAGGUUGGAUGGCGCUACCAGGGCCUUGUUUAGUUCACCCCAAAAAGCAAAAAAAUUUUAAGAUUUCCCGUCACAUCGAAUCUUGCGGCACAUGCAUGAAGCAUUAAAUAUAGACGAAAGCAAAAACUAAUUACACAGUUUAGUUGAAAAUCGCGAGACGAAUCUUUUGAUCCUAGUUAGUCUAUAAUUAAAUAAUAUUUGUCAACAAACGAAAAUGCUACAGUACCGGAACUAAACAAGGCCCAGUACGAGCGCGUACCAUCGAUGGGACCAAAGGUUAGGCCUGCAUUGAAUCUAGGGAAGGGCCUACAAUCGCAGAUCCAGACAUUACAGACCGCCCGCUGUUUUGCAGCCUCUGCCAGUGGAUUACACGUUCCCGCAACACUCCGACGGACCACGGAAUGGAUCCACAGGUCGAUGAUUCUUCCCUCACUCCCCGUGGUCCUGCUAAGGUUUCCACAAGACUUGACAAGACAUGCCCCCAAGGGAUUUACUGUAGGAUUUUAAAGCUUUGUCCGUAACGAAGAAAUUCAUGUACUAAGAUCACUCUCAAUGCAUGUUUCAUGAGAGUGUCAUGCACAUUAAAUAGAGUGCCACAUAAGCAAAAUUGCUGACUUGGCAGGAUUAUUAAAUGAAGGAGUUUCAUCAGAUGAGAGAGGAGUUUCAUCUCCAUAAAACUCCUAUGGCUCAGUUACCUAGUUUAUAGUCUUGGUAACUGUGUCAUGAAACUAUGCAUUGAGACUGGCCUAAGGCCCUGUUUAGAUUGGAGAUGAAAUUUUUUUGGUGUCAUAUCGGAUGUGUCGGAAGGAUGUCGGAAUGAGCUUUUAGAAACUAAUAAAAAAACAAAUUACAUAGCUCGUCAGAAAACUGCAAGACAAAUCUAUUAAGCAUAAUUAAUCUAUCAUUAGCACAUUUAAGUUACUGUAGCACUUAAGGGCUUAAGGCUAAUCAUGAAGUAACUAGGCUUAAAAGAUUCGUCUAGCGAUUUUUAACCAAACUGUGUAAUUAGUUUAUUUUUUAUGUAUAUUUAAUAUUCCAUGUAUGUGUCAAAGAUUUGAUGGGAUGGAUGAAAAAAUUUUGGGUAAGAAACUAAACAGGGCUAACAUACCAAGAGGCCCAAGGUGCAGCAGUAAAGCACAUGUUGCCAUUCUGAAUGCAACACAAUCCCGAGUUGGGCCCACGUAUGAUAGAUACUAAUCAGAUGAAAUCUCGUAAACAAGAUGUAUAUCUCAAGCAUCUAUCCUAUACUCCAAUAGCUGGAGAUCGCGCCUCCUCUCACAGAGUACUGUAGAUCAAUAGUGCCCCCUCACAGAAACACUGUUCUGGCAACAGUAAUGGGUCCUAUGAACACCCGAUAAAACACUAUAUACACCGAUAUGGCUAAACAGUAACGGGUUUCAUUAACGGAUCUUAUGAACAGUACAAACCCGAUAUGGCUGAACAGUAACGGGCUCCAUAAAACAGUAACGGAUCUUAAUGAAUAGUAUCCACCACCCGAUAUGGCUGAACAGUACAGGUCCCGUACUCAACGGUACAUGUUCCCGCGGCAACGCGCGGGUUCCCUGCUAGUAUUAUAUAUAAUUGGAAAUGGCCAUAAGCAAUUCUCAAGCAUAUAUAUACAAUUGGAAAUGGCCAUAAGCAAUGAUGUGUGUAUUCUUAUAUUAACGAGAAUCGAACGAGGUUCUCUGACGUCCACGUUACACAUUUCAGAGCUCUAAAGAAUAGUAAGAGAAUAAAACCAGGCUGGGGUGUUCAUGCCGCUUUCCUCAAACAAUAAUCGAACAUAUAUAUAAUCCCAUUAUCUACAGGCAGUUAUUAUAGAACUGUUCUCCGUAUGGCUCAAGUGGUUCCUUUUGAUUGAAAGGAAACUGUGCUCAAGAGAAAGAGAUCCACUGCGCAUUUUACCUCUCAACAAAUUUCUCGAUGCAUGUGACCAGUGUGCUCUCAGGCACAGCCCCAAUGACCGACUCCUUUUUCUCGCCAUUCUUGAGUAUCAUCAGGGUGGGGAUGCUCCGGACCCCGUACUGGCUUGCUAUGUCUGGGUUCUCAUCUGUGUUGAGCUUGUAGCAUCUCAGCUUUCCCUCGUAGUCCUUUGAGAGCUUGCCAACAACUGGAUCUAUCAUUUUGCAUGGCCCGCACCAUGAAGCCCAGAACUCAACAAGGACAGGAAGCUCGCUCUCAAUCACAAGUGAUUGCCAUGUUGACUUUGUCACAUCUGGGACUACAAUUGAACAGUUGAAAACGAGAAAACGUCAAGUGAUCCAUAGGUAUAGUACCGACAACAAAGAAAUGUCAAGAUAUAACACCAAAGAUAAAAGAUUUUCGUGAGCGAUUGAAAUAAAAUCGCAACAGCAUCCAGCUUGCAGGGGAGGUAAUUUUCUCAGAAUUAGUUUUUUGAAAUACUAGUAGUAAUAAUACAGGGCCACUUUAUACCUGUGCAACUACAGUCCUAGGCAGAGCAAUAUAAUGAUUAGGUAUGCCCAGUUUUUUCAUACUUAACCAACAUUAGUUCAAAUCCUAUGCAAAAUUGCAAAGGAGAGUUGUUUUUUUGCAAAAAAAAAAAAAAAACAAAACAAAAAAAAAACUGAAGUUUAGGGAAAUUAGGUUCAAAAAAGGAAAUAGUUUAAUUGAACCACAUUGAUUUGAAUCAAUAAUUUGACAAACAUGGAACCAAAUAUUGGAACAUAAGGAGAUGGAUGUAUAAAUGAAGGUGCUAAAAUUAAAGUAAGAACAAUCUACAAACACCAGUUGCCAAAAUGGGAGCACGACAUGAUAUGCUUGUCCCAGUAUGAUGCAUCUAAACAGAUACAGUAUGCCUCACUUUGUGCAAAAAGCAUGUUGCAACUUUGCCAUAAUUAUUAAAACGAAACAAGUAAGCAACCUCCCGAGAUACUAUUCAAUCAUGGCUAAGCAGUAAGCAUUGCUGGUUUUAAUCUUUCAAAUUUAACUUACUAACAGCUUUUAUGUUAAGCCUCAACAGAAUCGUGGGUAAAACAACAAGAGUAAAGGGACUGACAGAAAAUGCAUUCAAUCUUGUCAGUGAUAAAUAAUGUGAUAGAUGACAUACAUUCUCAUCAAAUCAAAAGGAGUUGUGUUUUUCACACCACCAUAAGUUAUUAAGGCAAUAACAAAAUUGGCAAGAUAACAAGGGUGCAUGACCCACGUGAAUCAUACAUACAUAGUAUGCUUAGGGCACUCACAAUGCAGACUCUAUCAUAGAGUCUAAAGUUAUUUAUUACCUCGAACAAUGUGGACUUGGAGUCUAAAUAAGAUUUGGAGUCUUAUUUUUUCUACCUCUUUCUUCAAUAAAUAUGCUGCCACAUCAGCAAAAUACCAUAAAUAAUAUGUAAUUAAGUGUCUUGGACUCUGUGAUAGAGUCUUGCAUUGUGAGUGCCCUUAUAGCAGCCCAGAUUUGACAACUUAGCGCUUAUAGCAUCCGAGAUUUAACUACUACUGAACAAUUUAUGGCUUAUAGCAGCCCAGAUUUGACAAUUGUAUGCUUCCAUAUUUGGAUUAUAGCGCCUUUACACAAAAGGAAAUGGGUGGUUAGCAACAUUAGUAAUUGUAAUUUAUACUUUAUACCAUAAUAAAGCAAGCCACCCGUGCGCAUGCAUGGAUCUCUGGAUGCACCAUAGGAGAACUGGAUGCUGUUUUGAUGCUUUCCCAGCAAAGCAAAGCUCCAACAACAUAAAGGUUGUCGUCUCCAACUCCAACACAAGCACACAACACAGGUACUAGACAGUAGAUAACCAUGUGCUUGACAUUCCCAAGGAAACACAAUUAAAAAUCUACAAUUGAAUCUAACAUGAUAUGUCUAUCCCAAUAUGAUGCAUUUGAACAGUUCGUGUAUGCCUUGCUUUGUGCAAAAGGUGUGUUGCAACUGUCAUAGUUAUUAAAAAAACAAGAAGCAAUCUCCUAAGCUAUUAUUCAAUCAAGGCUAAGAAGUAAGCAUUUCUGGUUUUAGUCUUUGCAACACUUUAGCAAACAACUUCUAUGUUAAACCUAUAAUUGUGGAUAAAGCAACCACUCUAAAGGGACUGAUAAGAAAGGCAUUCAAUUACCAAGUAUUAACAAUGUGAUACAUCCUCAUCAAACCAAAGGGUGCUACACGAUGCCAUAACAAAUUGACAAAAUAAAAAGUGGUACAUGACCCACGUGGAUCAUACAUGAAUCUAUACAUUUAAGUAUUUAACUAAUACCAAACAAUUUAGGACUCCAAAGUUGUAUACUUCCAUAUUUGGAUUAUAGUGCCCCUUCUCGACAAUAUUGGUAAUUGUGAUACAAACCAUAAGAGCUUGUUCGGUUUGGUGGGGAUUGAAAAGGAUUGAGUGGGAUUAAAUCCCUUUCAAUUCAAAACCCCCCUCAUCCCCUUCAAUCCUCUUGAGGAGGGGAUUAUUCAAACAACUGAUAAAACAAGUCACCCAUGCACAUGCAUGAAUCCCUGGAUACACCAAAACGUGCUUUGUUUUGGACAGGUCUGCAGAGGUGAAGGAGACUUGCCCCAUCUGAUUUUCAUUGAGUGCAUUUAAAAGAAAUGGCACUCAAACAGAUUACAAAGUAGGCUGAUUACAGAGGGAAAAUUGCAUGCUCCAAACCGGGAUGGUGGUGCUUUCCCAACAAUAAAGACUUAAGAGUCCAGCGAUAUAGCUGUGUUGUUGCUUCCAACACAGCAUAGGUACUAAUAAAUAGUAAAUACACAUGUGCUUCAUCUUACCAGGGGAACACAAUUGCAAAUAUGUGAUCGAAGCAAAUGCAAGUAGAUGUGCUGUCUCUAUCACAGGAACGCACUACAUCUACAUGAGUACAUGAUGGUGCAUGCAUGAAGGUAGACAUUCACAAAAAAAAAACACAGACGUCAACAGCUGCUUGCCGUUGCGUGGAGUUGCUAUCCAGAAUGCUGCCCAGCGGUGCCCUUGGUGUCGUAACCUUUGAUCCCCUAGCUAAUUCCUGCUAAUUACAAAUUACUCCGAAUAGUUGCCUACGCAACCUAAACGACACAGCAUCCUCCUAUCCUAUUUGCCGAUUCCUAGAAUCAAAUAUGUAAUCGCACUCCAAUCAACCAAAUCUAUGUAUCAUUUCUACAAUUCUACGUACGGAGUAAUAAUUAAUCCUCAUACACAACACGCCACUCGGCCACUCGGGUACCUUGGAUGGUCGCGUUCGCGUCCUGGCCUUGGACGGCGCACACUACGGACGCGCCACGGCCCGUGCCCCGUCUGUUCCCGGAGAGGACGGUAGCCGCACGGAGCGGCGGGUAUUUGACGGUGCGGGGCGAGGACGACGACGGGAUCGCGCAGCAGAUGCGGUGCGCGGUGUGGGCAGGUGAGGAGACGCGGGCGAGUGGAGAGGAGGCGGCGGGGACGGGGAAGGCGAGGCCGGCGGCCAUGGCGAUCCGCGACGGGGACGGGGGGAGAGUUCGAGAAGGCAACGCAAGGCGGGGGCACGUUUUUUGUUGCGGUGCGGGUGCCCGGACCGUGCGAGUGCGAGUGGCCGAGUGCGAUGCGACGAGACGAGAGGGAGACAGACAGGGGAAUGUGAGGGAAAGAAAAGCAUGUGUACUAGUUCCGGUACUAGUUCCGAUCCAGUUGCCCUUGGGCGGUGGUGCGGCGCGGCGGUGCCACCUCGCCCUCGCGCGUCAGCUGGGGCUGAUUGCAACUUGUCGAUGAGCCCGUUGCUCCGAAAACGAGUAUGGCACGACAAAGCGCCUGGAAGGGCUCGUUCUGAACAAGCGAGAUAGCAUUCGCACUCACAAAAAAACUGAGGCCUUGUUUAGAGUUUUCGAGAUUCCCCGUCACAUCAAAUCUUGCGACACAUACAUGAAGCAUUAAAUAUAGACGAAAACGAAAACUAAUUACACAGUUUAUCUGUAAAUCAUGAGACGAAUCUUUUGAUCCUAGUUAGUCUAUGAUUGAACAAUAUUUAUCAUAAACAAACGAAAAUGCUACAGUAGCGAAAUCCAAAAACAUUUCACAUCUAAACAAGGCCUGAAUACUAGGGCCCUAUUUAGUUCCCCACCCAAAAUUUUUUCGUCCAUCCCAUCGAAUCUUUGGACACAUGCAUGGAACAUUAAAUGUACAUAAAAAAUAAACUAAUUACACAGUUUGAUUGAAAAAUAUGAGACGAAUCUUUUAAGCCUAGUUACUCCAUGAUUAGCCUUAAGUGCUACAGUAACUCACAUGUGCUAAUGAUAGAUUAAUUAUGCUUAAUAGAUUUGUCUUGUAGUUUUCUGAUGGGCUAUGUAAUUUGUUUUUUAUUAGUCUCUAAAAACCCCUCCCGACAUUCUUCCGACACAUCCGAUAUGACAUGUGCUAAUGAUAGAUUAAUUAUGCUUAAUAGAUUUGUCUUGUAGUUUUCUGAUGGGCUAUGUAAUUUGUUUUUUUAUUAGUCUCUAAAAACCCCUCCCGACAUUCUUCCGACACAUCCGAUAUGACAUCCAAAAAAUUUUCAUCUCCAAUCUAAACAGACGUUUAUUUGCGUCUAUUCGAACAUCUGCACUAGCGCACUGUUAGCCGCCUGGUAGCGCAGCCAAUCUAAACAGACGUUUAUUUGCGUCUAUUCAGAGUAGUGUGCUGGAUGUAUUUCUGGCAAGUUUUAUACUGCAAUGGCUGCAACUGUAUUAUCAUCCAACUCAAUGAUGAAUCUUUACAGCAUGUUUACUGUACUUGCAUCCAGUUCAAUGAUGAAUCUUUACAGCGUGUUUCUUUACAAGUUUUAUUCAUCAGAUUAUUCCAAAUUUCAGAUCCGUAAAUGGUAAGGCUUGGUACAUCCCUGUCAGAGUUCAAUGAAUAAUUCGAACUCUUCAUCACCCACCGUCAGAACAUGGUCACCCAAUAACAGUACCCUUUUGCCUUCAGGAUUGGCUGCGCUCAUAUGCUUGCAAGGGUCGACGCUAAUCUCCACAUUGGAUGCACUGCCAGCCGCCGUGUGGACACGCUCGAACCCAACCAGCUGUUUGAUAGGAAAGCCCGGAACGCUUGAUUUCGAUCUCGCAAACAGAAGAACAGCAUGACUCCCAUCCAUGCUACCAUGAUUUGAAACAGCGACAUGAACAGAGAAUGCCAGAGCUUCACAUGAUGCAAUAUCUUCAGUUUUCACGAAGUCUAGUCCAUCCCUCCUUAUGUAUGAAGGCUUUCUACUAAUAAUGUCCAAAACUGAUGAACGCGACAUGGUGAUCUUCUUUGGAGCCGACAAGAUGCUAUACGAAUAUUUGGAGUAACUUAAACCGUAUCCAAAACCAUACACUACAUCGCCAGUGUAAAAUCGAUAUGUUCUCCCAGGGUAGCCUCGUGAAGGGUCAGCUCUCAUGUUCAUAUCAGUCAUCGGAAUAGCAGUAAAGGAUUCGGGAUACCAAGUCAUAGCCAGCUUUCCUCCUGUUAUUACAGCACCCACUAAAUUAGUCCAGCAGCCACCACAAUUUUUUCAUUGCAACAAUCAUAUUUUCUUUUAAGAGGUUAUUUACUCACCUGGGUUGUACUCUCCAAAAAGAAUUUCCGGAAGGACCUGUCCACCAACCUCACCAGGAUAUCCGAGCCAAAGAAUGCUUGCAAUUCGUGGAUCUUGCUUAGCAAAUGAAACAUCAACAGGACCACCACCUAAGAGAACCAACACAAGGGGCUUCUUCGCUACACUAGCAACGGCAUGUAUGAGGCUCAUCUGCUUGCCUGGAAGGAGAAGGCUCACUCUAUCGAAGUCUUCACGCUCUUCUGUCAGGUUCAAGCCAGCAACUACAACAACAAUAUCGGCUCUUUUAGCUGCAGCAAUAGCUUCGCCAAACAAUUCUGUUGAGUUACAGGAAACAUCCUUGCAUCCAGCGGCAAAGGUUGUUUGUGUAGCAUAGGCUUGAAUGCCCUUAAGGAAGGUCGUCGGGUUGCAGGCUACACCUGAAUAAAGUGAAUAUAAUGUUAAAAUGUAUGCAAAAUAGUAAGUUAAGAAAAUGUUCAUUUGAGGUAGUGAUGUGAAACCUGUAUAGUCUCCACCCAUCGCAUACACAUCAUUUGCAGAUGGUCCAAUGAUGGCAACAUGUCUAACUUCGCUUCUCUUCAGAGGCAAAAAACUAUGGUCAUUCUUCAGAAGGACAGCACCCUGCCUUACAGCUUCUGCUGCAAGCUCUCUAUGCUCUUUCGUGCACACAUUGUUGGGCCCUAGUUGAGUGGACCAUUGGUUGUUGUUGGGCUUAUCAAAUAUUCCAAGACGCAAUUGAACAGAGAAUAGAUUAAAAAGGGCACGGUCGAUAUCUUGUUCUUGAACCUUUCCCUUCUCAACUGCUGACUUAGUAUGCCGAACUAGGAAAGAACCACAGUUGAUAUCCAUUCCUUCAAAAAAGAAAAAAAAGGAGUAAUUCUAACACCUCAGCAAAAGAUUAGCUGACAGAUUCAAGACAUAAAUGGUCAGAUGGCAGAUGAUGUUCUAUGAAAUUUAGUUCGACAAGACGUCGAAACCUCCGAACAGCAAGGUUCUCAAGGAAUCACUGGAAACAGAAAGGAGAAGCCUCAAAACGGAAGUAUGUAAAUAUCUUUGCAAUAUUGGUGGUUACCAAAACAAGGCUUAUACAUCAGUUGGACUUGACUAGCAUUGAAGACAUAAAUGGUCAGAUGGCAGAUGAUGUUCUAAGAAAUUUAGUUCGACAAGACGCCGAAACCUCCGAACAGCAAGGUUCUCAAGGAAUCACUAGAAACAGAAAGGAGAAGCAUCAAAACGGAAGUAUGUAAAUAUCUUUGCAAUAUUGGUGGUUACCAAAACAAGGCUUAUACACCAGUUGGACUUGACUAGCAUUUUUUCCUACACACUCAUAGUAUCUACUUUUGGAAUGCUAGGUUUGACUGAGAAGCCACUUCUAGUCUACAAAGAGAAACAAAUCAUGUGUUUCUCAGUAUAAGAGAGAAGGCUUGAGGGUACUAACCUGCCUUAAGAACAAUUGCUAUCGAAUCUUCAUCUGAUUUAGUGUAUGUCUGGUUUUCAUGAAUAAUUGCCACAGCAUCACAAUCAGAUGUAAUAUACCUUGAGAGAAUCAAAUAAACACAGGUAAACAAAAAUGGAAAUGCUGGAUUUGGUGGUUCAUAUAAUGAAAUUCCUUAUCAUUCCUGAAAUAUUCUGUGGUCCAAGUCUCAAUAGAGGUAAAUUCAGAGGAAGAACUGGUAGCAUACCCCUGGAAGCCCCAUUCAUCCCUGGUCUUCUGUAGAAGAUCUUUGUUAGCACACAUAGGCACGCCAUUGACCUGGUUAUAUGCACACAUCAAGCAGCUAGCACGAGCCUCCUGGAUGCAGGUCUUGAAAGGCGGCUGGUACGUGUCUUCCAAAUCUUGUGCAUUUACCUGCGAGCAGUGGAUUACAAUCCCGACUUGCAAAGAAAUAUGGUGAUUCCAAGGCUGCCUGUACUUCGACUUUUGAAUUGAGUAUAUAUAUUGCUAAGUAGAGUAUAUGAAGAGAGUUUUUGAUUUUUUUUUUUCAGUUCAGUUUUCCACGAACAUCUUAACAUACGCCCUAGAGCAGAACAUGUCAGUGUUUCUCUAUGCGUGCGUGAGCCAAGAUAAGAUUGGCUGGUGAGCGGUGGCUAUCUAUGGAACUUGUUUAAUCAAGAUUAUACAAGUUCAGAGUAAUGAAGAGACGUGAAUGUGUUCACCUUGGCAUUGAAGGUGUACCUCGAGAAUCCUUCCCAUUUCUCCAUGUCAUACGCUGUAUAGUGCUUGCAGCACGCAGAGAGCCUGAUUCUGCCUUCCUCCCCUUGCUCCCCCUGGAAGCCCUUGACAUACUCGAGGGAGUACGCGGCGGCGACAGCGGGGUCCUCCCCGGACGUCUCCUGGCCACGGCCCCACCUCGGGUCUCGGAAGAUGUUGAUGUUGGGCGCCCAGUACGUGAGGCCGGCCUGGCCGGCGUUGUGCAUGCCGAGCGCCUCCGUCGCAACGGCCUCGGCGACGGCGCGCCACAGCGAGCGGUUGAAGGCGGCGGUGGACAGGAUGACCUGCGGGAACGUGGUGGCGGCGCGGACGGGGCCCGAGGAGAAGUUGACCCCGGGCCCGUUGUCGGCGAGGCCGUGGAGCGACUCGGACCACCACUGGUAGGGCGGGAUGCCCAGGCGCGGGACCCCGCCCGCCGUGUUGGACAGCUGCGCGAUCUUCUCGUCCAGGGUGAGCAGCGAGACGAGCGCGCGCGCGCGGGCCGGGAUGGAGAGCGACGCGUCGCAGAACGGGUAGGCGCUGCUGCCGGAAUAAGGCGACGCGCACGGGCGCGCGGUGGCGGCGGCGCCUGCUGCGCCGCAGGCGAGGAGGCAGAGGAGGAGGGCGAGAGGCAUGGCGAAUUGGCGGGCCGUAGCCGUUAGGUGGGGAGGAUCCGGAUUUCGGUGCCAACGCUACAAUUUUGGGGCGUGCACUCGGGUCGAGUGGCUUGCCGUUUAAGCGAUGACCCACUGAGCUAGUAGUAGCUGCAGUGUUGUCACGGGACGGCGCGGAGACUGGGACGACGCCACGAACGGAGACUCCGGCGUGUGGGGCCGGAUGGUUGCGUCGUGGAGUGGAGGGUUAGCUGCCCGUUGCCCAGUGUAUGACGAGGAUCAGUUGCUUGCUAGCACGGCCCAUGCGUAAUUCAUUUUGGAUAAGCAUGGCCACUUGAAACAGUACAGUCACGAUUUGGCAUAUCGAUCAAGGGGGGUCAGGAAUCGUGUUUGGACCCGCAACAAGAUAUUCUUGAUUUUCUUUCUUGUUUUGUUAAUGCUCGAUGCUCUGUUCACCGUCUUUUGUUAAGGGAUGGGCUGAUGGCAGUUCUUGGUUUUUUUGCUUUUUUGUGAAGGUGCUGUGCGGAUGAGUUGUAGUACUCCUACUCCUAUCACGGUAGGUGUCGGCCAUUUUCUGUCACACUGUAUCUCGUUCUUCUUGGCUCAAGCUCUCGCUCUCUAGUUCAAGGGAAAUCAUGAUGCUGCCAUGCAAUCACACUUUGCGCCAUCAUAUUCACAUGUAUAGUGCAAAUUUAUAUAUUCUCUAAUGAGGCUUGAUAGUUUUGAUGACUUAUGAGCCCAAUAUGCAGACUCGAUGAAGCGAGCAAGCUCUAAAUACAAGAUGUUUUGUGGGCUUUUGUUCUAAUCUUAUAGUUCCCAUGAACUAUCAUGGAUAAACAUGUUGAUGGUACACUUUCAACCUUGCAGUUGUAUUCUUAUGUUUGAGAAAAAUAAAACUCAUAUUAUAUAUGAUAAAAAGUAUGACAUUAGCAUGAACAUUGACCUAUACCUAAACAAGGGUUUACAACGAAAAAACAAUAGCUGACCAGCCGUUGCCACGACUUAUAACUCUGCUAACAACAACUUACUUAACAUGUGCUUCAGCAACAAAACCAAUAACCAUGGCAAAAACCUUAACAAAGAAGGAAGAACCCACUCCACCAAGUCAAGACACGUCCUAAAUUCAACACUUGGCUUAGAAGAUGUGGCGCCAACAUAUCCUUUAGAUGGAAUAGGGUGAAAAGGUCUUUUUUUUUCUUCCAUGAACUAUUGUGGUUUCAUUUUUUCACAUCUAUCUCUAAAAUUAGGCAAACUAACUCUCAGCCUAAAAAGUGUUUUAGUUACCUCUUUCCUCUGAGUUUUUGGGUGCAUUGUUAUUUUUAAUUAAAGUCACGGUAAAUACUUAAUAAUAUUUUUAAAACCACAAAAAUGAUCUUUGAGCUUUUAAAAAUAUUGAGUAAAAAUAAGAGAUAUAGAGCACACUUAAACCUAAAUAAGUUAUUUAGAAAUCAUUAAAAUGUAUAUAUAGAAGCUUCAAAAAAUGGUUUUAGCUAUAUAAAAAUGGGUAGAUAUAAGGGAGAUGAAAAAAAUUAUAAAAAAUUCAAUCCAAGUAUAAAUGUGUUUCUAAAACUUUCCGCACAAAACCUGACAAGAAACCAACUUAGAUGCAACAUACGUUAAUGUCAAAUGCAUUCAUGUUGGUUAUAUCUUGCAUUUUUAUUUUACAAAGUUUUUAAAACACUUUAAGACAUUGAUUAAAAUGUUUGGUUUUUUUAGAUCUAUAGGGGUAUUCUUCCCUAUUUCCUUGAUAUAAAUCUAAUUUCUAGAAACUUCUAGAUAUAUUUUCAUGUUCUCUAACCUUUUUAUUUGGACUUAUCAUGCCCUAAUCCUUCUCUAGGAUUUUCUUGGAAUUUUAAUAAGCCUAGGGAUUUUAGACGAAGCGACAAUGACUCUUGUUGCUGCUUGCUGCAGCAACCAAACUCAUUAAUCAACAUAGAAAGAAGGCGCACACAUGGUCACGCUAUUUUUUUGGAGUUUGAAAACCUUAUUCAAAGUUUACCAACAAAAAAUAUUUAUAAAAUGGUAAAUCCAUCUCGAAAACCACUUCUAACAAUAUAACAAGGUGAUUUAAUUGGUUUUGGGGUUGAGGGAGGAAACUUACCUAGUUUAGUUUUGGAGUUUGAGAAGAAAACCUAGACCGUGACGAUAGUUGAGUGAGUGAAAAAGAGAUGUUUUCUAAAUGCGGAAUAUUUUAUUGAAUAUUUUUUCUAUAACAUCGCGCUAAUUUCUAUAAAAAAAGUUAUAUGUUUUCUUGUAAAUCCUGUAUCUGUAUUUCAAACGGAUCCAGCUGGUGUGGGACAUUUGGAAAUUUUGAAAACGUAGGAUGUCGUCCAGUUCAACUCGCGGAGUCACGGGCUUCGAGCCAAACGUUUGGGCUUGGGCCUAGCCGCAGUCCACGGGAUCGUUCGUUUCUCUGCAUACCAACCAAACAUCCGGGAAAUCGCAGAAACCCAACUAAAAACCCCGUAAAACCACAGGGAAACCUCACACCGUCACACGUCUUCCUCCGUCCAGCUCCAGCCUGUCUCCGGUCCCCCGUCUCUUAAACUCCGCAUCACCCCCUUCCAAUCUCGUCUUCCCCACACGGCCACACCCGUACCCAUCAAAUUCCCUUCCGCUCGAUUCUCCGAGAGGGGGAGGGUAGCUGAAGGACAUCCCGGGGACGCAAUGCGCGUCCUCGCCGUGGUCCUCCUCGCCGCAGCGUGCGCGGCGGCGGCCGGAGGCGGCGGGGAGCUUCCGGAGUUCCGCGAGGCUCCGGCGUUCCGCAACGGCGCGGCCUGCGCGGGCGCGCCGACGAUCCACAUCGCGAUGACGCUGGACGCCACCUACCUGCGGGGCUCCCUCGCGGGCGUCCUCUCCGUGCUCCGCCACGCCGCCUGCCCGGAGUCCAUCGCCUUCCACUUCGUCGCCUCCUCGGCCUCCCCGGCGCGCCGCCUCGACUCGCUCCGCCGCGCGCUGGCGGCCGCCUUCCCCACGCUCCCGGCCACCGUGCACCGCUUCGACGCACGCCUCGUCCGGGGCAAGAUCUCAUCCUCCGUCCGGCGCGCGCUCGACCAGCCCCUCAACUACGCCCGCAUCUACCUCGCGGACCUCCUGCCGCGCUCCGUCUCCCGCGUCCUCUACCUCGACUCCGACCUCCUCGUGGUCGACGACGUCGCCCGUCUCUGGGCCACCGACCUCGGCCCCGACGCCGCCCUCGCCGCCCCCGAGUACUGCCACGCCAACUUCACCUCCUAUUUCACCGACACGUUCUGGCGCCACCCCGAGUACGCCGCCGUAUUCGCCAACCGGACGCGCGUCCCCUGCUACUUCAACACCGGGGUCAUGGUCAUCGACCUGGACAGGUGGCGCUCCGGCGGGUACACUGCGAAGCUGGAGUACUGGAUGGAGGUGCAGAAGCAGGAGGCCAGGAUUUACGAGCUGGGCUCCCUCCCGCCGUUCCUCCUGGUGUUUGCCGGCGAGGUGAAGGCCGUGGAGCACCGGUGGAACCAGCACGGGCUCGGCGGCGACAACGUGGCCGGGCAGUGCCGGGAGCUGCACCCCGGUCCGGUCAGCUUGCUGCACUGGAGCGGGAAGGGGAAGCCGUGGCUGCGGCUGGACGCCGGCCGGCCGUGCCCGCUCGACGCGCUCUGGGCACCCUACGACCUCCUUCGCCACCGCGGCGCCCGGGACGACCUCCUCGCCGCCGUCGCCUGACAAUGCUGGCCCCACAUCGCUGGAGCGCGAUCGAUUUGUUCGCGUCCGAUCGGAUCAUAUGCCACGGCGCUUGGCUGCUCCGCCUCCGCUCGCUUCGCCCCUCCCACGGGUGGGUGUCGGCGUCGGGGCGCCGAGUCAAUGACACGUUAGACCCACCUGGACACUCCGGGUGGGUCCCUGAUCAGUCCAUGCUGUCAGUCGUAACGGCGUUGGUUCGAGUGGCCCUGUCGGUACUGAAAUUCGUCGGGCCCACACGUUGGUGGCGGAUGGGGAUUUUGGGGUGGGGGCCGAGGUGAAAUGCAGACAUGGCUGUGUACAGCUGUUGUUUUGUUUUUUGGCCUGUUGGGACAAUAGUAGAUCUAUAGAUUCUAUUCUUUAUUUUGUUCUUGUUAUAAAUUCUUGAAUCUACUUCCAUAUAAUAGGCAAGCCACAGGUUUAUCACCAUGGAAUAAAACUGGGUAUAUUUGGAAUUAUUAGGGUUAUAUAUUUGUAUAUGAUCGUCAGAGGUUAGGGCUAGCAGGUGGAGUUGUUCUUGGGAAAUGCCGCUUGGUGUAGUUUUUAUUAUUAUUUUUGUACGAAUGCAAGGCUGCUAUUUUUAAUUCGUUGAUCGCAGUGCACAGCUAGCCAGAUUUGAGAUGUCGUUUUGUUCUCAGAAUGAAAAGAAAUGCUGCUCUUCUAACUUUUAUAGCAGCAAAAAAAAACUAAUUGGAGAUGUUGUCUGGUGGCACAAAUCAGGAAUCUGACCUGACUUUACCGCUUUUGUUUAAAGCCUGAUCCACGGAUGAUUUUCAGUGGAGUUUGGUGCCAUGUGAUUCUUCAAAUGGGCGCUUGCCAAGUGCUCGAGGGGAUCUUCUUUGUAAAAAAGAAAAGGCAGCAAAUUCUUUGCUACUCCCGUGCGCGAGCGCGAGAGGGGAGAAAAGGGGUCCAAGUCCUGGUCCGGUUCCUUUCGGCCUUUUCUCCUCGGGCCUUGUUUAGUUCUGAAAAAAAAAUCGGAUUUCGCUACCGUAACACUAUCAUUUUUAUUUGACAAAUAUUGUCUAAUCAUGAAUUAACUAGAAUUAAAAUAUUUGUCUCGUAAUUUACAGAUAAACUAUGUAAUUAGUUUUUGUUUUUGUUUAUAUUUAAUGCUUCAUACAUAUGACACAAGAUUCGAUGCGACAGGCAAUCUUAGGCCUUGUUUAGUUCACCCUGAAAACCAAAAAGUUUUCAAGAUUCCUCGUCACAUCGAAUAUUGUGGCACAUGCAUGAAACAUUAAAUAUAGACGAAAACAAAAACUAAUUACACAGUUUAGCUGUAAAUUACGAGACGAAUCUUUUGAUCAUAGUUAGUCCAUGAUUGGAUAAUAUUUGUCACAAACAAACGAAAGUGCUACCGUACCAAAAUCUUUUCACUUUUCGGAACUAAACAAGGCCUUAAAAAUUUUUUAGAUUUCGAAGCGACUGUGGUAGCGUGCGAGCGUGAUGCUGUCGACGGGAAUGGUGCUUCGUGCAGGAUUACUGCAGGCUGCAGCGGUGACAGCUGACAGACCAUCCAAAGGUGCUUAGAUGGUGAUGAUAUGACGUCCUUCAAAACUGAUCGCCCCCCGCCCAACUUCCGCGGCCGCUACUCCCUGCGGACUGCGGUGCUGCUACUGUAGUGCUGUAAGGCCUAAAAUUUUGCAAAAUUUUUCAAAUUCUCGGUCACAUCGAAUCUUUAUCUGUAUGCAUAGAGUAUUAAAUAUAGACGAAAAUAAAAACUAAUUGCACAGUUUGGUCGGAAUUGACGAGGCGAAUCUUUUAAGCCUAAUUAGUCCAUAAUUAGACAAUAUUUGUCAAAUAAAAACGAAAAUACUACUAUUUAUAUUUUGAAAAAAAUUUGAAAGUAAGCAGAGGGCGGAUCGGUCACCGAACUGACAAAAGUGCCACCGACAGUCUUGCAUUUUACCAGGGAUGGGACAAGCGCCAACAUGUUGCCAAUUGCCAUGCAGAUGCACUGUUCCACUAUUCCAGUGGACCAGCAGCUAGCAGGCCACCGCUUGACUAUAGGCCUUGUUAGUUCACCCCAAUUGUUUAGUUGGCAAAAUCCAGUCUAAAUUUUUGCGAACUAAACAAGGCUAAAAAAAACUUUUUAAGAUUUUUUGUCACAUCGAAUCUUACAGCACAUUCAUGGAGCACUAAAUAUAGACGAAAAUAAAAAUUAAUUGCACAGUUUACCUGUAAAUCGCGAGAUGAAUCUUUUAAGCCUAUUUACUCCAUGAUUAGGCAGUGUUUUUCAAAUAAAAACGACGGUGCUACACUUCCAAAAACCAAAAUGUUAUCGAAACUAAACAAGGCCUAUGUUUAUAAAAAUUAAUAUCAACUUUAUAUCUCUAAAUAAAUUUAUCAUAAACAUUAUAAAGAUUGUUUGACUCAAUGAAAACUGCAUUACUACUUUUUUAUGUAUCAUAAAUAUUACUACCUAGGGAGUGCUACUCUCUAUCCCAAAUAUGGCAAUAUAUAAUUCCAACUACAUUGCAGUCCAUCUUUAGCGUGAUUUUUUUAUUUGAAAAUUAAUAAUAUAUGUGAUACCAAAUAAGUACCAUGAAAUAUUUUCAAAGUAUAAAUAAUUAAAAUAAUAACUGCUGACUUUAUUUUUAAUAAUUCAGUCCGAGUUAAUGUAAUUUGAUUUUGACUAGAUUUAUUAAAGCAAUCUGUUUUGAACGGAGGAAGUACCUCCUCUGUCUUGAAAACAAUGUAAUUGAAGUUACAUCCUUAUCAAGAUAUUUAACUUUUUUUUUGAAAAAAAUAUCAAUACUUAUUACAUAAAAGAACUAUACUAUGAAAAUAUAUUCCAAGACAAAUAUAGUGAUUCUUAUUCGGUAUCAUAAGUAUUGAUACCCUUUUUUAAUAAAUUUAGUCGAUAGUUUGAUUUGAUACUAUGCUAAAAUUAUAUUAUUUUCAGGACGAAAUGAAUAGAAUUUAUAAAUGAAUUUGGUAUUAGCACUAAAGUCCUAUACUGUAUGUAGUGUAUUUUUCCCAUGGCCUUUGAACAAAUGAUUGAAUUCUGAAAUCCAACAAAUUUCUUAUGAAAUGGCUUAAUCCAUAUGUGAUCUUCUGUAGGAAGUCUAACAUGAGAGGUCCAAUCUUAUCAAAACCAUCUUAGUUUACUUUGCUUCUCUCUUUCUGAUUUAUGUGUUUUUGUUCUCAAUUUAUGAAAGUCUAAUAAGUGCAAUUUCUAUGUUUUCGUUCUCAAUUUACAGUUCUAUAUUUUGUUUAUUCAUUUGUUUUAAAAUUCUUACAUUUCAAAGAUGUCCUAAAUCGCAGCAUGGUGCACGCUAGUGUGGCACAAGAUCCCUUUCGAGAGAGUGACACCCAUGCGAGCAAACUUCAUCUUCGCUGAGUCGCCGUUGCAUAUUUACUGGAAAUUAGGAAAUAGCUCAAUUUACCUUGUCAGUUUAGAUUUAAAAAGUUUUAGAUUUUGACACUGUAGCACUUUCGUUUUUAUUUGACAAACAUCAUCCAAUUAUGGAGUAACUAGGCUUAAAAGUUUCGUCUCAAGAUAUACAGACAAACUGUAUAAUUAAUUUUUGUUUUUAUCUAUAUUUAAUAUUCUAUACCUGUAUCACAAGAUUUAAUGUGACGAAAAAUCUUAAAAAGUUUUUAGUUUUUAGGCUAGUCGAAAAGGGCUAAGGGCCUGUCUAGAUCCCAAAUCUUUACAUCUCAAAACUUUUGGCUGCAAACUUUACAUUCAAAUAGGUGUUUAGAUGCUUCCUAAAUUUUUUGGUCUGCAAGACAUAUGACACGGGUCCCUAAGCAAGUUUACACAGUUUUGGGGCUCCAAGGUCCCAAAUUCUAAAUCUUUACCGCCAAGUUUUAUAAAUCCAUGUUUAGAUCCAUUCUUCUAAAAGUGCUCAUUUUUCCAAAAUUUUUGGCUGUUUGGCUGCAACAUGCCCUAAAUCUACACGUCUGGUCCAGGACACCAUCAGCACAGUGCGAACUUAGCCUAGGCCGUCGCCCGGCCUAGUAAUGCAAACAUCAGCCAGCUUGUCCAUACGACCAUAUCACGUCUCUUCCCCAGGAGGCCAGGACGCCACGGACCACGGUGCUUCGACGGAGCAGCAAGCCAGUAGAGCAUGAACCGUUUGUGUGCGUCGGUGACAGUCAAACCCUCCUUUGCCACGAGCUACCGAACCGGCUUUCAAGCAAGGCGCGAAACAGGCGCGACAAGCCAUCAUCCUCUGAUUACCCGUCGGUGCGGCUGGGCCGUUGACUUGCAUUGCACACGCAACGCCGCCGCCUCCAUGUGGGGAAGCAAACGCGAGCGCCUUCUAUAGUUUAUAUAAAUACCCCUGUCGAGUUGGAUCGGAUUAUCCAUCUCUCGCAAUCUAGGCGUUUUCUCUCCUCCUGUCUUCGCUGCAAGUUCGUGGUCGAUCCAGCAACCAGACAGGGCCGACCGCGGAGGCCGGAGGAGGGUGAUGGCGCAGCAGGGGACGCUGGAGGUGCUGCUCGUCGGAGCCAAGGGCCUCGAGAACACCGAUUACCUGAGUACGUACGCUUCGGCACGUCUUCUCUCUCUCUCCCCCCCCCCCCCCCCCCCCCCCCCCCCUGUUUUAUGGUCGACUUCGACUAAAACUCGGCUGCAAAAUAAGUGACCUUGCCUGAACAUUUGUAGCUCCACUGCUCUCGAAGAAGGGGUGUGAGUUCUUGCUAACGAUUUUUUUUUUUUUUGGUGUGGCUGGUCGCAGGUAACAUGGAUCCCUACGCGCUUCUGCAAUGUCGCUCCCAUGAGCAGAAGAGCAGCGUUGCAUCUGGUAUAUAUACGUAUCUGUUCAGCUUCAUAUUAGAUACUUUAAUCCGUUGAAAUUAUUGCUUUUGUAAGUUACGUUUUACUAGUAAUCGAGAGUCUGCUGUCUGCAAAAGCCAAAAUUAGAGUUAAGACUUAAGAUAGCAGGUAGUUCUAGCUCAGAAACAUAGAACUCUAGUGCUGUUAAAGCUAAAAAACUAUAUGCUCAAGUUACCGUGUCAUCUCAUGUGACUCUAGGCACAUACACUGUGCAAGUAAUAAGGCAGCACACUUGAAGAGUUGAAGACGUUUUAGAAAAUUACUCGCCGUUCUGUACCUCUAUGGAUCCUUUAGCCAUUUGAAGCAAACGGCAGGAGCGCUGCCUCUCAAUUAAGGAAGGAAAGAAAGAAGUUUAUUUACAGUUCGCAACCUGCUUAGACGGGCUCAGAAAUAUUAACACGGGCUGAAAAACACGCUAAACACACAACCAAUGAACAAAUCCCCGGCUUGCUAGCCUCCCCUUUCUGAAGCCCGGAUCCUUCAGCCUUUGGCCUCCCUACCAAUUUGUAACUUUUGAUUGGCCCUGCUGCAAAUGGCCGGAGAGCAAUUUGUAACUUGAUCUGUUUGUGCACUGGGCACUGCAGGCAAAGGAUGUGAGCCAGAAUGGAACGAGACCUUUGUGUUCACCGUCUCCGAUGGCGCAACAGAGCUAUUCAUCAAGCUCCUCGACAGUGACGGUGGCACUGAUGACGAUUUUGUUGGUGAAGCAACGUAAGUAAUCACAUUCUGUAAGUUGUAGCUCGACCAAUCCGGCCUGCAACUACUGACAGCGACGGUAGUUUGGCGCCUCCCUCUCGCGGUUUGCAGUUUUGGAGAUGUUUUGGGAUUCAGGCCUUGUUUAGUUCCCAAAAAAUUUCAAGAUUUCCCGUCACAUCGAAUCUUGCGGCACAUGCAUGGAGUAUUAAAUUUAAACGAAAACAAAAACUAAUUACACAGUUUGUCUGUAAAUCGUGAGAUGAAUCUUUUAACACUAAUUAGUUUAUGAUUGAAUAAUAUUUGCCACAAACAAACGAAAGUGCUACAGUACCCAAAAUACAAAAAUUUUGCCAACUAAACAAGGCCUCAGUUUUAGCGUUCGCAAUGCUUAUUUCAAUCGAGUGCGCUGCUCUGUUUUUGCAGGAUUCCCCUGGAAGCAGUUUAUACAGAAGGAAGCAUCCCUCCAACUGUUUACAAUGUUGUGAAAGACGAAGAAUACCGCGGAGAAAUCAAAGUUGGUCUCACAUUCACUCCAGAGGUAACUAUCUCACAUAGCCCACUCACAUCCAUGUUAAAAGCUGACACUCAGAAGUCUCUAUCUAUAAUCUAUUAUAAAAAUGCUUUUGUGAUUUAAUAUGUAAAAGUUUGUUUUCAUCAAACCAGAGGCAAGUUUAUCAGAUUGCUUUUUCCUAAAAAUUUAUGUGAUAGCUGCCGCCGGGUGUGGAUGUUUCUUUUGCCUGCUUUUGCUUUUCCUUCUGUCCGUGGCAACAAUAUAUAUGCACUUUGCGAUAGUGCGUCCCUUAUCUAUCUUUUCUGUUGUUUUUUUCCAUUUCCCUGAAGAUUAGGAGCUGGGUUUUGUUCUGAAUUUAUCUACAGCCUGCUGAAACUGAAAUGUCCCUUCUAUGAGCAGGAUUCUCGUGAUCAGGGUUUCUGAGGAUAAGUUGGCGUGGCUGGAAGCACGCAGUCGUCUUAUAAGAAGCAGACCGAUUCUUCCUACUGAUGUAUUAUUACUGCAGUUCAUCAGUCGUCUUAUAAGAACCCUGCAACUUAUAUUACUCUAAAAACCAGUUCGACAGUUCCUGUAUUUGAUCCCUUGUCCUGUACUGAAACCUGUAAUAAUGGUGCUGGCCACUUGCGUGAGCUACGGCUGACCCCCACUCUUGAUGUUCAGUUAACUUGUCGCGAUUACAAGAGGCCGUGUGACUGCUGCAAAGAUAUCACCUGUCUCCUCUUCCUUUCCCCUGGCCCUGAGCCCUGAAGGGUCUCCAUUCCGUGUUCAACGGGGACAGGAAUGCAGGAUCACUGAAAUCAUCUUGCUCUACGAGACUGGACAUCUCGUGCAUGGAGGUAGCAUGGUAAUCAGCACCGUGCAGCAUGCCUUCCUCUGACAUCCAUGUCUCGGAUGAUGAGACUAGACCAUGGCUUAGCGUUCACUCAACCGCAUUCGCAUGCAGAGAUGGUAGAGCGGCCCCGGACGCCGGCCGGCCCCCGGGGUCUUCUUUGACCUUCCUUCCGGGCUCCGGCUAACUGCAUGCACUUCAUGGCCGUAUCUCUCUGCCUCCCUCUGCCAAUAGAUCACUAGCGAAUUUUUUAUGUCCUAGACGACGAUCCUUGCCAUGUGAUCGAUCUGGCAUCUGGGUGAUAAGAUAUGUAGGAUGCCGGCAUGCCGCUGAGGAUGGCGUUGGCGUGCAUGCUCGCAAGCGAACAAAAAGGCUAGUAACUCGAAAUCAUAGUUUCAGCGAGGCGCGACAAAGCACCAGCUUGUCCGGGCUCCCAUGUCCGCUAGCUCACUACGACGUCGCCGCGGCGGCGAGCGGAAAUGACGCUAAACACCCUGCACUGCACACUGCUGCCCGGAACUCCGGGAGAAGAAGAAAACAGGCCCAGCCGGCAGCCCGGCCAGCUGCUCCGCUCCCAGCUCUCGCAGCAAAGAACCAAACACAGCAACUCGCAAUCAUUGCUUCCUCCCUAAUGGCCUAAUCCCUAUCUAAUGAAUCGAAAUAUUUGCUCGAUCGGAUCGGAAGAACAUGGCAAAAGAAGCAUGCAUGUAUGUUAAUGUACACUCUUGCUCUUGCUCUGUGUUGGAGUGGAUCCAGAGCCCUACCCUAUAUUGCUGCGGCGCUAGCUAAUUACAGUUACAGGCGCACAUCUAUCACUACUGUGUGUGGUUGAGCCAGGGAGAAAACAUAUGGAAGCUAGCCGAACGAAUCGAAGAACCUGCCUGCACGCGCUUGCUUCCUCCUAGUUGUGCAGCGGGUUGGAGCCCUGCGGCACCAGCCUCUUGGACUCGCCGAGCACCGCCUCAGCGUCCCGGGCUGCCGACGUGGGGGAGGGGGACGUAGCCCUCGCGCCUGCCAUCGUCGUCGUCGCCGCCGCCGCCGCCGCCGACAAAGCCACUCGCCCGUGCCUCCACGCCGCCACGUCCGCUCUGGGAAUCCUGUGGCCGCAGCAGCCGAAGGAGGCGAGCUCGGUCGCCAGCAGCAGAAGCAUUGCCAGCAGCAUGGCUGGUAGCCGUGCGCUCAUGCCGUGUCUCUCCAUGUUCGAUCGGGUUUCGGGGCCGUCGGGCCGGGCGCCGGGGAUGUGGCGCGGAGCGAGCGAGGCUGCUGGGAGGGGGGAGGACGAGGACGCCAAGCGCUCUGGUCUGGUAGUUGUGCGCUGCGUGUCGUAGGCGAGUGGUGCCGGUGCCGGCCGGCGCGCGCUGCUAAUAAAGAAAAGAUGGGGCCGGUCACCGUUAGUCUGACUCUGGAGUCAGUGUGAAAGAAAGGUUGUUCUUGUCCGAUGGAGAGGUGGUCACUUGACUCGCUGAAACAACAGCCGACCUAACCCAUGUUCGUGUCGCGCAAAUCUCAUUUCAUGUGGCUGAUGCCUGAUCGCGAGACAAGCUUGCCGACGUGCCGGGCCGCGGUAGUCGUCGUUGCGUCUAAUUUUGCCUAAAACUGUGCGUGUCAUGUCCCUGUAUCUGUCUGAGUGGUCAGUGGAUGAGUGGAAUGUACAGUUAUAGACGAUUGAUUUUCGAGAGAUGACUAUGUACACAGUAACCCGCUUCCUUCUACUUAAGCCUCUAUAGCUAAAUAUAGGAGGCUCUGAUAAAAAACACACUCUGGUAGAAUCCCAACUCAAGCCUCUCAAUUUAGGUUGGACACCCAAAUCUACCUCCAUUCCCGUAGAAUAAUAGGGCUCAUCCUUGGGCCUCUUCUGCUUGUUUUCUCCCCACGCCGUGCUCACAUUGCACCCCCUCCCUUCCCCACGAGCGCCCCCUCUCCCUCCACCGCGAGUAGCCCCUCUAGCGAGCUCAAGAGCGGUACCCUGCCAUGGUCGUUGUGGGAGCGACCCCCGCUGGCCACGCCUUCCUCCAUCGCGACGGAGCAACACAUUCGCGCCUCUCUCCGCCACGCCGUAGCAGCACGACCGCACCUCUGUCACGGCGCGCUUCCCUAGCCGCUGCCAUGUCUGUCGGCCUCCCUAGCCAUGGACGCCCACCUCCCUGCCAUGGUCGUCGCAGCCCCUGCUCGCGGCACCUCCCUUCGCCCUCUACCGUGCCAGAGUAGCACAGCUGUGCCUCCCUCUAUCGCGUGGGUGAGCUUCCCAGCCGCUCGGGCGCACUGCCCAGCCGUGAAGCUGCCUCCAUUUGAUGCACAGACAAAAUCUGUGUGCAUAGGAUGGGGAAGUAAGGUGUGACCCAAUGACAUGUGGGUCUGUUGUGUCAUUGUGUGUUGAUAUGCAAUUGAGGGGGGAGGGGGGGGGGGGCUUAGGCCUUAUUUAGUUCACCCCAAAAUCCAAAAACUUUUCAAGAUUCCUCGUCAUAUCGAAUCUUACGGCACAUGCAUGAAGCACUAAAUAUAGACGAAAAUAAAAACUAAUUGCACAGUUUACCUGUAAAUCGCGAGAUGAAUUUUUUAAGCCUAGUUACUUCAUGAUUGGACAAUGUUUGUCAAAUAAAAACGAAAGUGCUACAGUUUCGAAAACCAAAAAGUUUUCGGAACUAAACAAGGCCUUAGUUUAGGUGUUACUGCUGGAGUAAAAUAAAUUUGUUGGAUCAACAAAAAUAGGGAUGAGCACCCAAAUCCAAAGUAGGAGCCCUGAUUUGGGUGCUCUGCUGAAGUUGCUCUUGGGCUCAUAAUAUUUACAUUGUCUAAACAACACUAUUCUGAUGGAGUUGUGAUGACGAUGGAUGAUUUUUUUCUUAAAUACGCAAAAGAUUUACAUAUUAUUAUAAUCUAUAUCUCUUAUAAAGACAAACUUCACUAGCUAUUUCUAGUGCCAUGCAAAGUGUCCACAUCAGCAUCCACUAGGGCAUUUAACUAUCUCAUCAUGCAAAGUGUCAACAUCAUCAUCCAUUAACAUAUUCAACUAACAUGUCAUUAUGUCUUCGAUAAAGCUAUUCACAUCAGCAAAUCAUAUUAUUUAUUAACAUAUAUUGUUGUAUUACCAACACUAUUAUAUUCCUUUUAUACCGCGGCAACACGCAAAGAAUCCUCCUACUUAAGGUAGAAAUGUUUGACCAUAUAAACAACACACUUGUAGCAAGUGCCCUAGAAAAUCUAAAAAAUUAUAAUUAUGAGCUGGACCAUCCUAGCAUAUAUAGAUUUAAAUUUCGAUAUUACACAAAUGACAACCGAGAAAAAAAGCAGAAAGGAGUGAGCUUGCGCCUCCACUACUACCAGCACGACUCAUUUUUGACAUCUUGGAAGAGCGCUCACAACGCUUUGAUGUUGGAAGCGUUCGGCCCAGCUUCGUAGAGCGCCUUAGGGCUUGUACAAUGCAUAGGCUCUUAUAGAAAGAGAGAAAAAUACUAAACCAUUAUAAGUGUCUCUAAAAAAAAUUAACCCACAAUGGUGUGAAACGCUUGCAUGUGCUCAACUGCCAGUCGUUGCGUGCAUCCUUCUCCGCGAGAUUGUGAAGAACCUGUCCCGGCGCCGCUGCUUCGCGAAGCGCCGCGUGCGUCCGUAAGCGCCGGGCUUGCUGCAUGCUCGCAUGCAAGACUCCACGCUGGCAAAGAAAUUUGUUGUACCGGUCAAUAAGCGCCUGGCGUUGUACAGGCCCUUAGAGGCCUUUACUAAGGCCUUGUUUACUUCUACCCAAAAUUCAAAACUUUUCAAGAUUUCUGUCACAUCGAAUCUUUAAACACAUGCAUGGAGUAUUAAAUAUAAACGAAUAAACGAAAAUAAAAACUAAUUGUACAGUUUGGUCGAAAUUUAUGAGACGAAUCUUUUAAGUCUAGUUAGUCUAUGAUUGGACAAUAAUUACCAUAAACAAACGAAAGUGCUACGGUGUCACGAAAAAAAUUCGAGAAGUAACUAAACAAGGCCUAAUGCGCUUGGCGUUGACAGACCGGAACCCAAUUGUUACACUUCGCUUGAAAGUAGAUACCUGGUGCUUGUAUUUUAUACAGAAAAGCUUCAACGUGACACUUCUGCAUUCCACUAUUGUUUGCUUUUAUCCCAUUUCCAUCGGUCUUACAUCAACUUUAUACCUGCCCUGUCAUCAACACUGCUUCAAUAGUAUUUUUCAGCAAAAAGAAUAUUAUUUUUCUCUUACAACAUUUUUAGAAUUAGUAUAACCAUCAGUAUAAACUAAAUUUCAGUGAAACGAACAGAUUUAAAUAUGCAAAUUAUCGCAUAAUGAAUGACAAGUACGGAGUAUACCUUGUUUACUUCCCAAAAAUUUUGCAAAAUAGGAAUAGUAGCACUUUCGUUUGUAUUUGACAAAUAUUGUCCAAUUAUGGACUAACUAGGCUCAAAAGAUUUGUCUCGUCAAUUCCGACCAAACUGUGCAAUUAGUUUUUAUUUUUAUCUAUAUUUAAUACUCCAUACAUACGUCUAAAGAUUCGAUGUGAUGAAGAAUUUAAAAAAUUUUGCAAAAUUUUUAGGGAACUAAACAAGGCAGCAGAGCUUGCACCCAAGUCAAUUCACAGUGGUUUCUGCGGCAGCGGGCCAGACCGACUUGUCUCCAAAGCCCCCAAAAGGCAGGCCGCAGGCGGCUUUCAUGACAUGACAUGCCCACCAGGUUUGCCGGGUUUGGGCCUCUCGGUCCAGAUGAGGCCAGCCAGUAGCCACGCAUUUCCGAUGCCCGACCCAACCAAAGCACAUGGACAGACGCGAGCGAUUGCGAGGGGACCGGAGAAGACACGGCACUGCCGUCUGCUGUGCUCCCGGCUCCCCCGCCCCGCACCACAAGCGCGUGCGCGCCGUCAAGUCUCCUCUACAGCAACUUCCACCGCGUACUCCCUCCCUCGUCCCGUCUCCAAGUUUCGCGGGGGGCGAAGGUUGCUAGCCAGAGCAGUCGCGGUCUGCGCUGCGGCACCGGCACGGCGACGAGGUGGGGAUGGAGUACCGCGACAAGCUGGUGCUCGCGCCCAUGGUCCGCGUGGUAACUCCUCUCGAUCCGAGCCCCUCCCACGAAUCCGUUGGCUGGAAUUUUGUUAGCCGAUUCCCUUCCGGGGCGUAGGACUUUGGAUUUGAGCUAGUUCGAAGCGUCUGGAUCCCUGGAUUUUGGGCAUCUGCUUUCUUAUAUGAACCUAGCUUCAUGCCUCUCGAUCUAGAUUCUAGAACUGGAAAGCUUUACGCGUUCCGUUUUAUGUCAGAACUCAGAAGUGGAACAAGUAUGAGACUAGGUUGUGACUUAAUAUGGGUGCUGUCCGAUAGAUGACCGUAGCAAGCAUGCGACUAGAUUGUGACUUAACCUUUCGCUUUUCCUGCUUCCAGUGAAGGAAUGCAAUUAUGAAUCAUUGGUGGAAACAAGUACUAAGUUGAUCAAAUAAACUCUAGAGUCUAGACCUUAGGGGUUUAGUUAUUUUUGACUUUAGGUUCUUCUGUAUUCUGUUGAAUUUUAUGAAUAGACAAUAUCAUUUAGUAAAUGAACACGCACCGUUUCCCUUAAAUUUUAGUUACUGAUCACAAGUUCAAAAGGUUUUGAUUAACAGCUCAAGAGCAUCAUCACCCCCCUUUAGCUUGUGUCAUGUUGUUCAUCUCAUGGCUAUGAAUUUUUCGAUUGUUCUAGUUCUAGUCCAUGCUUCUGAAUUUUUCCUUUGCAAACUUACUAUCAAAUGUAGCAUCUGCCUUAUUUCGUUAAUUAUUUUUGCAGGGCACCUUGCCAUUUAGGCUACUGGCUGCUGAAUAUGGUGCUGAUAUUACUUAUGGAGAAGAGAUUAUUGAUCACAAAUUGUUGAAGUGUGAGCGUGUUACAAAUGGUAUUAUAGUUCAAUUGAUAUUUGGCAUCUGAUGUGGUCUAUUGGUCCGACAACUAUCUCCGCUGCAUUAGUGUUUUAGUCUACUUAUCACCUGCUUUUAAGAUCUAAUAUGUUGAGUACCAUAGGACUGCAAACAACUUUACCCCAAUAAUGUUGCAUCUGAAGUCGAUAAUUGGGUAUAUUCAUCUUAAAGGACUAUUGGAUGAUAAAAUUCUUGUAGUUGGGGAUUGGGGAACGAUUGGACGAAUGCUAGAAUAACUUUAUGAGUGCUUCAUGAAGUGAAGAGAAAGCUAUUUGAAAUGUGAAGCUUGGGUGGCUUCAUAGCACUUCCAGUAUUUGUCUUAUUUAUUCCGUAUGUUGUUAAGAGUUAUUGCAUUGCUCUGGGCUGUAUGAUUCGGCACAUCCUAAUCAUGUGGCACAUUGUUUACCAGAAUCUCUUGGGACUACUGAUUUUGUGGAGAAAGGGACUGACAGUGUAGUUUUCCGUACAUGCCCAGAAGAAAGGGGUAGGGUUGUAUUCCAAAUGGGCACAUCAAAUGCUGUGAGGGCACUUAAAGCUGCUCAGCUUGUGUAAGCUCUAUUUCUGAGACCUUUUAGUAUCCAAAUCCUGAAGUUUCUAACAUAAAUUCUGUGUUUGUACCAAUCGAUAGCAUUGGGCUACAUACUUUUGCUUUACAUAUUUCUUUAACCAUAGUAUUUUGUCCUCACAGGUGUCAGGAUGUUACUGCUAUAGAUAUCAACAUGGGCUGUCCAAAGUCUUUUUCGCUUAGUGGAGGGAUGGGUGCUGCAUUACUCUCCAAGCCUGAGCUUAUACAUGAUGUACAUUUCUUAAUUGAUUCCUUUUGCCUUCUCUAUACCCCCAUAUACCCACUGCUCUUACUCAGGCUAUGCAUAGUAUACAAUAUAGAUUUUGACAACAUUGCGGAGGAACUUGGACACAACAGUGACAUGUAAAAUCCGUCUUCUGAACACACCUAAAGACACUGUGGAGUUGGCGCGCCGGAUUGAGAAAACUGGUGUUCCAGCUCUUGCUGUCCAUGGAAGGUAAUGACACAUAGAAUUUGUAUUUUGAGUUAUGGUGAUCUGGUAGAUAAUCGAAACAAUUCUUACUCUAGCUUUGGAAGCAUGCAAUUACUAUCUGCAUUUUUCAGUGAUGUCAAUAUCUCCACCGCUUUUCUUGAGUAUGCCCUUUUCUAAUUGGUUUUGCUUAUGUUGCUCCUCUUUGAAACCGCAGAAAGAUUAAAGAUAGACCAAGAGAUCCUGCCAAGUGGGAUGAGAUAGCCGAUGUUGUGUCAGCGCUGUCAAUUCCUGUUAUAGCUAAUGGAGAUGUCUUUGAGUAUGAGGAUUUUAAGAGAAUUAAAGAUGCUACAGGUUUUUGUUUCUAACUUUCUAUUUGCCCUGUCAUCUGUUAGUUUGCUCUGUUUAAUUUGGGUCUUCACCUCUGUCAGUUAGCAAUCUUGAAACUGCUUUUUUUUAAUAUGCAUCUAUUCAGACUGCCACAAAACUUUAAUCGUUUCCUGAACGCUGUAUGCCAUUAAACAGCUGAAGUAGCUAUCACUUCAUUUUUCAUGAUGAAUGCAUAUAAAAUGGUUUCUGAAUAAGUGACUCUGAGAUACUUUCAUCCUUGCUACAUGUUGUCAAAUGUGUAUUGGUAGAUGGACCUUCGUUUCUUGUUAUUUUCAAUUGUACUUGAUAUUGUUCCUAUAACUGUUAGGUGCUGCUUCUAUUAUGGUUGCUAGAGGUGCCAUGUGGAAUGCCUCUAUCUUUUGUGCCAAAGGAAAAACACCUUGGGAGGAUGUCAAGAGAGAGUAUGUACGAAAGGUAUUUAAUUUUACUGUUGUGUUUGUGAGAGGAUAUCCUGUUCAUUCUGCAUGGGUACAAAAACAUACUGAAACUUCUAUGAGUGUCUAUCAAAAGUUCGGAGUUAUGUGCACUUUUUCCCUCUUUUUCAGCCUUACAUUUGGCACUGACAUCAUAUUGCGUUAUAACUAUGUGGCAGAGCAUAUUGUGGGACAACGAUGUGAAGAGCACGAAACAUACCUUGAAAGAAAUGAUAAUGCACUAUUCUUGCCUUGAACUUCCUGAGGGGAAAGGUGUUAUUAAGUGUGAUACAUCAGAAGAUUUAGCGUAAGUUCAGACAACUGUAUGUUUUUGCAUUAUAUGUCCAUCGAUGCUACUUGGAGGUUUGCAACAUGUUACUAGUUUACUCAUGAACAAUGUUAUCCACUGAUUGUUGUGUCCAUCUGUGUUACUAAAAUUUGUGCUAUGGUAAAAAUACGAUAUCACCUUACUUUCACGGUAGGUCCAGGAUGCUAACUAUCCAUCCAUGUCAUGUUUCUGAUACUCCAACCGCCUCCCCCCAAUCCACCCACACUCUUUGAAAAUAGUGGAUUCAUAUCACCUUGGUCUGUUGAUUUUCGAAAUCCACAUUGAAAAGCCUGCCGUUGCUAUCCACAUGUCCUUAUGAAAAUUCAGCAGAUCUUAUUUUCUUAACUGUACAUCACUUAUUCUGCAACAUGUACUGUCCACAUAUCCUUCCUUGUUAGUUCAUCGUAAUGACCAAUUUCUUCUAAUCUUGCAGGAGACUAUAUGGGGAGGAGGACUACUAUAAUUUUGUUGUUUCAAAUAGGAAAUGAAUACAGUUUGGUGCUGUGAGCUUUCAUGUGUAUCAGGUAUCUAUUUUGAAAUACAGUGGGUCUAGAGCUAGUGAAAAAGGAAAUAGUAUUCUGUGAAAUUGAUGAAAGUUAUAGUGUUUCAUGUCGUGCACAUGUGGUACUUGUUCCUGCAAAUAACAAUUAUUUGCAAAAUAAGUAUGUUUGUUGACAAGGAUUUCAAAACUAAAACUGGUUCCAGGUCCUUGGCCAGCUAGCCACUCCUAGUAGUUCUGUAAAUUAGCGAUUAGGGUUUGUAAAUGUAUGAUACUGAUUAAGAUGUAAAGAACUGGCUAAACUAAAUGGUAUUUUCCCCGACCCAGCAAAAUUGGUGAAACCUGCCUGAAACUUGAAGAACGAUGUUGUUCACUUGCAUGAUUAAAUUGCAAAUCAGAGGCACCCACAAUGUAAAUUCAAAAGGUUUUUUCAUAAUAAAAGGUUGCAAUAAUUAGUGAUCAAUGGGUAAUGUAGCAGCACUCUCAACUUCAUGAUUUGCUGAACCUGUAUGUCUGCCUAACAAUCUUAGUCUGAUAGUUUCUCUCCCUCUCUAAAAAUGUACUACUAAGAACCUGUAUAUCUGCUGAAUCAAUCUGCGUAUCUCAGAAAAAUAAUAUUACCAAGAGAAACAUAUUGUAAUGUAAUUGCUGAGCUCAAUGUGACAAGUCCAAAUAUUCCCAUCAUUACUUGUCACGAGUUGUCUUGCAGUCUUGAAAAUGCAUAGCAAUUUUCAGUUCUUUGGGCCUGUUAAACUAUUAAUGGUCUUUUAAUUUUUUAUUUGCCAGCUUUCUAAGCUAACAGAUUUUUUUAUUAUUUUAUUUUUGUUUUUGCAGCUUCUGCUUGGAUUCCUAUCUCACUUUUUAUUACUGGGAUUAGGAGGAAUCUGCCCUGUCACCAAGGAAAACGAUUCGCCAUUUUUGCGCUGUCUGGACGUAGGACCACUAGUCCAGUAAGGGUUUUCAAAUUGGGGGAAAAAAAAGACACUGGAGCUGCUGAUCUUUCCCUUCUACUGGUAAUAGAUAGGUGCAUACGGCUGGAAUUAAUCAAACACCAGAUUUUUUAAAAAAACUGAUACUAAUCUAGACCAUGGAAAUUUUGUCAUGUAUUGUUGGUGGAGAUACUAUGGUGCUUUUGGGGGAAUUCAAAUAGACUUCGACAUGUUGACUGUACUGUUAUGGCCCUGUGGUCUAACAGAGUUUUCAUGAUAUGUCUUUGACUGGUAUUUAGCCUGGCACUUAAUAUUUGCAACUCACCUCAUGCAGUAUGGUAAUGUCUUUAUGUUUUUUUUCUCGACGCAUUGCUACGUAUUAUUGUAUUAAGAACAGUCUACACAAUGCCGCUAGGGGCAAGGAGGAAGAAAAACACAUAACUAGGUUAACACGCUCCACAGAAAGUAAGUGAAAAAAACGACCAAGACCAAGAAAGCCUAUACCGAACCGAUAUCUAUUUCUGCUUUACAGGGUUUAGGGUUCGGUUCCUAGAUCAACCUUACAAUGAAUUGUUUUUUUUUCCUGUUUAUGUAGGCUUAACUAACUUUUCGAGGGAAAGUGCUUUGGCACCUCCACUGCCCCCAAACAAUUGUGCUCUGACACUUGUUGCGGCAUGGUUGCUCUUAAUGUAAAAUUAAUUCAAUGCAGUUGAUCUCACAGCACAUCUUUUUUUUUAUCUUUGGUGGAGCUCCAAUCUACUUCACACAUGCUCUGUAUCUGGAUGGGCAAAGGCGCAAAGCCUGCAUCAGCCAUGACAUCAUAAGACCUGCAUCAGCCAUGACCUCAAAGCCUGAAUCACCUCAUACUAAUAUGCAUGCAUGGUAUUCCCCUUCCACAAAUCAGUAAUAUCUCAUUCAUACUCCAUAUAUUCUGCAGGUAGAGCAAUUAUUGGUGUUUUAUAUAAUAAAAGACGCCAUCUUUGAGUUACCCAAGAUGCAGAAAUGUCGUGCAAAUCGAAGGCACCGAAGAACAGUCGAGACCUAACUUUGUUGACAAGCCAAACCUAGCCUUCAAUUCUCUUGGAUCGAAAUGGUUACUAUGCCACAAAAUGCGGGCCAAAUAACUUUUUGAUACCAUUGGAACGUGUACUAGUGAGUUCUUAAGUUCGUCUUCAACUUGAAGGCUUAGCAGUUAUUAUAAAUGGAUGAACCCUGCACGCUCGGACGCUCCCUUGAGACCUCAAUGCAAGUUCAGGCAGUCACUCAGUCAUGUGCAGUGGCUUGGGAUUUGGGAUAUCAAACCUCAAUCUCCAGGUGUGAUUAGUAAUUUAUUAUAAUCUGAACACCAAGCUAUCCCGAGCAUAUCUUUACAGUCAAGUCAUCCACACUACAUUCAGUAGCACUGCUCACUGCUGCGCUACACUACACGCACCAGGUUCUGAACUUACACGCGCCAGGUACAGAACAGGAGUGAACUCCAGUAGACACUGGGUACGGUAACUAAACCUUCAAGACGAUCAACACUCAUCUCCCUCCGGACAGGUCAGAUAUGGUGCUGGUCCCCGUCGACGUCAUCGGGAACGACAUGAUGUAGGGGUCGAAGCCCUGGUCCUGCAUGAGCGACAACAUGUUGAGACCCUGGUACGUCGGCGACAGCUCCGGCAGCGGCGCGUCGCCGUCGAGGUACUGGACGAUCUGACGCAUGCCCGGGCGCGCGCCGGGCAGCGGGUGCGAGCAGAGCAGGCCGAGCCUGAGCACCAGGCUCGCCUCGCGCUCGACGAAGUCGCCCCGCAGGCGCGGAUCCACGGUGUCCGUGACGGAGCCGGCGCGCCAGCGGUCCAGCACCCAGUCCACCAGCACCAGGCGGUUGUCGCGCGCGUCCUGCACCACGGGCUUCCGCCCGCACGCCACCUCCAGCAUGAAGGCGCCGAACGCGAACACGUCCGACGCCUUGGAGGCCCUGCCCGUGUGCCCGAGCUCCGGCGCCAUGUACCCCAUGGUGCCCACGACGUGCGUGGUGUGCGGGUCGGUGCCGUGGUCGUACAGCCGCGCCAGCCCGAAGUCACCCAGCCGCGCGUUCAUCUCCCUGUCCAGCAGCACGUUGCUGGCCUUGAUGUCCCGGUGCACCACCACCUUCUCCCAGUCCUCGUGGAGGUACAGCAGGCCGGACGCGACGCCCUUGAGGAUGCGGAACCUCUGGCCCCAGUCCAGCGUGAUCUUGCUCUGGUCGUAGAGGUACUUGUCCAGGCUGCCGUUGGGCAUGUAGUCGUAGACCAGCAGCAGCUCGCCCUUGCGCCGGCAGUAGCCGAGCAGCUGCACGAGGUUGCGGUGCCGGAGGCGGCCGAUGCUGACGACCUCGGCCACGAACUCCCUCAUCCCCUGCCUCGACCCGUGCGCCACCUUCUUCACCGCCACCUCCAUCUUGGACGACGCCAGCACGCCCCGGUACACCCUGCCGAAGCCGCCGAUGCCCAGCAGCCGCGUGUCGCUGAACCCGUCGGUGGCGUGGAACAGAUCCUUGUAGGAGAACCUGUGCGGCCCGAACGAGGCCUCCCACUCCUCCUUGACCUCCGCGUACAUGCGCCGCCUCCGCAGGAACGCGAAGACGACGGCGGCCACCGCGAAGACGAGCACCGCGGACGCGAUCGGCAGCACGAUCUCCAGCGUCUUGGACCUCGGCUUCGGGAACGUGACCGGCAGGGUGGGCAGGGCGGAGAUGUUGAGCGCCGGGGCGGCGCCGUUCAUCUUGAAGCUCCAUCCCAACACGUAGUGCCGGCAGAAGAGGAUGCCGGUGGCCGACGAGAAGCCGACGUAGGCGGUGUCGUCGAUGACGGAGGAGAGGUUGACGGUGGUGGAGAGCAGGGGCUUCUUGGGCCGGGCCACCGCCUCCAGGGGCGCCAUGGUGACAUUGACCUGCAUGGUCUGGCCGUCGAAGUCCACCCACACCUGCAUCGCCUUACGGCUCACCAGGCUCAUGUUCCUGAACGCGCCCGUGGCGUCGUCGUAGUAGCCGGCGUUGUCGGCGUCGACGGAGUUGAGCCCGUUCACGUCGACCCCGACGUGGUUGCCGCUCAUGUCGUUGAACUCGGAGUUGAGGAUGGUGUCGAACUCGACGGCGAACAGGUGGUUGGUGGCGUUGCCGUUGGUGGCGGAGCUGACGAGCCCCAUGAACUGGCCCGGCAGCGCGGAGGUGAAGUUGCUGCUCUUGGCGACCACGAACGCCAUGCCGUGGCUGCUGAGGUCCUCGUACGCGCCGAUGAUGCCGAUGACGAAGGCCGUGGAGAAGGACUGCAUCGCCGCCGUGGCCGUGCUGCCGUUGGGCGCGCGGUGUAACCGGAGCGGCGCCGGGUAGAAGGCGUGGCCCUUGAGCUGGUUGGUGCCGUUGGUGAGCAUGAGCAGCCCGUCCGGCGUGACCGUGGCCAUCCCGUCGAAGCUGAGGUUCGCGCCCUUGAAGCCGUCGAAGACGAACUGCUCGUCGGCGGCCCACGCCGCAGGCAGCAGCACCCCGCCGAGGCCGAGGAAGAGAAGACGGAUGAGGUGUGGCGGCGGCAUGGCUGCUAGUUCUGAGCCUCGCUCGAACGGUUGGGGAGUGGCGAGUGUGGGGAAUGAUUUGGCCUCUGUGGCGUCGUCAGGUCACGGGCAGGCUCCCGGUGUUUAACGCGGCAGCCGUAUGCGUCUUUACCUUUUGGGGUCCUUAAGUCCUUUGGCAGUGUUGUCAAAAAAAAAAAGCCCUUUGGCAGUGUGAAGCUGACCAGAUUCGCACGUCAUCAGUGAGUAACCAAUCCUUCAUGGCUUCAUCAUCAAUCUAGUACGCGCGACGCCGGAUGGUGAGUGGAGUAGCAUCCGUAAAAUCUCAUCUCGAGCCGUCGCUGUUGCGGAUGCUUGUGCAAGCGGGACGCGGACGCCUCUACCAGCCGCGGAUACGAUCCGGGAGGUCAAUGAUCAGCCGCAGCGUCAACGUUUCCGGCCGAUUUUCGCGUCCCCACGGAUUAAAGUCGCCGAGGACGACGCGAUUACGUGAGCGCAAUUACUCGCCAUCUCAGCCGCUCGUCGCACACCUGCCGCCGCGCAGGCCCGCAUGCCCACAGGUUGUUGGUUUCCCGCUGCCGUGGUGGUGGCUGGCUUCCCGUACCGCGUGGUCACACGAAGCUUCUACUGUGGGGGGCGGGGCUUGUCGAUUGUCCGCUUCCAGUGCCCUCAUUUUCUGCGGUAGUUGGACAAUAUAAAGCCACCAGCGCCUUGUUUACUUCAAAAAAUUUUACAAAAUAGGAAUAGUAGCACUUUCGUUUAUAUUUGAUAAAUAUUGUCCAAUUAUGGACUAACUAGGCUUAAAAGAUUCGUCUCGUCAAUUCCGACCAAACUGUGCAAUUAGUUUUUAUUUUUAUCUAUAUUUAAUACUUUAUGCAUACGUCUAAAGAUUCGAUUGUAAAAUUUUUGAGGAACUAAACAAGGCCCAGGUUCACACUCAUCUACUGCGAGAUUUUAGCGUCAGUACAAUAAGCCAGUCCUUUUGACUACCUGCGUUUCUGGAUCAUGUCGACUAACCUGGCCACGGAAAGUGUAGGAAAAGAUAGUGGCGCAGAGUCAAAAGGGCGCAGCCCACCACCAGGCACCAGACGACACCAAGCCAACUUGGUUACUCUCACUAGUUUGCACCUGGCUGGCUGGCUACCUGCUCUAAUCCAAGCCUGCUGUGUUGCAAUGUGACACUUAACCACUCACUCCUGUCAUGGCUGGUUAUAUUUUAUCGGCGUUUCCUUGACCUUGACUUCGAUCAGCAAUGUCGUUGAAAUUCAGUGGGACGCGGUUGGCGUGGCAAGAGGGGGGGCAAGCGACAUGUGCCUCCUACCGUGACCGUGGACGGGUCUGAUUGCCUCGCCCCACCGCGAGGCAGCCUACCAAUCAACCCCCUCUUGAAUCUCUUGUGAUUAGUACUAUUAUGCGAGCGGUUUUGAACAAGAAAGUCAAGAAGUCGCCGUCGAGGUCAAAGGCUCACAGCAUCGGAUCGUUCACACCGAAACGCCCAGAGUGAAGUUCGGUCGUAGACGACGACUACUACUACUACUCUUCUAUUACUUCCACUCCAAUCGCUCCCGAUCCAGAAGAACGCCUGCGUUGCAGCGUAACGCGGCUCGCGAACGCGGACGCGAUGGGUCGCCCCAGCUUGCCCCUCCUCCCAAUCUUCCUGCUCCUCGCCGCGGUCUGCUCUGACCACGCGGCCAUGCUCGCCGCCGCCGAGGAAUUCACCUACAACGGCUUCGGCGACGCCAACCUCUCGCUCGACGGCAUGUCCGUGGUGGCGCCGAACGGCCUCCUGGUGCUGAGCAACGGGACCAGCCAGAUGGCCGGGCACGCGUUCCACCCGGCGCCCGUCCGCCUGCGGGACGGGCCCGGCGGUGCCGUCAGGUCCUUCUCGGCGGCGUUCGUCUUCGCCAUCGUCUCCAACUUCACCGUGCUCAGCGACAACGGCAUGGCGUUCGUGGUGGCGCCCAGCACCAGGCUGUCCACCUUCAACGCCGGGCAGUACCUGGGCAUCCUCAACGUCACCGACAACGGCAAGGACGGCAACCGCGUGCUGUUCGUCGAGCUCGACACCAUGCUCAACCCGGAGUUCCAGGACAUGAACAGCAACCACCUCGGCGUCAACGUCAACAGCAUGAGGUCGCUGCAGAACCACAGCGCCGGCUACUACGACGACGCCACGGGGGUGUUCAACAACCUCAGCCUCAUCAGCCGCCAGCCCA
rnacentral:lncRNA from 1 species